CACCAGAAUCGUAAUCUAAAUUUUCUAUUUUGAUUCACACCAUAAAGAUGACUCUAAACAACAAGAGUAUCUUGUGUCAGUUGAAUUGAGAGAGCACCCAACAUACAUAUAUAAGGUAAUGUACAAUUGGUAUCUUUAAACUUCUUUCAAUAUUUAUGGUAUAUAUAUGUAAAAGAGGGUACCGAACAUAUAUAUACAUACUAAUGGUAAUGUACAGUAAUGUUUAUGGUAUAUAUAUGUAACAUUGUAACGUUAUCCAUUUCGAUACUUUGGUCUAUUUUUCUGUUAAAAUGAACGAGUCAACUACAUAAGUUUAUAUUUUUCUGGAGAGCCUAUUCGGCGCACCCGUCAUCUCCACCGUCUAAUUUUUUUUUUUUUUUUUUUNNNNNNNNNNNNNNNNNNNNCGGCAACCGGUGCGCCGCGCACCCGGGUGCGCUGUAUAAUUUCCUAUUUUUCUGAUACUGGCCUUUGCGUGCAAGCUAGAAACGUUUCUCCAUACAUACAUUUUGGUGUACUGGGUGUUGUUACAUUAGUUUCAGCUUCAAACGUACAGAAACAAAGUAUUGGACCAAAAUGGAUCGUUGAGUUAGACUAGUUAUGAGAAGAUCUAUCAUUAGACUGCUAAUCAAAAACUUGUCUGGCUGAUCCAUCUCUCACGUUGUAACCUAGACACGUUUUAGAAAAUGAGGACAGUGAUAAUUUUGGAUAAACCAUCAUUCUACUAGCCUGUUCAGUCGACGGCCAAAUAGACAGUUUUAUCUAUUUGGCCGUCAAAUACAUAUAGAUUUGCACCUGAUCAAGUAUGUCACUAUAUCUCCUGUGAAGGUCCUAGAGUGGGGGGUGAAUAGGCCCUGACAACUUUUUUGCUCUAUCCCGCACACAAGGAUAGCAAAGAUUGUGCUAUCCUAUUUGCUAUGAGACUAAGUUGUGUAAAUAAAAAGACAAGUACUGAAAGUAAAAGAUAUAACACCAGUACGUUUUUUAUACGCAGAAACCCUGCAACCAGGGAGAAAAACUGUGUGCCUCUAACUCUUGAGAGACAAACUAUUCCACUAUUGUAAAGACACUUUUUACAAAACUCACAACUCAGAGGAUGGCACAACACCUAGCCAUCCUGCCUAGUCUAACUACUAGCACACAACUGAACUUGCUGUCUUGUCACUCAAGUGUUUUACACAUAGCACGAAUCUAAGCUUCUAUGCAGAAUUCAACUAACACCUUUAGCUAAUUCUCAAAGACAGCUUACAACUUGCUUCACACGAACUUAACUAACUCCUUAGCUAAUUCUCUAUGAAGACUUCACCGGGUUGCAUCACCUAGACCGCUCUCAAGGUAUGCAUGAACAAUGAACAAUGAAAUGGGUUUUGAAAAUGUUUUGAUGCUCAGCUCUAAGAUUUAUAAUCAACGAGGAAGACUUAGAGCAAAGGAGCAAAGAAGCAAUAAUACUAAGACUCAAAGGGAGAAAAUGUAAAUGACAAUUUUCAACAACCAAAGAGCAAGAGAGGUCUUGCUCUCUAUUUAUAGGCAAGGUGCACAGCUAUAAGGAAGCAAGCACGUUUGCCACAUCAACAAGGUUCUUUUGGACUCUAGCUGCUUGUCUGAAAUACUAGGACGGAUAGGACCCUAGGGAUCCCUCCACUCACAAGACAAAAGCUGAGAAUAGACUUUCCUAGGAAAGACUAAAUCCAAAAGGAUAAGACAAAAUGUUUUGGGAAAACUAGAUCAGAUUUAGUCAAGCAUAAAGACUCUACAAAACCACUUUACCUAAGAGGACACUUAGGACAGCUGAUAGCUUGGGCGGUGCAUCACAUGGGCAGCUGCUAACUUGGUUUAUGUAUCACAAAACCCAGCUGGUUCCCAAAGGCUCAAGUUAUGUGGUCACGGGUUGGUUUGCCACACCACCUUAGACUAACUUGGAGCUCAAGUACGAAUAGACUAAUGUUUUGCUAAAAGGUAUUUGAAAUUCAAACACUUAAAAACUGAAGCAAACACAUUUGAAUAUGCACAUGGUCAGACCCAGUAGAUAGAACAGAUACAGCAAGGGUAUCCGUUUAAUCGGGAUGGCAAGCACGGCUGCCAUCCUUAGUGAAUGAAUGAGAUGCACAUGCAUGAACUGCCUGAUGCACAUGAGAUCUGUCAGGUUCUUCAUUCUUCACUUGAGUAGUCCUUGCUACCAGGCUACAACAUGUAGCAUGUAUCCUUGUGUUUUGAUCAUAAAGGGAUAGCCAACAAUUCUUGUACCAACAAUCUCCCCCUUUGGCAUUCCUGAUCAAAACACACCUUCAAAGGUUGUGCUGGUUCUAAACACAAGAAUAGACUAAACGCCUGCACAAACAUCUCAAGAACAAGUGAAGGUAUGGAUGGCCAAAAAAAAACUCUUAUGAAUCACAAGCUGUGGGAUACCAAGACAAUCAUGCAUCAUAACCAACAGAAUAGCAUAAAUAACAAACAACAUAAGUCAUGAAUUUAACCACACAGCAUUCAUAAAUAAUUCAGAGUUUUGACAACAUAAGCCCUACAACUAGUUCUCCCCCUUUUUGGCAGUGAAUACCAAAUGGAAACAGAGAAACCGAUGUUCAACAUAAAAACAACAACCUACAUCCGAGAAUGGAUAAAACAACAUUAAUGCAGAGAACCACAACAGAAAACCUAAGCAAAAGCAUCCCCAUCAUCACUUGACACCCUACCGAUCACAUCAUCAUCGCUCUCACUCUCCUUAUCAUCGGGAUCAGCAGAGGCAGGUGUAUCCUGAGAGGGAGUAGUGGAAGAACCAGAGGCAUCAUCAUCUCCGCGGCGCUCAAAUUCCCUUAAGAUCUCAGGCAUCUCCUUCUUGAAGUUGUAGAACUGGCGUCCAACAUAGUCCCUAAAUCCAAUGACUGCCUCCUGCAUUGCCUUGUCCACAAUGAGCUUGAUCUCCUUUUUCAGCAAGGUCUGCUCCAAAGACUCCACAUAUAACCCAGACUGAGCAGCGGAUUUGGCAAUUGUGACACGGUCAACAGGGUUGACAGGUAGAGCAAGAGCAUCAUCUCCAUGGAAUGGGACAUUGCUCUUGAUGCAGAGAAGAGUGAUCACAGCCGGAAAAACAAUGGAACUAGAGACAAAGAGACGCUGAGGGAUAGCAGCGCGUCUGAUAGCCUGAAAGAGAGGUUUGGUUUUGUCACAGAAAUAGGCAACCAAAACAGCUUGCAGGUGAGUGAUCUUGCUAGUUUGGGUUGUGGGAGUGAGAAGAGACCUAGCUACAAAGGUCAUAAACUUGUACCACUCAGUCAUGAAGCUACUGGAGAGAAAGGAAUCUGCGAGUGGCUCAGUAGGAGGAGAAGAGUACAUGAGAGAGGCAAGGUGAUCUAUGGUUGCUAAAUCUCGGUAUUGAAAAACCUUAUUCAUGGUAUGCUUUUCAGUAAUCGGGAGGGAUAAGACCUCACGUAUCCUAGCAGGCCGGAUAUCAACCUCUACUCCUCGCACCCAAACCAUGAUAGGAUCAUUAGACCUAAGCUUUAUCUCAGAAGGGACAUUCUCAGGAAAAUUAGCAUAGAAUUCCUGAACUAAAGAGAUGUUGACCCUAGGAAAUGACUCUAAAGCUUUGACCCAACCCAGCCUAUCAACAAAAUGCUUAAUCGCCUGAGGCAUGCUCUUAAAAUCAAAAGGCUUCUCAUAGAUAAUGGGUCUACUGAUAGUGACAGAAGAGAAGACUGACAUGGCUCUCUAUUGGAAUGGAAAUGAGACUCAGAAGGGAUAUCAGUUACCUCAAACAUCCUUUUCUUAAGAGGCAAGGAGGGUUUCCCAUCCUGGGCUCCAGUGGGCUUGGCUUUGGAAGGUUUAGAGGAAUCCUUCGACCCAGAUUUGGAAGAGCUGGCGAUUGGCUUGCCAGAGUUCCUGGUGAUUCGACGGCAAGGAGCGCGAAAUUCCGGAUCAGAACUGGAGGAACCAGAGAACUCCAUAGGCUCUUCUUCUUCAUCAUCGUCAUCAAGAAUUGGAAACUUGGGCUGUUUUCCAACCUUGGGAAGUGGAGCCUUGGCAGAUUUGGGGGCGACGCAGGUGGAGGAUGGACCGGACUUGGCAAAUCCCUGGGAUCGGGAUGCAAGGGCAUCGAGAAUCCCUUAAGUGCGACCCAUGCCGGAAGGCUUGAUCUUCUUGACCCGAGCAGACCCAGCAUGAAUGGUGCCCUUUCUCUUCCUAAUUUCAUUCAAUGUUGCAGCAAUGAAGGCUUCAACCUCUUUGGGGGAGGGUUGAGGUGCAACGAUAGUGGAAUCCACUUGUACAUGGACAAGGGAUGGAGUAGCAGCAGCAGAGGAGAUGGGAGUAGAACUCGGAGAGGAAGAGAAGGCUCUCAAUACUUGAGAAGCAGUAAGCAGGGGAUCAGAAUUCGCUAGGAGCGAAGAAGAAACCAUUGGAGAGGUCACUGACCCAGUUUCUUUUGCAGCAGAGUUUGGGUUUGGUUCAGCCAUGAGAAUGGGGGAGAGGAAAUGAGAGGAAAUGACAGAAUGAAGAUGAAGGAACAGAGGUGAGAACUGGUGAGAAAGAAAUGGGCGAACGAAGUGACUGGUGGAGAAGAUGAAGAAGUGGGAGGAGAGACCAGUUUUUAAUAGGCAUGCAAAAAGCAGCCAUGAUUAGACGUAACCGUCUUGAAAACUGCAAUCCCACAACGGUUGUGGGAAGUCUCCCCCUCUUCCUCUCAAAAGUUGACCCUCACAUGAGUCUAUGAGAGAAUAGGCCUAGCCCAUCUCAGAACCGAAAGCAAAGCCCUCUUAUAACCUAGAUGUCCUAAUAGAAGCUUCAAAAGAUCCUAGGACUGCAAACAACAUAAGAGAUACAAAAAGACAACUGCCAUCCUAUCAAAAACAAGGUUCACAAACCAACAAAAGCAACAAGUGGCUCAAACAGUGUAAACCCGUGAGUGUCCCUAUUUUUUAAUUUUACUCCCCCUUAGAAAGUGCAUAAAUUUGAAAAAGGAACUAACAAAUUUAACACUUUGAGCAAAAUUAUACUAUGAACAAAUCCCAAUGUUUUAGGAUAUGUGGUGCAUAAACACACAAAGCAUGGGCACUAGGGUUUCUAUUAACCUCACAUACUCACACAAUACUACACAUGACCAUAUGACUAACAAAUUAGCAUGGUCCAUAUAUCAUGACAUAUAUAAGAAGUAGUGUGUGUGCGAGAAGCAAACUUAAUGGGGCAUAAGAUUGCAUCAACUGAGAUAAGCAGUGAGGUGUCACAUAGAACCUGAGACCAAAGGUCUGUUCCAUCCUUAUAUCUCCUGAGAACAUUUUCAGCAUUGUUAUUCAACAUUUUGAGCUUUCUUUAUUUUUCAUUUUGAAGCCUAGCUAAAAGAUCGUCCUCAUAGGUUUAUAUAACAAGAAAACGUUAUUGUUGACUCCCAAACCAAUUGGUUUUAGGGCAACACGUGUAACAAGGACACGCCAAGGACUGUUUUCCAAACCCAUAGAAGGAUAGAUCAUAUCUCAGCAAUCCUCAUAGAUGGGAGAACUGGCUGGCCCAUACAGUUUAAAAUUUUAGAGAAGUUCCGACCUUUCUUCAAAGACAUCAAACAAAUCUCGUUUCUGCCCACCCUUAUAUCGUUUGUCACGACCAAGGAAUGUAUACUUUGAGAUUUGUUUGGUAAUGGAUAUUUUAAUCAACCAACUUCAACCUCAAACUAGUCUCGUUUCUUCCCACCCUUAUAUCGUUUGUCACGACCAAGAAAUGUUUACUUUGAGACUAGCUCGGAACAACUUCACUACACAUACUUAUCUCAAGUAUAUAGCUCACAAUAUUGCACACCACUUAGAGAUGCUAAAGUGAGACAUAUAGUUCUUCUAUUUGUCAUAAUAACUAGACCACAGAAGAGUGUGCAGAUGCAUAUAGUCAUGCAGAGAUUAGAGUAAGAGAAGCUAAUGAAAACCCUAGACACAUCCUUAGGUCAAGAUCAACCAAAACAUAUCCUGGGAUAUCAACAAGCUUAAGCAUCCUAAUCUCGAGGAGACCACAAGAACCACAACAACAAUUAUUAUAUAUAUAUAUAUAUAUAUAUUUUUUUUUUUUGAUUUUCCAUGGAACAAUAAACCCUACACUACACACUUAAGUACAGGGGAGAAAAAUCAAUCAUUGUUACCCACACCAAUGGCCUGACAAAGGCUAGUGAACCGAGCAUUGUCAAGUGGUUUUGUGAACAAAUCAGCUAGUUGUUGCUCAGUUGGAAUAAAAGACAAUUCAAGCAAUUUCUCUUCAACUAGGUUCCUUAUGAAGUGAUACCUUAUCUCUAUAUGCUUUGUCCUAGAAUGUAGCACAGGAUUCUUAGAGAUAUUGAUGGCAGAGGUAUUAUCACAGAAUAAGGAUAGCAUACCUUGCUUGAAUCCGUAGUCAGAAAGCAUUUGCUUCAUCCAAAGCAGCUGAGUGCAACAACUGCCAACUGCAAUGUAUUCGGCUUGAGCGGUGGACAGAGAAACACAGUUCUGUUUCUUGCUGUGCCACGAUACCAAGUUGUUCCCAACAAAAAAACAGCCCCCGGAAGUGCUUUUCCGGUCAUUAGCAUCUCCGCCCAAUCGGAGUCCGAGUAUCCUGCAAUCUCAACGUUAGUAUCAAAAGUAUACUUGAUGCCAUAAUCAGAAGUAUACUUAACAUAUUUAAUGAUACGUUUUACCGCCUUAACAUGAGACUCCUUGGGGUUGGCUUGAUACCUAGCGCAUACCCCAAUGCUGAAGGCAAUGUCUGGCCUGCUGGCCGUGAGAUAUAGCAAGCUACCAAUCAUACUCCUGUAGAGAGUUGGAUCAGCAUCUAUCCUUUCAAGAUCAGCACUGAUCUUGCAACUUGUCCCCAUCGGAUUUUGGACAGCAGUAGAGGUUUCCAUCCCGAACUUCUUGAUAAGUUCCUUGGCAUACUUCGACUGGGAGAUGAACAAUCCAUCCUUACCUUGAGACACUUGCAAUCCUAGGAAAUAACUAAGCUUACCACACAAACUCAUUUCAAACUCCUUAGUCAUGAGAGUGGUAAAUUCUUUCACUAGGGUCUCGGAUGUGGAUCCAAACACAAUGUCAUCCACAUACACUUGGGCAAUGAUAAUGUCCUUAGAGGUACACUUGACAAACAUAGUCUUGUCAAUGGAACCUCUCACAUACCCGUUCUCAGUCAAAUGUGUAGAGAGUCUCUCAUACCAAGCCCUAAGGGCUUGCUUAAGGCCAUAAAGGGCCUUAUCUAACCUAUACACAUGGUCGGGAUGGCUGACACUCUGAAAUCCUGGGGGUUGUGCCACAUAGACUUCCUCCUUGAGGAUACCAUUCAGAAAGGCACUCUUCACAUCCAUUUGAUAUAGAGUGAAUUUCAAAUGACAUGCUAUGGCUAGAAGGAGACGCACAGAUUCUAACCUAGCAACAGGGGCAAAGGUUUCAUCAAAAUCUAACCCCUCAAUUUGGGAAUAACCCUGCACAACCAAUCGGGCUUUGUUACGGGUUAUCACUCCCUUAUCAUCCGACUUAUUCUUGAACACUCAUUUGGUUCCUAUGACAUUCUUAUCACUUGGCCUAGGAACUAAAUGCCACACUCUACUCCUCUCAAAUUGGUUCAGCUCUUCUUGCAUAGCACCUAUCCACUCAACAUCAAACAAGGCCUCUUUCACAUUCUUAGGCUCAAUAGUGGACACAAAACCAUAACAAGUGAUCUCAUUGAUCUCACUUUUGAAAAGAGCUAGAAAACUUCUAAGCAAAGUAAAGUUGCUUACCAACUGAGCAGACUUACCCCUUGUCUUUCUUGGUUCAUCGAGCUUACCAAUGAUGUCGGAGGAACUAUGAUCUUUCUGAACUUGGCGCUUACCAGUUCUGUGAGGCUUCUGGAUAGCUAGGGUUGCAUCUAUCCCAUCAGUGAGGAUCUUAGCCGGAAGAUCAGAGUCACUUAUCUUUUCUUCCACUUCAGAUGUGGAAGGCUUGUCUUUGAGAGCUAGGCUCUGAGUUGGCUCUUGUUCCUGCACAGGAACAUAAGGAGAACCGUGACAGCAAACAAGGGAAUCAUCAAUAGCAACAUUUAUGGUUUCCAUAAUUUUGCAAGAUAUCUUGUUGUACACACGAUAAGCACGACUGUUCAAAGCAUAACCAAGAAAAACACCUUUGUCACAUUUAGCAUCAAAUUUGGUCAGAUAUUCUCUAUCCUUAUAAAUGUAACAAGGACUCCCAAACACCUUGAGAUGUGAUAUGUUAGGUAUCAUUCCCUUCCAUAACUCAUAACGAGUCUUGAAAGUUCCAGGCCUAAAGAUAACCCUAUUCAAAGUGUAGCAAGCAUUAUUAACAGCCUCAGCCCAAAAAGAAUGAGCGAGUUCAGCUGAGUUUAGCAUUACUCUACCCAUUUCAACCAAUGCUCUAUUCUUCCUUUCAACUAUCCCAUUGUGUUGGGGAGUGAUAGGAGCAGAGAACUCAUGAUGCACACCAUAUUCAUCACAAUAAUCAGCAAAAUUGGCAUUUUCAAAUUCAGUGCCAUGAUCGGAUAUGAUCCUAACAAUAUGCAAACCCUCAUGUGACUUCUCAUUUGUGACUUGUUUCGCAAAGCUAAAAUAUUUCUCAAAAGUUUCAUCUUUACUUGCCAAGAACUUUACCCAAGUAAACCUAGAGAAAUCAUCAACAAUAACAAGCACAUACUUCCUACCACCAACACUUUCGGUGUCAAUGGGACCUACUAAAUCAAGAUGCACCAGUUGUAAAACUUUGGAAGUAGGUUUAGCAGAAAGUGAAGGAUGAGAGGUACGGGUUAGCUUACCCAUCUUGCAAUCCCCGCACAUACCUGUGGACUUACCUGUGAGCUUAGGUAGUCCUCUUACCCAGGAUUUUGCAGAGAGCUUGACAAUGUCUUGAUGGUUGAGAUGACACAUACGUCUAUGCCAUAGAUCAAGAAGGUCCUCGGCAACUUGAGAUCGAAAACAGAUUUGGGGAGUGAACUUCUCAUGGGCAGAGAUACAAUAACAUUGAUCUCUAGUCCUAUCACCUCUCAUGACACUCCUACCUUUCCCAUCUAAGAUGAGACAUCUUGACUUGUCAAAAGUGACAGAGUCAUGUUCAUCCACAAUCUGACUAACACUUAACAGGCUGACUUCUAGACCUCUAACUAGAAGAACAUUCUUCAGACAUGGGAGACCAGGAGUACUAACUGUCCCUUUGCCUAUGAUCUCAGUCUUGGCACCAUCCCCAAACACAACAUUGCAUGAUGGAUAUGUCUCAUCCAUGGAUGAGAACCACUUUCGGUCACCGGUCAUGUGCCUAGAACAACCACUAUCAACAUACCAAGAGUCGGGGUUCCUAGUUGAAAGAGCAGUAAGGGCGACAUUGCAGAUGGCUACUAUCCUAUCCUGGGGUUUAGGAUUGAAGCUGACCCUUGUAAUAAAACAUGACAGAUCGUCAUCGUCAAAAUCGUGUUCCUGAAAAGGUUUGUCAAAAGAGCUUGUCUCAAAAGUUCUUAUAGCCUUUCCUACCUUAGGGUUGGCUCUUCUCCUAGCAGGAGGAUUCCUAGCUGGAAUUUUUGGCUUUGUGAUGGCAAGAUUCUGUGCUAUCCUAGAUAGCUCCUUAAGGGAGUCCUCAAGAGUUGACUGAAAAGUAGUGACACUCUCCUUCUUCUGUGACUUCCUAGAGUUUUGCUGACUGAAUCUAAGCUUCCUACAACGAGGACGGAUGUGUCCUGUUACUCCACAAUAAUGACAAGUGGGAACAAAACGUUGUGACCUAGUAGGCUCUAAGAAAGUUGGAUUCAAAGGCUCUUUGCUCUUGACAAACACGGUCUUGUUACCCUGACUAGAGCAACUUCCAGAUACAAACCCUAGACCAGACUUGUCCCUGUCGGACUUACCCAAACCACAAAUCUUAGUCAACUUUUCGGACCCAAAAGAGAACUUCUCAAAUUGUUGACGUGAAUCAAUUAGGGCUUUCUCAAGAUCUGACUUUUGAGAGGUUAGAGUGGAAACUAGUUUGGUCUGAGAAUCUAGACUAGUUUGCAAAGACAACACUUGGUCCUCUAGACAGACCUUUUCUGUCUUCCAUUUUGACUUGAGGGAUAGCAACUUCUCAUGUAUCCCUUCAUUGGUCUCCUUGCAUUCUGAAAGCUCAUUAGAGAGAGCUUCAAUUUUUGCAAGCAUGGACUUAGAGGCAGACACUAACCUAGAACACUUAUCGUGCAUGGAGAUAUCACAUUCAUCAUCCUCAAAGAACUCAUCUAACUCACAACAGAAUCAUUGAACAAACAGUCAAUUUCUUACAUAAUAAUUUCCCUACGAUUAACUACAUUGAUCUGCCUAUGUAUGUAACUAUCUAUUUAUGUAACUAUACAUGUAAUUAUCCAUAUAACUAUGCAUGUAACUAUCUAUGUAUGUAGCUAUACAUGUAACUAUCCAUAAUAGUUUCCCUACGGUUAACUACGUUGAAUUGCCUAUGUAUGUAACUAUACAUAUAACUAUCCAUGUAACUAUCCAUCUAUGUAACUAACCAUGUAACUAUGCAUCUAUGUAACUAUACAUCUAUGUAACUAUGCAUGUAACUAUGCAUGUAACUAUCCAUCUAAUUAUGCAUUUAACUAUCCAUGUAACUAGAGAUUGGUAGUUACCUGGGUAGUUACAUCUCACACAGAAUGCAAAAGAAAGCAAAGCAAUCCCUAUAGCUACAUUAAAGCUUCACAACAGAUAACAAGCGAAAAUCUUUACCAUCUUUUGGGCAUCUUUCCAUGUAUGUCCCCUACUCCCAUCAGUUCUUCCCUUCAUUGAAUCUAGGUGGUAGAAUAUAUUGCAGAUUCAGGGUCUCGGAGACAAUCUGUCAAGACCCACCCCGAAUUUCAUCCUGAAAACCGAAGUAAAUCCUGCGGGGACCACCUCCAAGGAAAGUUUACCGAAAAUUCGGCAUAACCUCCCUUGAAAAUGGACAACCCUUCCUAAUAAUACCUGCAAACACUUCUGAAAAUCCAAAUCCAACCUUAAACUCCUGGAGCCUUCGUGCUCCCCAAAUCACAACAUCUCCCAAUUUAUUUACUAAUUUUAACAAGAAAAAAAUCUCAUAACUAACAACCACAGUUCAGAGCAACUCUAUUUGAAAGAAAAUGAACUAAAAAUAUAAAAAUGAGCGGAAGCUAUACUAUUGACUAUGCCUCGUCUCCAUAUACGCUCGACCUGAAUUAUUCUAACCUGUUUACUGGGCAUUUUUAAAACGAAAGGCCCAGGGGAAAACAUUUGAAAAACGUUAGAGUGAGUGGACAAAAAUGAAUUUAAUGAAAAAUAUUUAUGCUUUCCCAAUUAAAACUCUAUAGAAAAUAUGCUGCAUGCGACAGCUCAAAAGCUCUCAACUCAACAAUUGGCAAUUACAUGACUAGCUCUGGCCAGUCUCCAAAACUCAAUAAAAUGGAGCCUCUCAAACUCAAUAAUAUAAAUCCAUCAAUAUAUAUAUAUAUUAUGUAUGUAUCUACACAUGUCCAUACUCCUUGUAUGAAUUCUAUGAAGGAAAUAUAAGAAGAAUAGAAAUUCAUACAAGGCUACUACGCUUGUGUCUAACGCUCACGUCACGCCUUAAUGCAGUGCUACACUACGCCAUUAAGGUGGACGGACGGUGUAUGAAUAUGUGCUCAUACCCUAUAUGAAUUAGAUACUCAUAUAGGGCUACUACGCUCGCGUCCAACGCUCACGUCACACCAUAAUGCGGCUAUAUGCUACGCCAUAAAGGUGGACAAACACAUAUGGCUAGCUAGCAUUUAUAUACAUACUCUCCUCAUCAAUAUAUAAUUAUAUUCACCGAAAAUCCCAUUUUCGGUAACUCUUCAAACGAAAAAUAAAAUCGUCAAAAUAAAAUGACGUCAAAUGCUCCAACAAAAUAAAUUGCUCAACAAUCAAUCAUUGCAUGCUUAUUAUUUAAAACAAAAUCCAAUCACAACUUUAGGCAUAAGCCCGACGAAAUCCAAUUCGCCAUCAAGUGAGGUCUCCUCGAAUUCUGGCACAAUAACCAUGCUUAGGACCAAACUUCAAUUUCAGAAAUAAAUAAUAUUUAAAUAUAUAACCCAAAACUCUUCCGCCUAACCCACUACUCUUUCUAGGGUUAAGCUUAUCGGAUUCAUGCCAAAAUCCAACCACAGCCUUAUUUCCUUUAUUUCAACAUUCGAUCUAAAACAAUAAUAAGGAAAAUCCAACGGUCGGAUUCUACCCCAUUAACCGCCAAAUUCACCAAUCUUUCAAAAAUCCCAAACCUAUCCAAAACUCCUCCAAAAAUUCCAUACUUCACAUCAUUAAACUCCCCUUAAUAUUAUACAUUUAAAACCAUGAAAAUCCCUCUAACAGCGGCGGCAUCGCCGUCUGCUCCGCCUGCAGCGGCGGCCGGCGACUGACUCCGGCUACCCUAAUGCCUACCAAAAUUUAACAGCAUCUUUCUCUCAACCCCCUCUACAACUUUCCUAACUAGCACAAACACAAAUUCCAAGCCUAGAUAGGAUAAUCGAACAAAAACAUCAAAUGAGCCCUAGAAUUUCCAACACCAAAAUCUCCUUACCUAGACCAAGGGGGAGGGAAGCCUUUGGAGGGAUUGAUGCACGGGAGGAGAGCUUCCAAACGAGCCAAGAAUCGCCGGCUAUGGCGGCUGGAGGAGAGAGCUCCGGUGAGAGGACAACCGCGGCUUCUAAGGAGAAUUUCCUUCGUUCGGUAGUGUUAUGGCUGCACUCACCAGCCUAGGGUGAGAGAGGAGGAGACGUCGGUGCAGCGGCCCAGCUCGGCCGGACAAUGGCGGGCGGUGGUUGGAAAUUGGAUGGGAAGAGAGAAGCUCGGGAAAGAGGGAGAGAGAAGAGAAAGAGGAGAAAAGGAGAAGGAAGAAAAUGGGCCUCUCUUCCAACCCGGUCCAACACCUUAAACAUAAACCCAACUCUAAAAAUUAAAGCCCCAAAAAUAAUACCCUAAUGAAAAAUUACCUUUUACUAGCUAAAAUUUACCAUUUUACCGUCGUCACAAUUUCCUCCUACGAAUAUUUCCACCGAAAUAAUCGUCCCUUAAAACCCCUCUAGGGACCAAUUAAACCAUAACUCAUUGACGGAGACGGUAAAAUUCUUAUUAAUACCAAACUAGUAAAUAAGGUAAAAAUUUAAAGGUCGAGAUGUGACACUUCGCCUUCACCUACUGAUAGGUGAGACACUUGGACACAUACUCUGCUACAUAUUUCUUCAUCCCAUUCCACCAAAACUACCUACGUAGAUCUUUAUACAUCUUGGUGCUCCCUACGUGCACCGUAUAACGAGAUCGAUGUGCCUCCCAAAUGAUCUCCCUUUUGAGAUCAGCACAAUCUAGAACACAUAAUCUCAAUCCAUACCUCAAUCCACCAUCUAAUCCAACCGACCAAUCAAAAGGACAAUCAUCCAUCAAGUCCACCACUAAUUAACUUCGCCAGUUUUGCACAUGAGAACUCGUCAUGUGCUUGGCCCUGAAUGAUCCUGGAAAUUAAGGUAGGUUGCACAGAGGUGCUUCCAAGGAAGGUCCCCCGCUCCCCGCAUGAUGGAAGAAGGUCAAGCUCAGAUGCAGUCUCCAACAUAAGCCACUCUUGCACCAUGAUAGAGAUGACUAUACCUAUAACGACUCAGAAAUUUUAACUAAUUUUCUGCAUUGUUGGUUUUAAUCUUUUGUGUGUAUAGAUACACACACACACACACACAUAUAUAUAUAUAUAUAUUAAUACAUGAUAAAAAUGUUUUAGUUGUUUAGAUUAUUUCUAUUUUUCUGGGAGAGUUUUUAGCCCAUAAACCAAAACUUGGCCCAAUAUCAAUUAACCCAAAACUUGAGCCCAAACUAAAACAUUGUUUAGAAAGUCUUGUUGCAGAAAGAUAUACAAAUUACACGACUUAAACUCAGAAGAUUGUCCUUCUUCUUCAUCGACUUUCUCCACCACCAGAUGCUUCUCAAUCCAGAACCAUGAUCAGUCCCAUCCGAAAUCUUUCUCAACCACCUUGAAACCCAGAAACCGACCUAGAAAACCUUAAACAAGAGUAGCCGACCUCUUUAAGCAGGACGUGUCAGUUGCCUGGAGACCAGUUGAUGACAACUUGAAGCUAUGCAGUAGGAGCUAGAACCCUAGGGGUCUAGCCUAGUACCUAAACGGGUAAGAUUUCGAUUGAACAAUCCAAUUUUUCUUCUUGUGUUCUUCUCUUGGACGCCAAGUUUUAUCCCCUUUUUAGACCCUAUAAAUAGGUAGAACAUUCUGCAUUUUGAGAUAGGUUUUCAACAGCUAUUCAUACUUAGAGAGAGACUUUGGUGUCAGAUGUGAUUCUUUUUACAUUCUGACCAAUUAGUUUGUUUAUAUGUUCUUAGUUUGUGAAACUAGAUUUUGAAUUCAUGUUGGAACUCUUGUAUGAUUGUUUAUUUGAUCUGAAUAGUUCCUAUUAAGAAUUGGUUUUGUUGUUGUUAUUGAAUUCUAUGGCAAGUAGGAUUACUAAUCCUUUGGUUUUGGUUAUCUUUGAUUUGAUUUCUUUGUUAGCCAAAUCAGUUCUUAUAUGUUAUUAACAGCUACAGAAUCAAGUAUAUGAUGUUGUUGUUAUUGUUGUUGUUGCUAUUGUUUGAAUUAGCUUAAGAUUCUGUUCAUGUAGUAGAUUUAUUCUUUUCCAAACAGAAUAGAAACUGAUGAAGAUGAUUAUAGAACUUUAGUUCUGUAGGUUUGGGUGUCCUGAGUUAUUACAAUGUUGUUGUUUGAAUUUGAGACUCUUGUUUUCUCUUAUACAACAAGAGCUUAGAGUGACUAAGAAACCUAUAUGAGCAUUUAAACAUCCAUAGAACUGAUUAGGAACCUUAGACUUUACAUGAACUCAAGUGACAUUUGAAUGGAAAAGUUUCUGUAACUUGUUCAUUUAGUUAACUUUGAGCAGCCAUAUCUUUUGAAUUAAUCAUGCAUUUUAGAAAUCAUUUGCAUGUAUUGAAAGUUCAUAAUCUUAGCUUGAUAUCUGGGUAGUUUCAUGCAAGUUCAUUUAGAAUUUGUUAAUCAAGUUUAGAGCUGAAAACAUAGCUGAACAUUCUGCAAAUCAGCUUUCUUGUAUUUUGGAGUCAGUCACCUUGAUUUCUAAAAACCGUACAUUUAGGUUGGUUAUUUGAAGUUUGUUUCUUCAUAAAAAUUGUAGCAGACAUCUUAAAUAUUAUUUCAGAAUUUGAAUCACUUCAAAAGGAUUUCUUUAGAUUAAGAUAUGAUUUUUCAAAGUUCAGGGUCUGCAGUAAGAAGUCUUGCAGAUCAGUUUUCUGUGUUUUUGACCCAGCUGCAUUUUUACUAAAACCUAUGCAUUUCAGUUGAGUAUUUGAAGUUUGUGUCUUCAUAAAAGUUGUAGUACACAUGUUAAACAUCAUUUAGGAGUUUGAAUCUCUUGAAAAGAAUUUCUGUAGAUUAAGUUAUGAAUUUUCGAAGUUGAAGGUCAGCUUUAAAUGGUUUCUGCAUUUGUUACUAUUUUACUGUUUAUUCGUUUUGAUUUCAAUGGUUUCCUUCAUUCAAACUUGUAUAGCUAUUGAGAUUAGAUCAUAAAGUUCCUAUGUGUCAUUAUUUUCUGAUAUUAAAGGUAGAAACCAUGAUUUUGGUUUGCUUAAAACUAGCUACAAGAUUUAGAACUACUUUUACUGGUUGCUUCUUUAUUUUUGCCGGUUGUGUGAUGCUUUAGUUCAGUCUUUUACACUGAAAGUUUUGUGUGAUUCCUUUUUGUUUUAAACACCAAAAUGUCUAUAUUAAAUACCUAGAAGUUUUGUAUCACUUAGAGUUUCUGUUUUGCUUUCUAAAACAAAGUUUAGGCACUUUUAGCAAAAUUUUCAGAAAAACCUGAAACUGAAGCUGAAUUUUAAAAAAUCAUAACUAAUUCAAUAAAAAUCGUUUUAAGGUGUUUCCAAAUCUCAGAGUUUCUUUGGUUUGUCUGCUACAAGUCACUAGAAGACCUUGAGUCAAAUUAUGAACGGUUUUGUACAGUUUUCAGUUUGUUUGUAACUGGUUCAGAACAGUUUUGGUACUUUAUCUAUUGUUUCAGUAUUUUAGCUUAGCCUUAUAGGAAUAUUUUAAACUAAUGAUUUUAUCUUUUAUUAGGAGCUUGAUACUUGAAGUGAAAUCCGGCAAAGGUAGGAGGAAACUUGGGGAACCUCUAUGCUUGCCUUAUAUGUGGUUGUACGGAUUAUCUGAAUUGUUUGUUUUCUUGUUGCCAGAUUACUGAUAUGCAUAAAGCAUUUGGGAUAAGAAAGUGAGUAAUAAAACUUUUGUGUAGUUGAUUCUAUAUCUUUAGCAGGAACCAUAUCUCAGGUAUGCCCAUGUUGAUGCGCAAGUAGUAUAGGUUAUGAAAAAGGUAAUUCGGAAUUGGCGAAAGGGGAAUGGACAAGAUGACUAGAAAAAGGGAUUAGAGGGAGAUAGUUUAUGUAAAUAGAUACUCCAAGUCACCCUUGUGGUAAAAUACAUGGUAUAAGACAUGUAGGCUCGGUGUAUUUUGCUAUAUGAACUAUUUGGAGCAGAUCAUACACAUGCAUAUAAAUAUUGUAUUCUUAUUUGUAUUGUUUGAAGAGGUUUUGCCUCCUAUUGGGCUAUUUAAGCUCACCCCUCUAAAUGUUUUGCAGGUGAGGAACAAGUUGUCUGAAGUUGAUUCCUUGCAAGAAUGUUUUAGUUCAUGUGAAAUAUGUUUGUUGUUUACUUUCUUUAGAAUAAGAUGUAGACUUUCAUUAAUUAGUCUAUCUUUGUAAGCUACUUUAUGAACUACUUGGAAAUCAAAAGUGAUAUUUCAGUUGAGUAUCAAUAUGUUCUUUUCCAAUUUCUUUCAUAUUCCAUUUAUGGAAAAUUUAUUCCAUAUUUAGAAUAUGAGUUACACCUAAACAAAAAAAAAAAAAAAAAAAUCUGAGGUGUGACAAUACCCUUAGGCUUUCUGCUCAAUGCAUCUGCCACUAUGUUGGCUUUCUUGGGGUGAUAUUCUAAUGUGAAGUCAUAGUCCUUAAGGAGCUUCAUCCACCUCUUCUGCCUCAUGUUCAAAUCCUUCUGUGAGAAUAAAUAUUUCAAACUCUUAUGAUCAUAAAAGAGUUCGAACUCUCUCCAUACAAGUAAUGCCUCCAAAUCUUCAAGGCAAAUACCACCGUAGCUAGCUCUAAGUCAUGAGUGGGGUAAUUCUUCUCAUGAACCUUCAGCUGUCUAGAGCCAUAUGCCACAACGCCGCAAAAACUGCAUCAACACACAACACAAACCCUGAUGAGAUGGAUCGCUAUAGACGACAUAGCCAACACCACUAAGGGGAAUGACCAACACUAGAGCAGUAGUCAGCCUAGUCUUCAACUCCUCAAAUGCCUUCUCAUACUCCUCGGUCCACACAAACUUAGCAUUCUUCUUUGUCAACUUGGUCAAGGAAGAGGCAAUACUAGAAAAUCCUUCAAUAAAUCUUCGUUAGUAUCCUACCAACCCAAGGAAACUACGAAUCUCCGUAGGAGUAGUGGAACGACUCUAAUUCAAUACUGCCUCCAUCUUAAAACUGCCUCCACCUUAAAGGGAUCCACCGAAAUCUCCUCCUUUGAUACCACAUGACCAAGGAACUUGACCUCUUCAUUCCAAAACUUAAACUUCCCGAACUUAGCAUACAACUUGGCCUCCCUAAGAACCUGUAGUACGAUCUGUAGAUGCCUAUCAUGAUCCUCCAAGGAAUGUAGGCACUCCUAACCUGAUGAUACCCUGAGCCAACUUGGCCAUUCGUAGACCAUCAUCUACCACAACUGGCACCGGUGGCUCCAACUCCACCUCCUCCUUAUAAAACUCAUCCACAAGUCGAGCCCUACCUCUGCCUCUAGCCCUACCUGCUCCUCUGGCCCUACCUCGGCCUCUAGCUCUUCCUCGCAGAGGAUCCAUCACCUAAGAAGCAAGUAAACCUUGGUUAAUUCAUGCAUAAAACUUAAACCAAAAUAUAAGUCUAAUACAACAUAUAUUAACCAAAGUACUAACUCAAGGUGGAAUAUAAAGAUUCGAAAACCCACUAAUAGAAAAAUCCCUACUCUGACAUCCCAUUAACCUAGAGGCGACACCUAACCCUUCACAUACCCAAAGACAUAUCAGUACCGAAGAGCUGAUGAUGGUGAUCUGCUGCAGUUGGGCCAUCAUUCUGAAGUACUGAUUAUCACCAAAUAUGUAAACCUACGCUCUAAUACCAAACUGUCACACCCCAAUUUUCGAACCCUUCACAUACCCAAAGACAUAUCAGUACCGAAGAGCUGAUGAUGGUGAUCUGCUACAGUUGGGCCAUCAUUCUGAAGUACUAAUUAUCACCAAAUAUGUAAACCUACGCUCUAAUACCAAACUGUCACACCCCAAUUUUCGAAGGAUAAUUUUUAAAAAUUUGGGCAUGAUAUAUCUUAAAAUAUGACUCCCAAAACCUGUUCAACCUGGCAAACGAAACUCAAAAGCUGGAAAUGUAAAUGUUAACAAAACUCAACAACUGAGUUAAACAUUUCAUCUCCUUAAAAGUCUAGUAAAAUAAAGACGCUCACAUGAGCUUAAAAACAAACGGUCAUAAUAUACAAAUAAAAUGUACAUUAUCUAAAAACCAGCCACUAUGCCUCUGCCUCAACCUUGCUGAUCCUCACCUGCAGGUCUAACCACUACACCAUGAAUUUGUGCAUCGGGUUGUAAAACAACAAACCGUGUAAGCUAAAAAGUUCGUAUGAGUAACUCAAAAAAAUAACUCAACAUUUUCAACAUCCAAAUAAAACACAUGAACAAUUAAAAACAAUAAUUAAUUCCACAAAUCUAACACUUUUACAAAUAACAUGUACCCAUGAGUCUCAGAUACCAAUAAGGUAUAUCUCAUGACCUACAACAAACACAUGUACUCAUGAGUCUCAAAUACUAAUAAGUACCUCCCAUGACCUACAACAACAAUUCAUGUACCCAUGGGUCCCAGAUACCUUAAGGUACCUCCCAUGACCUACAUCGACAGAUGGACUAGAGCUUUAUUUAUAACCGCAACCAAUCACCCGGCCAAAGGCUUGGAACCUAGUUUGACUGUCCAAUAUCAAAUUACAAUAUAAUCAUAUCAUCAUCAACAACAUAAUGAACACAUCAUAAAAAUAUACUCUUUUCACAUAGAUAUAUUUAUGAACACACAUAGAUAUUCCCAGAAGAAUAAUCUAUCAAUAACCAACAAUAUUAUGAUUACAUGAACAUUAAAAAUAAUCAUAGAAUAGGAAAACUUGUUUUAUUUUACCUAUGAGCCGAUGACGAUCAAGCUCAAAUAUUUUAAAACAACAAUUAGCAUAUUCUUUUUUUCAACAUCAUCAUUAAAAUGACCAUAAUAUAUAGUUUGGUUUGGUCCAAAUGUGAACCUUGGUGAGAUUUACUCACCUAAAUAUUCCUGUUGUGUCUUCAACAACAACACAAGAGUCAAGCUCAAAAUUUACUCCACAAGUUCCUAAAUAACACAAAGUCAUCCUUAGUAACUACUCAACAAAGAUCAAAGCACCCUUAACCAAUCCUUAGCCUAAAGGUUGCCCAAAAGAGGACAAUCCUUCCUCCGAGACCUCUCAAGGUCAUUGGAAACUCAACAACAUAUUCAUGCUGCCUCCAAGUUCAAACUUCCAAAGUUUACAACCUAUCAAACAUCAGUGAUUAACAUAGCACCUAAGAUGUAUUACCUAAUCAACACUUAGCCUUAUCACACAACAACACACUAACAACUACAUAGACUAGCUAACAUAGCAACCAAACCCUCUCACACUGCCUGGACGCGCUUCCACGCGCCGCCAUAGGUGCCGACGAGUGAGCCCACGCAUCAUCCACCAACUUCAAAUUUUGGGAAAACCUACAACAUGAAACUUGUAGAUUGAAGCAAGGUGAGCAACUUUAAUACCUGAGGUUUCAACCGAUUUGGCCGGAAUCGGCUGGAAAAUACCUCGAAACACCACCACGAACUCAAGCUUCAAUAUGCAAAUCCGGGGUUCAAAACUCAAAAUCUUGUUUCAGUCUAAGUCUAGCCACAACCAAAAGAAGGAAAGGACCAAAACUCACCUAAGGUAGCCCAUUGUUGCCGCUGUAAACGACGAUUCCAAUCACGGCAACACUGCCGACUCCAAACCGAAAGGCGUCGACUGCUGGCGUCAUUUACAGCUUCACCACCGUGCGACACUUCUCUAGACUUGGAGGCGGUGGUCCUGUGAACCCAACAAGACUGGCGGCGAUCAAAACGACGGUCGGACGGCAGAGUUCUGCUCCGGUCAAGGUUGAGGUGCGCGGGUGAGCUCGGGAGAGGAAGAGAGAGAAAUAGUUGGGGUCUUUCUGCAAUUUAGGGUUUCUAAAAUAAAACCCAUAAUUUUUUCUAUUUAUACACUUUUCAAAUCGGAACCUAACUUCUUCUGAUCGUAACAUUUUCAUACCACAUCCGUUUUAUGCGUGCCGCAUGUCUACAAACUUGUAUUGCCACACUUUACAACUUUCAUGAAGAAAGUUUUCAAAAAUAUCCUACGGAUAAGAAAGUCAACUUUUGGCCACUUAAAACAAAGCACAUUAAUAAAAUUGACUCCCGCAACUUCAACUUCGCACAUGCGAAUAUGAAUUUCCACAAAUAAACCUUCAUUAAUUUUGGAAAUAAUAUAAGGAAAUUGAUAUGAAAAUCUAAAGUAUUACAUGCCCAGUGCUCAUUAGGAUGCAAAUUUGCUCCCCACCCAUACUUUCCCACCCUCAUCCCCACCCACCUAGUUGAAUGACACAUGUCAUAUCUUUUAAUUACUCUAACCAUGGUUAACAACAUUUAUGUAUAACAAUAUAUUAUAUUAUCUUUUACUUUAAAUCACUAUUUUUUUCUUUUUCUUUUUCUAAAUAAAAUAACAAAGCCUAACAAAUUUAGGACUCCUCAAGAUCGAUCAACAAAGAUAUAUAAUGUCUGGGUGUUUUUUGAAAGAAUAAUUACCAAGUCGACAUAUUUGAAAAUACCCUCUCAGAUCAUAAAACAAUCUCACACUUGAAAAAAAAAUGUGAUUGAACUACAAGUAGUCAUCUCAUGUAUAUAUAGAUUGCGGAGUACGUGAACCCUAGGCCGCCGCCUUGGUUUUUCGUCAAGAUUGCUAGCCCUGUCCGGCGGCAUACCUUGAGGCGGCGUCGUCGGACGGGACGAAUGGGGCUUGUCUUCGUAGUAGGCUGGUCCAAUCGGAGCAUGGAUGGGGAGCCGUGGACGUCACCGUCGCGUAUGCGUGGAGGUGUCAAGGAGGGAGAGUGGCAGUGGGUUGGCAAGAUGGUGGCGCCCAGCCUUGAAGAGAAACGCAGAUGGCCAAGAUGUUGGCUCACGAUGGUGGCAAGGAAGCGGUGGUUGCCUAGUGGUGAUUAUCGUGGAGUGUCUUUGGUGAGUUCAAAUGUGCCCAAUUUGGAUCAGUUUGAUCCAAUAGGGUUGUGGCUAUUUCGUUUUGAUCCGGGGAGGGGAGCGUGCUUUGUUUGUCGACAUGGGGGAGCUAAUGUCGGUGGUGGCGCUGGCGUUGAUGCCAGUGGUGGAGCAGUAGGAAGGACGCAGAAGCGAUGGAGGCGGUAUGGCUGGUAUCCAUGACUUUGGCUUGGGCUGGUUGCUUCGGGUUGGUCUGCUAUGGUGGGCUAGGGUUUACUUUGGCCCACUUCUAAGUUUGUAGCUAGUCUAUUUACAGUAAUUCCUUUUGUUAGGAACCUAAGCAUUUGUGUGUCUAGUAUUUCUUGCUUUUCUGCGAGAAAUAAGUGAACAGAAUCUAUGUAAUGAAUGGUGCUAGCAUGCCACGUCCUUAACUUGCCCGAUUGUUUGGCAAGGGAAGGCACAUAUCCGUGUCAUUCUAGCUUGAGUAUUAAUGAAAUUGCCGUAUGGCUUUACUUGUCAAAAAAAAAAAUUAACAGUUUUAUCAUUUAUUACUUUUAAAAGUACAUUUUUAUUAUUGGCCUAAAAAAAACUGGUAAUAGAUUAUGUGAAGCCGAGGUAACACUGUUGGGCUGAGACCAAUCAAGGGCCAACCCAAUUUCCCAAAGAAGGCCCGCCUGAUUGGGGCUAAACAUAUUUUUUUUUUUUUUUUUUUAGCUAUAAAUAGUUUAGUAGGCGGCGCAAGAGCGCAAAAAUACAGAAGAGAGAGAGAGAGAGAGAGAUCUAGGUUUUGGAAAGAUGGCAGGAGGGUUUCUGGCGAGGAAGAAGAAGAGGGCGGAAAAAAUACGACAGGUGGAAAUUAGCAAAGCGUACGAGGAACGGGAACGGAAGAAGGGUCCCGGGUCUGAUCCAUUGCUGUAUAUCUGUACUUUCGAGGAAUACAAACGUCACGGUACAGCUGGCUUUUCAGCCGGUUACGGUGUCCACACCAUCCGAGUCUCCGAUUUGAAUGGUUCUGACGAUAAGCCAAGGCCCGAGAAGCUACGCGAAGUUGCUAAUCUGCAAGGGGAACACCUUCCACUACACAUGGGUUUCGCUGUCUUUGGCUCUCGCAUUGUUCUGGCCGGCGGCUGGUUUCUGCAUCCGAAGAUAAAGCAUCCGAUGCCGACCUAUGUUUUGGAGACCGAUCCAACUGAGGAACCCAACCCUAGCUUCAUCAGCACCACUAGUAGUAGUAGACCCCGCUACAUGAUUCCGCAGUUGAAAGGACAUAAAAAAUCUCAGAUCUGGCUUCGGGAGAUUGACGGUAAGCUGUAUGCUCUCUCCGGUACAGACUCGAAACAAAUGAUUUUUCAGGUAUUUGACCCCAAAGCCAAACCUGAAUGGGAUCGUCUCCCCGCGCCUCCAUUCGAUGAUUGGAGUGCGUUUUAUUAUUUUUCAUCAUGUGUAGUUGUGGGCACCAAGAUCAUUCUCACAACUAAGAAGGAAAGGGAAUUCAAGACACUCUGCUUUGACGUGGCUCACCCUAAGGGAUGGACUAGCCUUGAAGCACCCUGCUCUGACCCUCUUUGUGUGUCCCCUGAGUUCUACAACCCGGUUUUAGUUUUGGACGUCAAGGAGGAUCAGAAUGGCUUUGACAAGCUAAUGUUUACUUUUGAUAAUGGUGAUAACCAAAUUCUAGUCUCCAGAAUGAAGUUGUCCGAUGAAGGGGUACCUGUUUCUGUUGAAUCAGUAGCUGAACUAGAUUUGCCCGACAAUCGUGACAUUGAACCAACUUCAUACAAUUUUGCCCAUCUUGGAGAUCAAACAGUAUGCUUUGCAUUCAUGGAUAUAUUCACUCUUCAUGUCAUCACUUUCAAUUUUACCUAUGCCCCAUUCUCUCACAAAUUCCUGGGUCACAUGUUCAACAAAUUUAACUCGCGUGAGGAACUUUCUUGGAUCAACAUUAGUGGUUGCUUUGUGCUCUAACUCCAUUGCUCCCUGUAAGCCAUAUUCUCUACUUAACCUGAACUCAUAGCAUUCCUUAUUUUAUGAUUUCUACCAGUCAUUUUGUCUCAAGGUAUAUAGAUAUCAUUUAGGAUAGGUAUGUACACAUGUUUCUCUAUGCUUGAUAUGUCUGCAUCGAUCUAGAGUGCAGCAAUGUCAUUUUAGGCAUGCAAUUUUUAUUUCCUAUCGUCAACCCUGAUCUUAAAACUUAGUUAAACGGGCAGUCAGGCACUAAUUGAGUCAUGAAUUUCGGACAGUAUAUCAAUCAUAACCACACCACCUAUAACAAACCAUCGUCUUCAUUAUUACAUUUUGCAUGCAUAAUCUAGCGAUAUGGUAAUUAAUAUUGAUUUUUUUGUGCUGCCAUUCACAAUGAUGGAAAAAAAAAAACAAUCUGGGCUUUUUAUCUUUUGAUUUAUUGGCAUAGACCCUUUGGGUGUUGGGUAUCCCUGCUACUACGAUAGGCAAGGUUAGGAUUGAAGAAAACCAAUUUGCUCUAUAUUGCCAAUUUAAUCAGAGUAGGUAAAACACAUCAUCAACUCAUAUGCUUUGACUUAAUCAUCUAAUCAUGCUCUUUGAAUAAAUCAGCAUUUCUUGCCUUCUUUCAAACUUAGUCUAUUGCUGACGGUUAUUUCUUUGCUAUACUUGGGAUAUGUCCUACAGGAUUAGUCAACUGAACUUAAUCAGAGUGUAGGUUAAAAAUUCAUCUACUUGAUCAGUCUGCUUUGUUAUAAACAUCUACUCCUCUGCUUUGAUUGAAUUGGUGUUUCUAUCCUUCUUUUAAACGUUUUACGGCUGUCAAUGUGACUGUUAUUUCAUUUGUAUAUUAGGGGUAUGCCCUAUAGGAUUGACCAAUUUGAUUUUUGGGAAGAUAAUUUUUGUAAGAAGUAACAUGGUGCUGUGAGCUGGAGGGAAGGGCGGUCUCUGCAGAUAUUUGUGGUAUCAGUAUAUAUUUAAUCUGUAAUUAUAAUCUUGAAGGCUGAGAGGGGAAAGGUGCAAUAUAAGUGUCUACUGAAUAGUUUCAAUUCACAUUUGUCUUGCCCACACCCCAGCCAAUUGAUAACUUUUGGAACUGUAACAUCCAAAGCACUACUUGAAAGAUUCCAUGCAAGUGCCAACCAAUAGUCCCAACUGUCAAGUGUCUUUUCAUGAUUUUGAUUCAAUUUCUCUCCCUCAUAAACACGAUUUGAUGCUUUAAAGCAAAAGGAAUACAGUAGAAGCUGAUAGGUUUUGUUUGAACACUUAAAAAGUAAUUUAUGUUUAGGUGGACGACUUGGGAUUGCAAAGCCUUAACUUUUGAUUGUUAGGUUGGUCUGCGAAAUUCGUGUGUAGUAUGAUGUUCUUUUCCCUUUUUUUUCUUAACACAAGCUAGUACUUUCUUGCCAAUGGAACUGUGUAAUUGUUUCUAGUCUUGACUUCUGGUUUAGUUCACCUGGAUAUUGUAUCUGUUAGUGUCUGUGGGCGUAGAUGAAGAUGUAGGAGGUCUGUUUCUUUUUUUUUCACCUGCACACAAGUCUUGCAUAUUGGUCUUGUAGUUUAGUUUGGGAUGUUUAUACUUUGGAACAGGUCAGCACACAAGUCACAACCGAGUUGCGAAGUUGCUAUGCACCACCAACUACAUGCUUUUGUAAAACAUAUCUGCUUUAUUUCGCCUGACUACUUUUGUUGUCUGUCAUCUAUUGUAAUGUAAUGCCACUUUAUUUAGCUUGUCCAACUCAUAUGGGUACCUUUAAACUUUUUAUGUUUUUAACUUUUUAUUUAAGACUAUUGUAUGCUUUUGAUUAAUGAUUCUGACACACUAUUACGAGGAAGGGGGGGGGGGGUAGAAUUUGUGCCAGGCGCGGUUGAUUAGGUUAGCGACAGUAGGGUGGGAUAUUGAUGAUGAUGAUAGUAUAUAUGGAAAAAAUGAAAAGUAGAGGGAGUGUUUAGUUACAGAAGAGGGAGUGUUAUAUUCUUGUUGCUACAGUAACUUUUUUCUUAUAGGGAACAUAAGAGAUUAGAGUACUACAUAUUACAUUUGAACUGUUUAGUUACAAAAGGUAGAACAAAAACUCUGCUAAACAGUUCUAGAUAGCAGGUGUACAUCAUUCUAAAAAGAGAGUAGUUGUACACUGAUAAAUAAAAAAAUCUGCUCCUAGUGUUCUAAAAAUUGUUGUUUCAGUUACGGCUGCAAUAGUAGAGCUUAAUCUGGUGUUCGUUAAAAAAAUAAAAAUAAAAAACAGAUGACUCUAGUAGUCCAGUUGUUCUUGUACCAAGUGCUCCACACUUUGAGAAACACCAGCAAAAUAUUGAGCUGAAGAACGCUUCGCAUGCACCAGCCAAAAAAAAUGAAGUCAUCAGUAAAUCUGUAGAGACUAAGAAACCAAAAGUAACAAAAAUGGAAUCAACAGAAGAACAUGAUCAAGUUUUGUAGCCUAAACAAUCUGAGAAUCAUGAUUGAUGACAUGAGUUUAUGAACAUCUUCUAUAACUAUAAAUUGAUGAGAGAUAACCUGAACAAAAAGCAGAUAUUGAUAUUGCAGAAACUUAGUUAACACGUUAUUGUUUGGGGUGGCAGAAGGAAGAUAUGUGAAGAGAGAGUGGUAGGCUAACAGAAAGAAAGACAAGAAAAGUCAAGAACCCCAUGUUGUUAAUUGAUUUAAGGGUAAGUGGAGAGGCAGAAUCACCCAACCUUUCUGUUGAACUUCUCAAGGGAAUUGAAAUUGACCACUUUCUGCUCCUUUUAGCUGAAUCUAUUAUCACAUUAUGAUGACCCAAAGAGUGCUGCAAGUGGUUAUUAAGCUAGCGUGCAAGGGGAAUAUGUCUUGGUUUAAACUAAAGAAUUAAUUGGUUUGAUGAGAGCGAAUUCAAAAGAUGGCAUGGUAGCUAAAUUUGAGCAAAAUCGAUUCAACACAAAAACAACAAAGGAAACUAAAUGUAAUUGCAACUGUAAGCCUAACCUUUCAGAUGAAAUAACCAUUGAGUAAAGUUUGAUAUUUGUUGCUUUUCUUCUUCACUUAUCCCCUUCUUGUGUAAUCGUAUAUUUUCUGUUAGAUGAAAGACUUUAAACAACAGCCACAANNNNNNNNNNNNNNNNNNNNAGAGAGAGAGAGAGAGAGAGAGAGAGAGGGAGGCACAUACCGGUUCGACGUCAGCUAUCUGGAAGACAACUAUGAGCAAGACGGCAGCUGUGUUCCGGUUUUGGUGCAAAGGCCUGAGGGGCGGUUGCUCAGGACGGCGAUUUAAAGCCUUCAAAGGCAGAUGACAUAGAUCAGAGAAUUGUUUGGGAAAAAACAGAGAAGAAGAUGAAGCAUAUACCGAGACGGCGAAGAGCAGCGUAGGAGAGACAAAGAGAAGCCAAGGGGACUUGCUGAAAACGGUUGGCAAGGUAAGCUGUUCUACGGUGAGCGAUCGAGACAGAGAGAGGAAAGUUGUCUUCCUUGUGUGUUUCGGAUGAGGUCGAGUGAAAAUGAGAUAGAGAAGGAUUAACUUUGGUUUGGAGCAAUCAAAAUGAGUCAACAUUUGUUUUGGGUCGAAAACAGUUUUGGGCUGAUUGGGAUAAAUGGCAGACGAAAUGUCCGAGGCCCACUGCUACAGUAAAUGAACAGUGUUUUGAGCAACUCUGAAAUAGUAUAUUGUAAAUUCGUCAACGACUUUCAACUAGAGAUCGUAUUUUCACAAACUCUUGUAUAGAUUGUUCUUGUCCUUUCAGUCAUUCACAUUUGGAGUCAGCUGAUCACUUUUUCUUACAGUGUAAUUUUGCCAUCUCAGGUGGCAACAAACAUUCUCUUCUCUUAAUAUUUCAGCCUUUUCUACUGUAAAUGCUUUUCUCAAACAUCGGGCCUCGCUCCCCUCCAAUUCCAUUCGUUUUCUAGACAUCUCUCUUAUUAGAGCUUGCUCUAUAGGGAAACAUCGAAACAAUUUCAUCUAUUGGAACCAAUCUACUACUCUUUUGAAGAUAGUAUAUAUUCGUCUGUUAACAUGUUCCAAUCUUACCGCUCUUGCCAUAUAACCUUUCAUCACUCUACUCAUAUAAAUCAGAUGGUCAUUUCUAGCAAGGUUGCCAUUUAUUUUUCCUAUCAGCUCAUUUUUCAUCCAUUAACUAACAGAAUAUGUUCAAAAAAAAUACUAACAGAAUCUGUUAAUUAGUAAAUUACAAAAUUUCCCUUUACAUCUUUUUACGACAUUUGAAGGUCAGUAGCUUUGUGUAAUUUUUUGAAGGUCACUAGCUUUACAUAUUUUUGAGGGUCAGUAUUGAGAAAUUUUAUAUAUACACUCCUAAAAUCUUAAUACACAUCUUUUUCUUAAUACAUAUCAUUUUCUUAAUACACUAAUUUAAUUUCUCAUUCUGAUAUUUACUAAAUACACAACCCAAAGUACCUAAAUUACCUUUAAUAUAAAAAUCCAUGAAAUAUCUUAUUAUGUGACUAUAUUAAGACUAUUAUUAUUGUAUAAUUAGUAUAUAUUUAUAUAAAUUAACAUUUUAUAGAUGUUCAUAUCUAUUACUUAUGUUAGAUUCAUUGUUUAUUUCAAAUCUUAAACAUGAAAAUGAUAAAAAAGAUGAAAAGUGCAUUUGUGAAUAGUAAUAUAACGAAGGGAGCCCUUCUAGUAAGGAUUUUUAAGUUGAUGACUAGUUAAAGACUUUUCAGUUUAUGGUUUAAAAGACCUAUUUUUUAUGACAUUUUGACAUCUCAUCCGUUCAUUUUUAGGUUUAUAUGGGUAUAUCAUUUCUAUAAAUUUUUAACCAAAUUGGUGUUCGUUAAGAUAACAAACUAGAUCAAAUUAAUGGACGAACCAAAUCUGUCAAAUAUGAACCUUUCAAGUUCAUAAUUGAUAAAUCACACUUAUGAAUGCCUUGACAAUUUCCAAUAUAGCUAAAAAUUUAAUGAAAUGAUCUACUCAUAAAUACUUAUAAAUUGAACGGUCAAGAUGUGGGUAUAAGAUCGAAAGGUGGGAUAAGCCGAAAAGUCCUCAACAAGUCCUCAACAAGUCCUCAACUUAAGGUUCUCAUUAAAAGGGCUUCCAUAUAACGAAAUAUGUGUUCAUAUGUAUAAAAUUUAUAUCGUUUCACACUUUGACAUAGGACUGGGCAUAUGUCGGGUCGGGUCGGUUUUGGGCCCAAACCGAUUUUUAACAGUUUUAUUCAGUUGAGCCAAAACAUACACCGCCAACCGUAUUUACAUUGGCUGUGUCGAAAAAUUCGGUAAAACCGAAAAUAAAAUCGGUGUUGUUCGGUGUCGGUUUAAUGUACAACUUGACAAACAUUCAAAUCAAGUAAUCUUUCCCCAUUUAAUUGUUAGUUUGAAGUUCACAAAUCACAAUCAUGACUACAAGUCUCUUCAUCAUUUGGAUCAUGAAUUUGAAGUUUGAGUUAGUGUUGUAAAAGAUGACGAGUUAAUAUUGGUUUUGGUUGCUGAUGGCUAUAACCAAGUAGCCAUGAACAGGUAAAAGAGAAAAGAAAUGGAAGAAGUUGGUAUAUUAAUCGUACUUGAAGUCUAAGAGCAAAUCCACCCCAACCUCAAAAGCAUGACACAAGCCUUCAUCCAUGUCAAAAGAAGACCUAACAAAAAAAAAAGCAAGUCCACAUACCCACAAACUUUUUUUAACCCAGGCCUUCAUUGGGCAUUCAUCUAGGUCACACCUAUGACCCAAACUUCCAUUUCUGAAGACCCGGGCCUUUGUUUCCAACUCAGCCCAUGUAAUACCCUUAAUUUUAUAAAAUAUAAGCAAUGUUCUAAAAAACGCUAAGCGCUAGUCGGGCGGACAGCCGGCGCCUAGCGCCUAGGGGAUGAAUCGGGCGCCUAGGAGGUUUUUUAUUUUCAAUAUUUUUAAUUAUUUUUAUCACACAAAAGUAAUAAAUAAUUAAUUAUAUGUCUUAUUAUUAUUUACUUUAACUAAAAGAGGAUAAGAUUUUUAAAAAAAAUGGAUGACUAAACAUAAAGGAAAGGGUAUUUGAGGGGUUCCACUUUAACUUAAACAUGUAUACAUGUUAUCCAUAUCCUUCUGCCGUUAUUCUUUUUCUCUACUCUCUCUAUUCUCUUCUUCUCCAUAAAACCCAGAUCUGAAAGCAGAGACCCAUAUUGAUUUUAGAAAAUUUCAUAGAAGUCCUCUUUUCAACAUUUUUUCCUUCAUAAGUCCACCCUAACAUUUUUACCCAUACAAGUCCACUUUAAGCCCAAACACGUCAGCUAAUUUUUUCUCUGAUACCUAAAAUACCCUCGACCCAAUUUCAUACCAUAUUCUCUACCUCUACGAAAUCUCUCUCUCACUCUCUCUCUCACACUCUCUUCACCAAUCUCGACUCCAUCGUCGCUGACGCCAUUGAUGACAACCUCCAUGAACGACGACGACUCCAACAUGUAUCCUAAUCGACCGUGUCGUAGAUCGGCUUCGCCAACUUCAUCUGGAAUCAGUUGUCGGCGUUUUCCGAGCGGCGGACUUCUUGCCGGAGAGGCGCUCGGUGGAUUCACCUCUGUUCCAGAUCAAUCUUUGGCCGCACCUCUCAAACCUAGAACUCGCCGAUCCGAAGCAAAAUGAAGAUGAAGAUCAACAAGGCCUGCGAUCUCCGCUCCAUCUUCGUCCUUCCUCCUCACUCAAGGUUUAAAUUCGCUACAAUCUCAAAUUUCGUCGACGAUGUUAUUAACUCGAUUGGUGAUUUUCUUAUUUCUGUUUGUGGAUUUUAGGAUGCUAACUUGAUCAGCAGUACGUCUUUCUCCGACGUCGAUCUCUGAUUUGGAGUCAUCGAUCUCUGAUUUGAAGUCGAUCUGUGGUGGUGGGAGAUCUGUGGAACGGGAGUUCCGAUAUGGUGGUGAAGGAAGCGCCGGUUGCUGCGGAGAAGGCGAACUUCGAUGAAUUGAUGGAAUCAGUGGCGUAGUCUAAGGGAAAGAAUACGAUUGCGAAGCAAAUUUAUGUUUUUGCACUUUGUUUGCUGGAGUUAAUGGCAGCCCUGCCAAAUAUUUUCCAAUUCUAUGUUAGUAUAUGUUGAACACAGUGAUAGUAUUUUUUAAUGUCUGGCUUAGUAUGUUUUCAACAUGAUCAUAGUAUUUUGUAUACAUAAUCGUAGUAUCUUUCGUUGAUGAUGGCAGUAUCUUUUGUUGUUAUUGGUAGUAGUUUUUUUUGCUGGCGGUAGUACCUUUUGUUGAUAGCAGUAGUAUUUUUUGUUGUCAGUAGUAGUAGUUUUCUUUGUUGGUGACAGUAGGUUUUGUUGUUGUCGGUAGUAUUUUUUGUUGUCAGUGGUAGUAGCUUUUGUUGCUGGCGGUAGUAGCUUUUUUUGCUGGCGAUAGUAGCUUUUGUUGCUGGCGGUAAUAGAUUUUUUUGCUGGCGGUAGUAGCUUUCUUUGCUGGCGGUAGUAGUUUUUGUUGUGGGUGGUAGUAGUUUUGGUUGCUGGUAGUACGUAGUAUUUUUUGUUGCUAGUGGUAGUAGUUUUCGUUGAUGAUGGUAGUAUUUUUUUUGUCAGUGGUAGAAGUUUUAUUUGCUGGCGGUAGUACCUUUUGUUGCUAGCGGUAGUAUUUUUUGUUGUCAGUGGUAGUAGCUUUCUUUGCUGGUGACAGUAGAUUUUGUUGCUGUUGGUAGUAUCUUUUGUUAUCGGUGUUAGUAGCUUUUGUGGUCGCCAGAAUUCUCAUUGAUGGUCGGCCGGAAAGUUCGCCGGAGACCUUGUCGGAGUUCAUUAGUGGCAUUUUUGUAAAUAUAAGAGAGAAAAUCUAAUUUUUUUGUUGGAUGACAAUCUGUAAUUUUGUUUAACUUUAACACCAAAUAUAAGACACUAUUUAGAUUUUGGUGGACUUAUGUGAGUAAAAAUGUUUGGGUGGACCUAUAUAGAAUAAAAUGUCUCAAAGUGGACUUCUAUGUAAUUGGCCCUAUUGAUUUACUCUCUCUCUCUCUCUCUACUCUCUUCUUCGAAACCCAGACUCCAAAAUGAAUGAGAUUUGAAAAAACAUUACCCAGGUUUUCUUUCCUCGAUCUGUUACGCAUUCAUAAUUCACUUCUUCUCCUCUCUCUCUCUAUUCUCUUCUUCUAUCGAGGUUAGAAUGAGUUUGAUUCGAUUUGUUUCUGUUUUAAGAUAUAAGUUUGAACGACGAAAAAAAAAAAUUCAGACCGUCUAGUCGGCGGACCGCCAAGACCGCCCAAGCGCUGCCUAGGCGGCCGACUUUCUCCCGAACGCCUAGCUCGACCGAUUAUGGGAGAAUCAGAACGGAUGGGUGACGCCUAGCGUCUAGGCGGCGUUUUUUAGAACAAUGAAUAUAAGAAAUGAUCUUUUUAUUUAGGCUGGUAUGUCCUUAUACAUAUGCACAUGUACGUGUGUGUGUCUAUAUAUACAGGCUUUCUUGGCUAAGGAGAUCCUUAUUUAUUCUUACAGUGCGGAUUUUCAUUUUAGACUCAUUUUUCAAUCGAAUUUUCACAUCUCCACCGUAUAGUCUUUAGAUACUAAUGUAUAGAUCAUCUCUACAAAAUUUCAGCCCCUUUGGUUAUCAUUAAGACACUCAAAACUGNNNNNNNNNNNNNNNNNNNNAGGGUAAGUGGAGAGGCAGAAUCACCCAACCUUUCUGUUGAACUUCUCAAGGGAAUUGAAAUUGACCACUUUCUGCUCCUUUUAGCUGAAUCUAUUAUCACAUUAUGAUGACCCAAAGAGUGCUGCAAGUGGUUAUUAAGCUAGCGUGCAAGGGGAAUAUGUCUUGGUUUAAACUAAAGAAUUAAUUGGUUUGAUGAGAGCGAAUUCAAAAGAUGGCAUGGUAGCUAAAUUUGAGCAAAAUCGAUUCAACACAAAAACAACAAAGGAAACUAAAUGUAAUUGCAACUGUAAGCCUAACCUUUCAGAUGAAAUAACCAUUGAGUAAAGUUUGAUAUUUGUUGCUUUUCUUCUUCACUUAUCCCCUUCUUGUGUAAUCGUAUAUUUUCUGUUAGAUGAAAGACUUUAAACAACAGCCACAACAAAGAACUAUUCAACGAUGUGUCUAUUAAUUAUGCUUUUGUUCCAUUAGUUACAACCGGUAAUAUUUGACAAAAGUCUCCACCAAGUACAAUAGGCAUUCCAUCAAAAGGAGGAACAUCUUCUCCUUCAUAAUGAUAUGAUAAUAUAUGGACGAUGCUACAAAACCAAGCAAUCACCCAAGAUGAAGGUAGAAAGGAAAAACAUACUUAAAGGUCUCACAAUCAAAUGCAUUAAGUAAUUUCAGCCUGGCCACUUCAUUUAAACAGAGAUGUUUUGGUUAAGUGUUUUAACGGAUCAUUUUGGUUAAGUCUGUCCACGGUCUUUNNNNNNNNNNNNNNNNNNNNNNNNNNNNNNNNNNNNNNNNNNNNNNNNNNNNNNNNNNNNNNNNNNNNNNNNNNNNNNNNNNNNNNNNNNNNNNNNNNNNNNNNNNNNNNNNNNNNNNNNNNNNNNNNNNNNNNNNNNNNNNNNNNNNNNNNNNNNNNNNNNNNNNNNNNNNNNNNNNNNNNNNNNNNNNNNNNNNNNNNNNNNNNNNNNNNNNNNNNNNNNNNNNNNNNNNNNNNNNNNNNNNNNNNNNNNNNNNNNNNNNNNNNNNNNNNNNNUAAAAACUAAAAUUGAACUUUUGAAAGCCUUAACGAUNACCAAAUCAUAUGAAAUUUUAUAGAGGUGAUCUACUCAUAUAGACCUAAGAUAUGAACGGUGGAGAUGUAAAAUUAUAAUCGGGAAGUUGGUGUAAUGCCAUAUCCCUAUAAAUGGCUUAAAAUAGGGAUCCCUUAUUGGAAGGGCCCUGAUAUAUAUAUAUAGUCCGGAUUUAGAGAGGACAACCUUAAACUCUUAAAGUAAGGAUGUUUUUAGUUAUAGCAUGUAUUUUGAUAAUCAGAACCACUCAUUUCUUAGUUACUUACCCACAUAUGAAUCCUACAAAAAAAUUAGUCAAAAUGAAAAACGUUUAACCAUUUGAUUAGCAUAAUAUUCGUUUUAAUUUUAUUAUAGAAUUAGUUGAAAUUUUGUAGACAUGUUUCUUGUUUCUUGCAUAUGAAUCUAGAGGAUCAACGAUUGAGAUCGUUAAAAAAAGUCAUCUACUAAUGUAAAAUAGUAGAAAUCCUUAAAUUCUUAAAGUAAGCAGGCCGUCUUUAGAUCAUCUCUCUAUAUAUAUAAUCCAUGUUGUAAUACUCCGACAAUUUAGUAACUGAAUUUAUUUCAAUAUACAUUGUUUAAUUAAGAUUUGUAUCAAGAUGAUUUAAGUGAGAAUCGUAUAGUAGUUGUCAGGACCCACCCUGAAUACCCACCCCGAAACCCAAGGUAAAUCCUGUUUGGUCCACCUUUAAGGAAAAUUUACCGAAAAUUUACGACAAUAACCUCCCUUGAAAAUGAAAAACCUUUCUAAAAGCACCUGUAAACACUUCUAAAAUUUCAAAUCCAACCUUAAACACCUGGAGCCUUUGUGCUCCCCAAAUUCACAACACCUCUCAAUUUAAUUAUUAAACUAAAUAAAAUCCCACAACAAACAAUUUAUUGGUUCAGAGCAACUCUAAUAAGGAUAAAAGGAAACAAAAUAAAUAAAUAAGCAGAAGCUAUAGGAUAGACUAUGCCUCGUCUCCAUGUACGCCCGACCUCAACUAAGCUAACCUGUAAGUUGGGCAUUUAAAAUCGAAGGGCCUAGGAGAAAACAUUUGAAAAAUGUUAGAGUGAGUGGACAAAAAUAAAGUUUAAAAGAAAUAAAUCUUUAUGUUUUCCUGAUUUAAUUUCCAUAGAACUUAUGCUGCAUGCGACAUCUCAAACUAUUCAUAUUCUCUGUAGGACAAAUAGGUCAGACCGUACUCUGAACAACUAUUGACUCAACGUCUUUCCUAGUUUGACUAGGGUUCCUGGGUUGACCACGAUUGACCAAGUUUGACCCACGGUUGACCAACAGAUAUUAAUAAUCAUUUUGGACUAACUUCGCAACUAUAACUCAUUCGGUUCCAACCCAAACCUUAACUUGGAAUCGAAGUCACAAUCAACUUCCAAGCCUUUAACACAUCAACUAAUUUACUUCCAAAUUCAUCACAUAGUAAUCUGGUCUAGAUUCUAGAGUUACUAUGGACAUUGUUCAUAUUACCAAAAUUAUUUUAUGGUCCCCUACGUUCAUGCAUGCCAACAUACAGUACCAACAAUUCCAUCAUUCCCUCUCUACACAACUUCACCCAAAAUUUACUAAGAGCACCCAAAAGGGUUUCCAUGAAUAGAAAGUUUCUAUAAGGGGAAAGUUUCUUCCUAACUUAAUAAGUUUUCCAAUUAUACUCUGAACUUUCCUAUUUAGGAACUACGACUUGGAUUAGAAAGAAUAGUCUCGAAAACUACCUUAACGGCUCUCAGCCGGAUAUGCUGCCUCGCUGUAACCCCUCACCGGAUUUCGGCGACUUACGGGAAUAUUCUGCUGGAUUCUGACACAAAGAGCUGUGUCGCCUCACGGUAAAAAUAAAAGAUACGUCACCUUCUAGCAUGUCGUUGUUUAAACUAUCAGGCGACAUGUAUACCGUGUCGUCUUAUCUCAAUUCAGGUGACACAAAAUGAAAAAAGUACUUAUGUCGCCUGAGGUUCUUAUAGGCGACACAACAUUUGUGUCGUCGGAGAACCUUAUCAACGACAUGCUAGAAGGCGACACUUACGAUUUUUAUCAGGCGACACAACAGUUGUGUCGCCUGAUGCAAGAAAUGGCAUAGUGUAAAACCUUUACUUACAAACUCUUAUUCGGGUAACUAACAAUCUACAAGUUUGUAUACACCACCUCUAUCAAAAAAACAAAAAACAAAUUUCCGAAUUGAUAAACUACUAACGAUUGAUUUUUAACACCCUUCAGAGUAUAAGGUAACGGUAUAACUCAGUUAAAUCAAAAACCACAAUAUGAAAAGGAAUUACUAUUUUCGGGGUGUGUUAAUAGGCUUUCAAAACGAGCAACGAGAAUUGCAGGGGGUCAAUGAGACAUCAAGAAAAGGCCGGUGCACCUCAAUUGUUUGAGGAAUUGACCGGACGGUCUCCAAGAAAUUGGAGCCGUGUUCGGGUGACAUCAAUGUCCCCCGGGUGCCGCCAUUUACAACCAUGGCGUCACCAUCAUGCUUCAUGGAGAAGCUAGAUCCCGAAUGUUUUUGUUUUGUGGGGAAGAAUGGAUGUCCAUGAAAAUUUCUUAAAAUUCGGACCAUUAUAUCUCUUUCAGGAUGACCGAUUUGGCCAAACCAAAGCCUAUAUGAGUCGGUAUCCCAGAUAUCAUGUUUGGCAACAACAUGUGAUUCGAUAUUCGAAUCAUAGUGACACACAAUCCACUAGAUUGACUCAUAAACUUCUCUAAGAUGCAUUUCAGUCUGUAUUCAUGAGAAGUUAUACACAAAAGAAUUCUUGUUCAUUCUCACAAUGUGUUUUAAAAUGAAAACUAGUAGCAUAAAUGUCUUUAAAGUUCAACAUGGUUCGGUUGCCUCCCAAUGCAUAGAAGGCAUCUGUGACGUUGAUCAUGGUGUCAUAAGGCAUCAAGAUAUAAGCUAAACCGCGUCCUUAAAUGACUGAUAUGAUUCAAUUAUUAUAGUCACAUAAUAUUUACAAAGGCACAAAAUCCAAAGAUAGUUGCCGGUUUCUUAGAAUGUUGUGGGUAGUUCCACUAUCUACGAAGCACUCAAUGUCUCUAUGAGACAGAUCUACAAAAUGGAGUAGAUAGGAGAGUAAAUAGUUCCACUUAAACCAUUUAGAAUGAUGGAAAGAAGCUACAAAAAACUGCAAUCCUGAGAGUGCAUAAAAAUUUCCACGCAGAAUGACCUUUACGCACUAAAACAGCCUUAACUUCUUCGUUAAAAUAGAUAUGGAUGAACUGUGAAAAAUUCUGAAAGCUCACUGUCUGAUUCGUCCGAAUCUGUUCAUAAAGCUCAAACGAAGUUGGCUGUCCAAAAAGAACAGAUUGCUGUUUUUCGUAGAUUUGGCAUUGGCAAAGCUUUGAAGCUUGCCGUUGGCAUGGAGGCUUAUGCUCAGCCACGGGGACCUGUUGAUGAUGAUUGUCUGGUUUUGAGAAGUCUUCAACAUCUUUUACAAGACGAAAAUUGGUUUAAUAGCGUAGGGGGAUCCAAAAUCAAAAGUUUUCGGUAACUCCAAGUCAGCAUAACCAGGCAUGUCCGUGGAGGGUCGGUAGUGCAAGACACACUUAAACCACUAUCUCCUUAAUUUCGGACAAUUCUAAGACAUCACAUUGAGCUUGGAUGAGCCUAGUUGAACAACUGAUGAUGGAAAAUCCGCUAUAGAGUAGAAGACUUAACUGGAAACUCGUUGGCAAUCCUCCUUGAGGAUGCAAAGCCGUGCGCCAUCUUCACUUGAAAGAGUUCAAAUCGGCACAAUCUAACCAUGUAGAUUGUAUAUAUGCCAUGUUUCUAAGGAUGAUGUAAAAAAUUGUACAUCUUUUUUUGUAAAUCAAUAUGAACCAUAAGAGGAGAAUAGUUUCAUUUCGAAAGAAAUUGGCAUUGAUUAUUGCUAAUGUGAGUACAUCGAGGUCUCGAAUAGAUGAAGGACAUUGAUACGACACCUUAUUACAUAUAGCUUGGAAAGAAAAUCAGAGUUUUAGCCAAUGACGUUAAAGUCAAGGGCAUCUAGAGCUAGAUCCGAAUCUUUGAAAUCCGUGAUCAUGAGGAUGACGUUCUUAUCCUCAUUUUGAUUUUUUGUACCUUUUUGUAUGCAUUCACAAUUUGAAGGAGAGCUAGAUAACUCCUCAACCAGUGAUCCAGAGAUCCACACAGUCGCAUUGUCCUGAGCGGACGUGAGUAGUUUUGACAAAUUGUUGUCUAGACCAGGAGUGUCGCCAUUAGGGCCAGCGGCACCUCCCCCUCUUUUCUAGACAUUAGUGUGGCUUUUUCUAUUGUUGCAGUGACCCAUAUUGUUUUUCACGCACUAGGGGACAAUCCCAUAUAUGUGUAGACCAAUACGUUUAUCGUAUUAGUGUAUAUGCAAUUCUCAUUUGCAAUUGUAUGAUCAAAAUCAAGCCUCAUUGGUAAUUCCAAACCAACUUGGAGAGCCUAGAGAACUUGAUGAUGAUCGAAAUCGAAUCCGCUAAAGAUUAUGGAUCAGGAUGCCACGGAAUAUCAUCGACGAUAUAUAGUCAAAUAAGGUGGUAAGCAAUCCACUUGACUUAAUAACUCAACUUGUUAAGUUAGAUGAACAUUUCAAGAAACGCUCCAUAAGUGCAUUCCACAUUACAUUGUGGUCAUUAACUUUUUACACAGAUUGCCAUUAAGGGCUUUUGUCGAUGUGGCACUUCAAAACUUUGAGCGCGUGAGAUGUGAAAUCUCGGCAUCUAGGCUUGUUAGCCUAGGUUUCAAAACAUGUGAUUUAAUCCUUUCUAAUGAAAGGUUCCACAGAUACUAAGCGAAGAUUCGCCUUAGGUAUCAAAUACAUCAAAACUCAAAUGAGCAGAAUGUAAUGUUGCUCUUGCAUACAAAACCAAGCAGUUAUGAGACUCGAUAGAGGUCACAAAUGAUGUUUUUUAAUGGUUUGUCCUUCGAAUUGAUCACACACAAUCCGGAAAAGCCGCAAAUUGAUCAAACACAAUUCGAAAAAGUCUCGGAUUGAUCAAACACAAUCCGGAAAAAGGUCGGGGUUGAUAUACACAACCCGGAUAAAGAAACAAGAGUGAUCAAACACACACUUGACCCACAAAUAAAAUUCCAGGAUUUUUACCUGCACGCACAAAAUCUCAAGCAUAGAAUGGAGAUGGAAAAAGGAGGAAAUGAUUUUAUCCUGCUCGAGUUAUUGAACUUGGAAAAGUUUAGGGUUUCAAAACAUACCCUUCGAAACUUCAAACACUCGAAGAAAUCGAAAAUUGUAGUCAGAGGAAACCAAAAAAUCGUCGGCGGGAGGCGGCCAAGGGAUUGGUAGCCGGUGGUGUCGGACAACGGCCAGGAAAAUGGGCGGCAGCGGCGGUCGGACAGAGGAGCUGAAAAACGCUUUUUAAGGUUUCGAAAAAUAAAAUGGUGGGCUAUUAGUUCUAGGGUUAGAACAAAGUGCAUAAUAACAUGAUCAAGUAUAAAGUGUAGAGAAUGAGAGAUGACAAGAGAAUCAUCAAAAAGAUGUAUCUUAUUCAUUGAGAGGUGUCAGUACCACCCCGAAUUUCACCGUGAAACCCGAGGUAAUUCUUGCGGGGUCCACCUCUAAGGAAAAUUUACUGAAAAUUCGGCAUAAUCUACCUUGAAAAUGGACAACCCUUACCUAAAAAUUUCAACUUACAGUUCUAUAAUCAAACAAACCAACCUCAACACCUGGAGUCAUCCUGCACCCCAAGAUCAACAUAUCUCCCAAUAUAACAAUUACUAAACUAAAAUAAUCUCACAACCAACAUCAUACAAUUAAUAAUUUACUACACCAACACUCGGAUAAGCACACCAGGAGAUUGACUCGACGCCAUAGAAAGGAAAACCAGACACCGUGAAGGCGGCGGAGCACGGCAGCGCACACAAGAACUCGUUAGGUGAGGGAUUUGCCGGAACUCAACAAUUCACCGGAGAAUUGAAAUUGGGGAUCAGGGUUUCGAUUUCAAAGAAUUUAAGACAUGCAAUCGAAGAAGAAGGAAGGAGGAGGAGAACCUUACCCCUCACAGUCGUCGUCCCCGUCGAAGCUUGCCGGAUUCUGAUGAACACAGUGGUGUUCAUCAAUUUCGAUCUCCAAGGAUCCGGGGUUGUUUAUGGAAUUUGAUUAUUGGGUUUUGAAGAGAAGAAGGAGGAGAUCAUUUUGGCAGUCAUCUCGCCGUGAGACAGUGGCGUCGUGCGGAGGACGCUGGAGGCAGGCGAAGUUGGGUGAGAGAGAGAGCUGGGCUCGGGUCAACGCCCGAGUGUGGCUUUUAAGAAGUCAACCCAACUUAUUUCCCUAUAUACCCAAGCUAAUGGCGAAGAUCAAAACCCUACUUAAUCCGACAACCAAGAUUAAAUGAGCUAUUCUAAUUUCAGAAAAUAAAUUUCUUUUACCAAACCUUCAAAAAAUCGUAAAAAAUACUUCAAAGCUCUAAAAAUAAACCGAAAACACCGUAAAACCCGUGUUGACGCGAACUACGACACCGAGACCUUAAAAGAAGAAUUUGACAUUUCCAAAAGCACUCGCAAAUAAACUCGAGUGUUAACUUACUAAGUUACCGAGCACGGUUAAAUUCCUCAGUAACUCGUAGAAUACCCAGUAAAUAGGUAAAAUUGGGUACGGGGCGUUACAAUAGAAUCUCUUUAUACAGGGAAUUACAAAGUAUCAAUAUUGUAAUGAUAAGGAAUACAUAGUUAUAAUCUAACUACAUAUCAUAUUGGCAUAAGGCUAAGACACAUAUAAGAAAUAUCCUAGAAAGAUGCAGAAUAUCCUAGAACAAUUUUGCAAUUAAUAAAAACAGAUUUUUUUUAAUAAAAACAAAAAUUUAAAAAUAUUAGAAAUCAUACUAUAUUGACGUGGGUAUGCCACGUUAGUUGUCACAUAAGAUGGACUCUAGGUGGUUCACCAAAAGAUGGUUCAUCUAACGUUACUCAAGCAGAAAAGAGGUUCGAGGAGGAAGAAUAUAACGAGAAAGGAUUUAAUUAGCUCUUCUGCCAUGCGUAGGUUGUGAAUAUACUGAAUUACUCAUUUCAUAAAUCGCGACCCUACGUUUAUUGUAACGAUCAGCAUGACGCAACAUUAGCUAAUACCCUGUUUUGCUAGUUAGUUUCUAUCAAUCUAGCGUUAGGUGACUUAAGUCCAUGCCAUUUUCUCCGUCUCUCGUGUUUCUCUUCAUUUGUUCUCUCUUCUUUCUGUUUCAUCUGCAUAACGCUAGAAACCCAAUUAUUCAGACUAAUGGUUGCUUGAAUUUAAAUUCUAUAACAAAUCCCGACCCGAGUGAUAUAUAAGAGCUUUGACUCUUCUCUUCCUUAAGCUCUUUAACUUUUUAGAGGGACAAAUUAAAGAAACCAGGAACUACUUAUGUGCAUUAGCACUUUCUCCAAAAGUUUGUUUCCAGAAUAGUGUUGCCUUGUCACAGAACGCACUCUCCGAAGCAACUUUGCCUUUAGAGAGAGGAGAGCCUAUUUGCGGCGCACAAGGAAAUUUAACGGGGAGUGGGUGGCACGCGCUAUCUGUGCUAUUGGGGAAUUCUUGGCCUAACUUCUUCCUUCCUAUCUCUAACACAACGACAACAACCCUUCUAGCCUCCUUCCGUGUUCGUUUUGGUCUCCAAGAGAAAGAGGCGACGCUGGGAAAGAGAGGGAGGGGCUGGAAAGCCUCGCUGGAGACUCGCCGUGAAAAAAAAACCAUAAAAGAGAUACUAAGGAUUCGGGCACCAUUCAAGGAAACAAAAACAUAGAAUUGAACAAGAAGAGAAGAGGAGAGAAACCCUACCCACCACUGUUACAGUCAUCGUCGGAGCUCGCCGGAAAUUGAAGAACACAGUGAAGCAUCCUUGAAUUCGAUCUCCAUUGAAUUGGGUUGCAUGUUUGAUAUAUGGACUGGGUUUUGUAGAGUAGAAGAAGAGAAAGAGUUUGGUGGUGGUCUCACCGUCUGGGUGGUCGGAAUCGGGCGGAGAAGAUGGAUGCAGCAAAGAGAGAGGAGGAGGAGAGAGACAGACAGGUCAAUGCCCAAAAUGGGCUUUUGACCGAGGUCAACAGUCUCUUCCCUUUUAUAGGGAAAUGUACAACCAAGAUUAAAAGGAGGAAAACAAUCAACGGCCCAGACUUUAAAAUGUUAUUUCCUAAUUUUAGAAAAUUCUAUUGAUUCCCGAAACUUCGAUAUCGUAAAAAUAGCUCGAUUCUCUGAAAAUUUAUCCGAAGACAGCGAUGAACUCGUCUCACCACGUACUUUGACACCGGGUCCUUAAAAGAGGAAUAUGACAUUUCGAGAAAAACUCGAAAAUACUCAGGAGUUAAUUUAGAAAUUAACCGGGCGCGGUUACUAACCUUCGGUAACUCAACGAACGCUCGGUAAAUUUCUUCGGGACGUCUCAAUAAAGUAGAAUUCGAGCAAAGUUACAACUUCAUUCAAGUAGAAGUAAAUGCAGAAGAAUGUGAGUAAGGUUCGGGAUAUAUCACAUACUAAUGUGGUGACUUUUUCAAAUAAGUUAUAUACAAGUGUACGUCUUUAUAAACCAACUAUAUCGAGAAAGUAAAAUUUUCAAAAAUCUUGUCAAAUAGAAUGUGACUGGAAUGGUGAAAUACGGUUAGGGUUGAAAAAUCAUAAAUAUGUGGCGAUACGAAGUCAUAAAUAUGUGAAAGUAAAAAUUCCACCGUCCGAUGUAGACAUGGUGAUUAAAUAGGUCUACUGAAAAAAAUUCACCCUGUUUCGGAUUCGUUAGACCCCCCCAUCGAACCGGUCAACCUAAAUUCAACAUCAUUUUUUACACGAAAAGCGGUUGACUGGCAUCGUGCGAAACCCUAUUUUUUUUUCGUUUUCGAACCUAAAACUCAUAUACAUGAGAUUUAGGAACGCAUGAAAAAAAAUUGUUAAAUUGGCCCUCCGGUGGUUAGGCUCCCAUUAGGAGCGCCUAAGCGUAUUUAGAGUUGACAAGAAGCAAACGUUACCGAAAGUUUGUGAUUUUUUAACCCUACAUGUAUUUCACUAUUCCGGUCACAUCUUAUUUCAUAAGAUUUUUGAAAAUAUUGUUUCUUUAGUAUAGUUGGUUCACAAUGAUGUACAAGUCAUAUAACCUAUUAAACAAGUUAUACCGCUUUAGUAGGUACGUGGCGAUCUGAGGUCAUAAAUAUGUGAAAAUAAAAAUUUCACCGUCAGAUGUAGAUAUGGUGAUUAAAUAGGUCUAUUGAAAAAAAUCCACCAUGUUUCGGAUUCGUUAGACCUCCCAUUGAACCGGUCAACCUAAAUUCAACAUCAUUUUUUACACGAAAAGCUGUUGAAUGGCAUCGUGCGUAAACCCUUUUUUUUUUUUUUUUGGAACCUAAAACUCGCAUUCAUGAGAUUUAGGAACGCAUGAAAAAAAUUGUUAAAUUGGCCCUUCGGUGGUUAGGCUCCUCUUAAGAGCGCCUAAGCGUAUUUAGAGUUGAAUGUUUUUAUCGGGAAGCAAACGUUACCGAAAGUUUGUAAUUUUUUAACCCUAUAUGUAUUUCACUAUUCCGGUCACAUCCUAUUUCAUAAGAUUUUUGAAAAUUUUGUCCUUCCAGUAUAGUUGGAUCACAAUGAUGUACAAGUCAUAUAACCUACUAAACAAGUUAUACCGCUUUAGUAGGCAUGUGGCGAUCCGAGGUCUUAAAUAUGUGAAAAUAAAAAUUCCACCAUUACAUGUAGACAUGGUGAUUAAAUAGGUCUACUUAAAAAAAUUCACCAUGUUUCGGAUUCGUUAGACCCCCUAUCGAACUGGUCAACCUAAAUUCCACAUUAUUUUUUACAUGAAAAGCGGUUGACUGGCAUCGUGUGAAACCGUAUUUUUUUUCAUUUUCGAACCUAAAACUCGUACACAUGAGAUUUAGGAACUCAUGAAAAAAAAUUGUUAAAUUGACCCUCCGAUGGUUAGGCUCCCCUUAGGAGCGCCUAAGCGUAUUUAGAGUUUACUGUUUUUAUCGGGAAGCAAACGUUACUGAAAGUUUGUGAUUAUUUAACCCUAUAUGUAUUUUACUAUUCCGGUCACAUCCUAUUUCACAAGAUUUUUGAAAAUUUUGUCUUUUCAGUAUAAUUGGUUCACAAUGAUGUCCAAGUCAGAUAACCUACUAAACAAGUUAUACCACUUUAAUAGGCGCGUGGCGAUCCGAGCUUAUAAAUAUGUGAAAAUAAAAAUUUCACCUUCAGAUGUAGACAUGGUGAUUAAAUAGGUCUACUGAAAAAAAUUCACCCUGUUUCGGAUUCAUUAGACCCCCUAUCGAACCGGUCAACCUAAAUUCAACAUUAUUUUUUACAUGAAAAGUGGUUGACUGGCAUCGUGUGAAACCGUAUUUUUUUUCGUUUUUGAACCUAAAACUCGUAUACAUGAGAUUUAGGAACUCAUGAAAAAAAAUUGUUAAAUUGACCCUCCGGUGGUUAGGCUCCCCUUAGGAGCGCCUAAACGUAUUUAGAGUUGACUGUUUUUAUCGGGAAGCAAACGUUACCGAAAGUUUGUGAUUUUUUAACCCUAUCUGUAUUUCACUAUCCUGGUCACAUCCUAUUUCACAAGAUUUUUGAAAAUUUUGUCUUUUCAGUAUAGUUGGUUCACAAUGAUGUCCAAGUCAUAUAACCUACUAAACAAGUUAUACCGCUUUAAUAGGCACGUGGCGAUCCGAGCUUAUAAAUAUGUGAAAAUAAAAAUUUCACCUUCAAAUGUAGACAUGGUGAUUAAAUAGGUCUACUGAAAAAAAUUCACCCUGUUUCGGAUUCGUUAUACCCCCCCCCAUCGAACCGGUCAACCUAAAUUCAACAUCAUUUUUUACACGAAAAGCGGUUGACUGGCAUCGUUUCGGAUUCGUUAGGCCACCCAUCAAAUUGGUUAAUUUUAAUUCAACCUUAUUUUUUAUACGAAACGUGACCGACAUCGUGUGAGACCCCAUUUUCCCUCAACCAUUUUCUUGAAAUGUUAUAUUCCUCUUUUAAGGCCCCGGUGUCAAAGUACGAAGCGACACGAGUUCACCGCUAUAUUCAGAUUAAUUUUUGAGCAUCGAGCUAUUUUUUACAAUUUAUAGAAGUUUCGAGAGAAUCUUUUGAAAUUAGAAAAUACCAUUUUGAAAUUAGAAAAGUUGAUUCGUUUCCAACUUUUAAUUUUGGCCGUCGAUUUCCCUAUAAAAGGAAAGAGACUAUUGACCUCGGUCAAAAGACCUAUUUCGUAGAGUUGACCGGUUUCUCUCUCCUCCUCCUCCUCUCUCUCUCUCUCUCCGCCGCAGCCAUCUUCUCCGCCGCACUCCGCCAGAUUCCGGCCACCCCAGACAGAGAGACCACUACCAAACUCUUUCACUUCUUCUACUCUACAAAACCCAGUCCAUAUAUCACAUAUGCAACCCAAUUUAAUUGAAAUUAAAUUCAAGGCUGCUUCACUGUGUUCUUCAUUUUCCGACGAGCUCUGACGGCGACUAUAACAGCGUUUGGUAGGGUUUCUCCUUCCUUCUCUUCUUCUUCUUCUUGUUUGGCCGGUAUUUUUGAGAUGUUGGCGUGCCAAUUCUUCUAGGUUCAACGUAACCUUCUUGAUAUGCUAUUGUGCGCUCUUUCUUUUGACUUCUGCUCCAAGAAACUGCUGGGGCCUUUUACCAAACCUAAGAUUGCUCUUAGGAUGCUUAAACAACGAAAAUAAAAGUAAGAUAUUUGCUAAGGAUCGCUCCUUAACAAUGGGAUGGACUGUUGCUCGUGAUGAGGCUUUAUGAAGUGGGGGUGGACUUUUUGCUCGGGACGAGGCUAGUGAGUGAAGCGGGAUUUACUCGGGACGAGGCUUUGGUGGUGCUCCCUGGAGAGGCUUUUUGGUAGAUUGGGUGCUCUUGGGGAGGCGUCCAAUUUGCAGUGAUGCAGAGUUUUGUUGAAUUGUCGGGGGCAUUCCCUCAUUCGCUUAGAACCUCUUAUAUAGAGAAUAGGUUUCGCGAAUAACUUGCAUACCAAGACAAAUCUUCCACCAGUAAUUACCAAAUAAGAAAUAAAGAUAUUUACUGAAUUGAACCGCAUGUAUCGGUUCACGUAUCAGACUAGAUACGAUGUCUAGGUAAAUAUAUUUACCUCAAAUAUAAUAAUUCUUAAAGAUCUUCUCGAUGUCACCUUCUACACAGAGAUAUUGCUUUAUGACUCUUCCAACUCGGACGUGCAUGUAUAUCACCUUUAUGCAUUCAAGCGUAAUUAAGGAAUAUGACCAAAUAUCAUGCACGUAUUAGGCUUCUCCUGAGAAACAAAGAAUCAAGGAUGAUUAACUUCCUUCUUAGAUAACACCGUAUGUCUUCCUUAAUCACAAAGUUAACAAUACCUUCCUUACUAGCAUGGCACACGUCUAAGACUCCUUGAAUGCAAAUCCUUCAUUCUAACUCAAUCUUUGUAACCAAGCAAUCUUCCACUAAUCACCGGAUCCAUGAUAUAUCGAUAAUAUCCUGGAUUUACACCAAAAUGGCUUGGUAGGCUCGAUUUAGCUUUGAUAGCGAAUAUCUCCAAAGAUACUCGAUCAUAUCCACGACGAACCACAUAACUGGUUCGAUAUGCUACAAAUGCAGGGGGUGUAAAUUUACCCUCAAACACUUCUUCUUCAAUUCUAUAUCUUUGUUUUGUUGAGUCGAGCCCGAAUCCUUAAUACCUCUUUUUUGCCUUUUCUGGAUUUUUUCACGGCGAGUCUCCGACGAGGCUUUCCAGUGCCUCCAUCUCCUUCCCGACGUCGCCUCCUUCUCCUGUAGACAAAAACGAAAACGAAAGGAGGCUAGAAGGGUUGUUGUCGUUGUGUUGGAGGAAACCCACAUCGUCGGGAAGGAGAUGGAGGCACUGGAAAAGUCAAGGAAGGGCCCACAUCGUCGGCGGUGGUGUUUGGCGCCAAACCAAAAAAGUCAUUAUGAGGUCUGCAUUGAAGAUGGAUGCACACCCAUUCUCUUCCCUUUCUCCCCCUCACUCGCCUACAAACAUCCUCCAAACGCCCAAUUAACGUCUUUGAUCCACGCGUCAAAAUGGAUGGUGGUUAUUCCGGGUGCGCUGUAUAAUUUUCGUAGAGAGAGAGAGAGAGGNNNNNNNNNNNNNNNNNNNNNNNNNNNNNNNNNNNNNNNNNNNNNNNNNNNNNNNNNNNNNNNNNNNNNNNNNNNNNNNNNNNNNNNNNNNNNNNNNNNNNNNNNNNNNNNNNNNNNNNNNNNNNNNNNNNNNNNNNNNNNNNNNNNNNNNNNNNNNNNNNNNNNNNNNNNNNNNNNNNNNNNNNNNNNNNNNNNNNNNNNNNNNNNNNNNNNNNNNNNNNNNNNNNNNNNNNNNNNNNNNNNNNNNNNNNNNNNNNNNNNNNNNNNNNNNNNNNNNNNNNNNNNNNNNNNNNNNNNNNNNNNNNNNNNNNNNNNNNNNNNNNNNNNNNNNNNNNNNNNNNNNNNNNNNNNNNNNNNNNNNNNNNNNNNNNNNNNNNNNNNNNNNNNNNNNNNNNNNNNNNNNNNNNNNNNNNNNNNNNNNNNNNNNNNNNNNNNNNNNNNNNNNNNNNNNNNNNNNNNNNNNNNNNNNNNNNNNNNNNNNNNNNNNNNNNNNNNNNNNNNNNNNNNNNNNNNNNNNNNNNNNNNNNNNNNNNNNNNNNNNNNNNNNNNNNNNNNNNNNNNNNNNNNNNNNNNNNNNNNNNNNNNNNNNNNNNNNNNNNNNNNNNNNNNNNNNNNNNNNNNNNNNNNNNNNNNNNNNNNNNNNNNNNNNNNNNNNNNNNNNNNNNNNNNNNNNNNNNNNNNNNNNNNNNNNNNNNNNNNNNNNNNNNNNNNNNNNNNNNNNNNNNNNNNNNNNNNNNNNNNNNNNNNNNNNNNNNNNNNNNNNNNNNNNNNNNNNNNNNNNNNNNNNNNNNNNNNNNNNNNNNNNNNNNNNNNNNNNNNNNNNNNNNNNNNNNNNNNNNNNNNNNNNNNNNNNNNNNNNNNNNNNNNNNNNNNNNNNNNNNNNNNNNNNNNNNNNNNNNNNNNNNNNNNNNNNNNNNNNNNNNNNNNNNNNNNNNNNNNNNNNNNNNNNNNNNNNNNNNNNNNNNNNNNNNNNNNNNNNNNNNNNNNNNNNNNNNNNNNNNNNNNNNNNNNNNNNNNNNNNNNNNNNNNNNNNNNNNNNNNNNNNNNNNNNNNNNNNNNNNNNNNNNNNNNNNNNNNNNNNNNNNNNNNNNNNNNNNNNNNNNNNNNNNNUACUUCAUUCCUCCUCAAGGCUUCAAGUCGCAGAACAACCUUUGAACCUUCUGCACCCACUUAUGACCGCAUAUACAACCAAACAUAAGGAGCUGCAUAUUCCUGUAUAUCAAAAAUAGAAUUCACAGUCAACAUAAAUGGCUGCUUAUUCCUGUCAGCAUAAGAAGCCUGCAUACUCAUGUAUAUCUAUUUAUGUUAUGUUGUUAUGUUUCUGGUUCUAGUAGUGUCAUAGUGUCCCAUCACUGUCUUAGGAAUGCAGAAAAUAGAAUUGUAUACACUAGACAACGCCCGGCCGCGUCCUGCUGCAGCCUAUUUUUCUUUUGAAUUCUAAACAUAACAAAUAAUCCUCGUAUGUAUUUAGAGAAAUUCAUAACUAAAAUAAAAAUUACAUACCAAGUAUUUAGCCAUCGCUUCAUUAAAUCCUAACUGAAUUGACGUUGUCUAAACCUGUUGCUUAGGCUCCAAAUAACCCCGAAUAUCGACUAACUUAAUUAUGCUUGUUACUACGUACAAUAAUCAAUUGGAUUGGUGAUCUAUGUUCUUCCUUCAUGCAUGUCUUUUACUGCGUAGAUUCCAUUAUCAUUAAGAUUAAAUCUGAAGUAGUGCACAUACAUGUUAUUCAUAACUUUUAACACCAGCUAAUUUCACCAAUCCACAAAAUCCACUUCUGUAGUAAUUUUAACACCAGCGAAUAACCUACACUUCUGUAGUAUUAUCAUUUUUUUUUAUCAUAUUUGCUUCUCAAUUCAAAUAGUAAAUCAGACCAAACAUCUACAUUCAUGCUCCAUGCAAGCCUUUCAUUAUUCCACUCAUUUUAAGACAAGAUACCCCUCUGAACCUCAAAAUUUCUAGACCACAGUCUACUGCAUGUACACAUAACCAAAACUUCUAUAGCUACUGACAUAGAAGUUUUAAAGCUAAACUGAUCAAUCUAUUGUAAAAGAUGACUGACCAAAAAAUAAGAACAAGAAUGGAGCAAAAAGAUCAAUAGCUAGUCCUACAAUUUGAAGAGUAAAGCUAUUACUACAAAUUUGAAGAGUUAACAUAUCACUUCAAUUCACUUGAUCCGCAAGAAAAAAUAACGACAAACUUUCUAUCAUGAAUUAUAUAAACUUUUUUGUUUUCUUUGAGAAACAUGUCAACCCAUCAGUCGUGAAUGAAGAUAUAAAAUUUGACAAAUUGCUGAAUAUAGUAUGACUAUCAUAAAGCACAAAUUUAAUGCAGUAGAAAAGCAUGAAGCAGUUUGAUAAAAAGAUGCUUACGAUUCCUGCAACCCUUUCUUUACUUGGUCAUUGCUUUCUUCAAGUGCUCUGUAAGUCACAAAAUUACACACAUAUCAGUAGACAUAAUUGUAAGGCCAAAUGUUCCUGUUGUUUUGGCAGUCUCAAGAACACAAAACAGAUUCUAAUUCAAAUAAAAAGCAACAAAGUCAAGAACUACCUAAAUGAAUAAAUGAUAUCACGAAUCACAAUCUCCAAGGAGGAUACCACUUUCCAGUAGAUGGGGCUUGAAUUUAAAGCCGAUCGAUUGCAACUGUUGAAAAUAAUCCACUGGUAAAGUCGGAAACAGUUUUAAGAAUUCGUCUAGGGUUUCUUCCAAAGACUGAAAAAAUAUACACAUAUACAUGUCAAAACCAUUUCCGCAAAUUCAAAUCCAAUUUACUUGAAAAUAUUAGGAAAAACGUACCUUAGCUGUCUCAACUGUCUCAACAUAUUCAUUGAAAUGGUGACAAACUGUUUUACAACAGUUUAGUAGACCACGAUAGUUGUCUGGAAACUGGCCUGGAGUUACAUGGUCUUUAAAAUCUUUAUAGUAUUCCCACUUUUCAAAUUUUCGUUCAACAUCCAGAUAAGUUUUUCUAAGAACAGUCUCCAAAGCACCAUAUAAAGGCGCUAUAAUAGCCAAAUCCAACAGAAGGAAGGCUGUGUCCGCCUUGGAACCCACAGCCGGUUGGAAGUACAACUCAGCAAAGUUGCUUGAAAAAUAAACAUAAAAAAUCAAUGGAGAAUAAUCAGUAUUAAUUAAGCCAAAUGUUAAACUUUCAAUAACCCUACAAAUACCCCUACAUCAAAAACUCUUACACCAAACACAAUUUGAUAUGUGAAGGAUAAAAUAGACAAACUAUAAAUCAAAAAAUCUCUCAAUUUGUCAAAAAAAAAAUCCAAAAAUCUCUCAAACUGCUGCAACUGACGACCAAAUUUUAGGAAGAGAAGAGGAGUUGCCAACUCCCACUCAAAAUCAGUUUUUUUUCAGUAUCUUUUAAAUCUAUUAAAACCGUGCAGAAUACUUAAAAUUUAUGUAUAAUACUAUAACAAUUUUUUGAUCAAGAGAAUUAACUACAAUGCAAAAAAGAAUAAUAUACUUACUCCUCAGUCUCGCAAUACUCAAUGCUAUCUAGAAAAUACUCAAGCUCAGCACUUUCUUCAUAUCCAGGAACUGCCUUAUAAUUUUCAAGAACUUUCUCUCUUAUUACAGCCUCGAGUGAGCGCCAGAGAUCAUUGUGCCCAGCAUGGAUUUGGAUAGUGGUUACAGAACCCACUAUUUUACAAUCCUCCACCCUGAAGUAACCAGUUUUUUUUGUGUUGCUUGAUGGAUCUGCUGAUAAUUUAGUAUGAUUAUAACAAAUUAUAAUCAUAUCCCUUCAAAAAAAAAAUGAAAUUCAUUAGAAAUAUAACAAAAUAAAUCAGGUUAAUUCAGUUCAAGUUUUCCUCAGUUUUUAAUUCAGUAAGAUUAGAAAAGAACCAACAGUUUAUUAUACUUCGAUGACCUAGAGUUGUGGUUAUUCAAUAAAAAUGCUCAUCAGUCAUACGCUGGGUUGGAAAUCAAUACCCUCUUUGGAAGCCAAAGACUAAGCCUAUUGUGUUUUUGGCUCAUUGAUACAAUCUGGAGAGUUAGGAUUCAGUAGGCAAAUCCAAGUCUAGAAUGGAAAGAGGACAGUGCUGUAGCUUUUCUAUAAGUUCUAGGAAAGUUAGUCUUUCAAGUUUCUAUACUUUUUAGUCUUAUCAAUAAUUGAAGAGAAGAAAGGGAUUCAAAUUCCGCAUCUUAAAUGAACCGGGCAGACUAGAAUUCGCCGUAUUCUAUGAAAUACGAUAGUAUGGUAGAAAGAUUCAGAUAUUUCUUUCUACCAUACAAUCUACUAUUGUUAUUGUAGUGUAUAUUUGUAGUGUAUAUAUUAAAAUUUUUAAUAGACAUAUGUCUAUUAGGUUUAGGGUCCUAAACCAUGUUGUAUCAGCAGCCCCUAUUCACUAUAAAUAGGAGCUGCAGGGGAUUUUCUAAGGGUAAGAUAGAGAGCACAGAAAACCGAGAGCAAAGGGUGAUAGAGAGAUCUAGCAAAGAGUUGGGGAUUAGCAUAGGGAUUUCAAGUUGUUAUUCUCCAUAGUGCUAGUGAUUCUCUCAAGCGAGAUCACAAAGUGGACGUAGGCCAGGGUUUUGGCUAAGCCACUAUAAAAUUAAAUUGCUGUGUGAUGUGUUUCUAUCUUCAAGUUCAUCUAUCUACUUUGCUUAAGUCAUAAAGUACUAAUAAAGACAAGAAAAGAUCCUAGGGCGCUAACCACAAUAAAGCCCAACCCUUUUUGGUCCAAAGGAAAGUCUACUUGGUAGUUUAAGGGUCUUGCCAAGUUUAUUUUCAAUAAUGAAAAGAAUAAUUAUGAGUCUAGUGUUUUUAAGAGUCUUUGGUGUCUUUAUUUCUAUUUAGGGUAUUUUACACCAACGGUGUCUGAACACUUCAGGGUCUGUUAAAAUGGUACCUAUGGUUCCUGGACUCUUAGGUAUUAAUAUGGUUCCUGGACUCUUAUUUUCAUUUCAAAAUCAUACCUAUGUCAAACUUCCGUCACAGUCCUGUUAAAUCGAGCAUGUGCGACUCACGUGAGUCACUAAGCGAUUCCAAAAUGACACAUUUUCCUUGAAUUUGAUCUUUAAUUAUUUUUAAUAGAGAAAGAUACCUAAUUACCUUUUAUUAUUAGGGAAAAUGCCCAUUUGCACAAAAACAGCAAAACUAGAACCCAAUUCAAUGAAAAUCUAACUCAUAAGCCCAUUCCAAUGAAAAUCUAACUCAUAAGCCCAUUCCAAUGAAACUUGAGUAAAAGACAAAAUUACCCUCACUUCUAUUCAACUAACCCUCUCUCCUUUCCUAGUUUCCCGAUCUGAAUUCUUCUUCUUCUUCUUUUCUACCUCUUUCUCUCUCUUGUUGCAUAGAUGCCUUCUCAAGUCCUCAACGACGAUGCUGCUGCCUCGGAAGACAAGAAUUGCCGGAAUACUCUACAGAUCCCCGGCGUCUCAUUCCUUCCUGGAGACCGAGGCCUCUUCACUAGUUGGCGGUCGCCGCUCGCAGCUCGUCGCUCGUCGGUGGCCGCUAUCUCUCAGCGCUCAUCGGUCCCCGCUCGUCUCUCGACGCUUAGUGCUUGUCGGUCGCCUCUCGACGCUCGGCACUCGGUGCUCGUCAGUCUCCGUUCGGCGCUCGUCGCUUGUCUAAGCCCAGUCGAUGUCUCGCCUGAAGCUAGCCGAUGAAGAUCAAGACGUGUAGCGCUUAUAUACUCCAGCGGUCUCAAAUUAAUCACCUCUCAUCUCUCUUUCUUCGAUCGCCAACCUCAGAUCGAUCACGGCCAGCAAAUCACCAGGGAAGCUUGGAUUGGUGUUAACUUGUAUUCUCAUUUUGACUUCACUGUUAUUUAUCAAUACUUUCAUUGAAAUUAAAGUCAAUAUUUACCUUCUUAUUCUUCUUCUAGCUUCUUCUUUUCUCUGUGUUUUGACUGAUAAUUGAGGGGUAGUAAUUGAUUACUGAGGAUUAGUAACUUGAUUAUUGAAUGCCAAUAAUGAUUACCGGAUGUUUGUAAUUGAUUACUGGGGUCAGUAACCAAGUUACUGCAGUAACUGAUUAUUAGGUGUCAGUAACCAAGUGAUUAGGGUUAGUACCCGAUUAUUGGGGGUCAGUAACCGAGUCACCGGUGAUCGGAAUCCCGCGACGAGAGGAAUCUGGCGACGAGAGAAAUCCGGCGGCCGGCGAUCGGAGUCCAGUGAGAUUCCGGCUAAGUAUUCUCUUUUCCAUUUUCUCUAUCUAUACAUGUUUAAAGAAUGGGGGCAAAAUAGUCUUAAAAUAAUAUGGUUUGUUAAGACUUUAGAAAAGAUUUGUGUAUUUGGGCAUAAAAAAAGUUACCUUAUAUUAGAAUGGGCUAAUGAAAAAGAUUGUCAUGGGGAAUGAGAGGUUUAAAUUAGUACUAAAUGGGCAUUUUCCCUUAUUAUUAAUUUUUUCUUAUGCCUUACAUGAGUCCAUCUCUCGUCUUCUCCCUCUACAGUCUAGACCUUAACUCCUUUCUUCCCCCAUUAAAGCAGCUCAAUCCAUUAAUUAUCCUAUCAAUAACCUCACCUAGAAUUCAGCACACGUAACUUAUCUCCAUCAUUCCUAAACUUCCACUGAGUUUACUAUCCCCCUUACAAAGAUUCGAAGAAAAAAGAGAAAUAGAUGGCAAUUCCACGUUCAAGAAUGAAUUUAGAUUGGAAUUGAAAUCGAAACUGGGAUUGUGCAAAAUCCCGAGCAAUGAGAUCUGAGAAGCCACCAAUCAAAUUAUACAUAUCAACCCAAUUAAACCAAAAAUGACCAGAUCGAAGGAGGAGAAUAGAGAAAAUGAGUAGCUUCAAUUUGAUGGAGGAAUAUUUUAAUUCUUUCUAUCCCUUACAAAUUGGAAACAAAAAAGACAAAAAGAAAUCCAGAAUUGGAAGAAUAAGGAGGAGAAGAACAAGAUGUAAAAUGGAAUGCAGUUAGUAGAGUUUUAUUAUUUAUGGGAGAGAGCAAUUGGUUUGUUUUCUAUUUGGAAGAGAAAUGGAGUUAGAGAUCAAUCAGGUUAGGUUUGAUUCAAAAGCAGAAGUCGUUUUUGCCCUCAUGUUUCUGCCUCAUAUGCAUCCUAGGUGAAAAACUUAACGAAGCCAUGACAGAAAUUUGACAUAGGUACCACAAUGAAAUGAAAAUAAGGGUCCAUGUACCAUUUUAACAGUCCUUGAAGAGUUCAGACACCGUUGAAGGAAAAAACCCUUCUAUUUAGUUCUAUGUAAGAGUCUUAUUAUUAAUAAGUUAUAUUAGUCUUAUGGUAUUUUAGGAGUCCAAGGCUUUCUAAUGUAAUCCGAAGAUCAGAUUAGAAUGAAUUAUGAGUUUAUCUUAUUGAAGGCUUGGCCUUGUAUCCUCUCCCAUAACCUCCCUCAUUUUAUUUCUCCCUUAUACAGCUAAGAAACUCUUGUUUCUUCGAAAACCCUUCAGUUUUCUUAUUCUCUCAACAUUCUCAGGCCCACCCAAUUCACUCUCUCACCAUUGUCCCUCCAUGCAUCAUCUUUCUGUUUAAACCGCUUCAUGGUGGAUAAUUUUUGUAAUGAUUUCUGAAAUUAUCAACAGUCUUAAAGAUGAAAGUUGGUUUUUCCCUUGCAUAUAUUAUAUAAUUUAGAACCGAAAUAAACUGUACCUAAUCAGCUGUUGUCUAACUGGAUCUAGUCGCCCUUUAACCAACUUUGGUUCCCCUAACAUAUUUAAAUGCGCCUCUAAUAAUACUUCUUGAUCUGGUGCUGGUUCCAAGUUGACCCUUUGUGACGUCUGGAUAGCUAGAGGAAUAUCAACCCAAAACAGCCCAAUAUUUUGACAUUCGUAUACGGGUACCAACUCAGCAUCACCUGACACAAUAAAAUAUAUAAUUAUGUUGCAGUAAUAAUAUAAUAUCCCUAGAAUGCUAUCAUCACUAGAGUCAUAUAUCACAUAUCUUCAUAUAUUUAUAUACAGAACUAUCUCUAUGAUCCUAUACAUAUAAAUAUGGGUAAGCAUUCUGAUUUAAAUGCACUAUCGACUACAUCUAUAACGCAUAUCACCUUUAAGCAAUUAGACAAACUCUAAGCAAAAUCUUGAACUCAAAUGCAAUUAGACAAAAUCUAAGCAAACUGCAUUCACAACAAAACAAAAUCAAACCAAAUGAUACCGGUUUUCCAUUUAUGGUUAUGUAAUCUGAAGCCUGUACACAAAACUAAGGUCUGUACACAUAACUAAGGCCUGUACACAAAAUUAAAACCCUGUGGUCCAUAUGACCUGUUACCCGUCAGAUUCAAAGGUAAAAAAAUGAUAUCAAACUGCAUCACAUUCAGAACUGUGUCAGUUUGAGUGUUUGACUGCCUUUCACUGAUUCAAAUGGUAACAGAGCGAACCCAGGAAGUAAAGACAACAAACAUAUUUUCAAACUAGCGCAACCUUAAAUUUGGAUCAAAACCACAAACUAUGAUCCAUUAACCAUGUUUAACAGUAUGUGACACGAGAAACAUGAAUCAAGGUAAAAACAAUAAGAAAUCUGGAGCUUCUGCAACGAAGAACCAAAAUGAGUAUCGACAAUGAGAAAGAAAAUUAGGGGUGUACAAUGGGGCUGGUUGUAGUGUAUUGGGGGAAAAUGAAUUUAGCUAACUACUAGGACAAAUUAUACAGAAGCUAAAGUGAACCAAACUAGCCAACCACAUCAAAAGUGUGAAAAGGACACAAAAGAAAUGGACCAUCACAAGGAGCAAACUUAAAAUAUUAAGGUUACUAUUAACUUAAAGCCAGACGCAUUAUUAAUGUCAAUUUUGAACUAAUCAGUAUAUAGCAAAGAAUCAUUAGGCCAUUCCCAUCUACAAAUUGAUUAAACCACAAAUUGAUUAAACCAUCAAUCAAUCACAAUCACAUAUAUGAAGAACAAAGGCAUCCAAGAUCAUGCAAGGCAUCAAACAUUAUAAAAUUCCGAACAUCAAAACCAUUUAACUAGUAGCAGAGUAUGUUACUGUGUAUAAAAUCAUCCAUCAAACCACAAAGCAUAAUCCACAUCCUGUUCAAAAGACCGACCUAAAUAUCACCGACUUAAAAUUCCAAAGAUAAUACAUCAAACCCCACUCAAAUUCAUAACCAUUCUUGUUUUCUUGAAACAAAAGAUGCUGACCCACAAAGCAACCCACACACACCAAGGUGCGUUGGGAAAACCCAUACUUGAAAAAGGGAACCAACAUUCAUAGAACCCCGGACUCUAAAACGACACAGCAGAUAGUAAAAAUAGACCGAAAUUUUAGAAAUGAACAUAUUACCCACAGAGACAGAUUUAACUCUUUUAGGACACUCCCUUGCAAAAUGACCAGAUUCACCACACUGAUAGCAGCCGCCAGAAGCACCGCCGCCUCCACCGCCACCAGAGUACCUCCCACCGCCUCCACCGCCUCCGUAGCCACCUCCGGAUCCCCUUCCCUGGACGGGACCAUCCUCCGGACCGAUGACAUCAACGGCCUUGGAGCGGCCGUGGUUGUCGGUCCUGAUCUGGAACUCGACCGACUCACCGUAGCCGAGAGUGCGGAAGCCUGCGGUUCGGAUCGAGGACUGGUGGAAGGAGAGAUCUUCGCCGCCGUUCUCCGGGGUGAUGAAGUCGAACCCCUUCUGGUCAUUGAACCACUUCACCUUUCCGGUCAACCGGUCACUCAUCCUCACAGCCCUUUUGAAAAAUCUGAAACCCUGAAACGAAAAAGAACAAACCCACACCCCACACCCCACACCGAUUCCAAUCUCUCUUCUCUCUCUAAAGCACAGUAUGCUUAUUUCGCUUUAGAAAUAACUUGGUGACCAACUAGAUAUUUAUGGGUGACAAAUAAAAGAUAGAAGUGUCGAUAAUAAUUAGGGAAAAUAUCAUAAUACCUAAAUAUUUGAAAACUAAAUCUCAUUCUAAUUGAUUUUUUUCCCUUAACUCAUUCUAAUGAUUCUUAUUAAAAAAACAAAUAUACCCUUAUUUCAUAUAACCAACCAUCUCUCUCUCACACCCGAUCUCUCUCUCUCNNNNNNNNNNNNNNNNNNNNCUCUCUCUCUCUCUCUCUCUCUCUCUCUCUCUCUCUCUCUCUCUCUCUCUCUCUCUCUCGCGAUCUAAGACGCGCCGACGAGGGGGACGACGACCGCCGAUGAGAAGGACGACGACCGCCGACGAGGAGGACGACCGCAUCGAGCAUCCAGAGAUCUCUUCCGAAUGGGGGGCCACUAACAACGGCGAUCACCUUCACCGCCUCCUGCUUCUCCUCAGCUCCCUUGUCCCCGAUCUCUGCGAUCCUCUAGUACUUCGUCAUUAGAGCUCGCCGAUCUCCGCCUCAAGAUCCUUGUCCUCUGGAUCGGAUCUGACUUCGUCCUCUCUCCCUCUCAUCCGGUCAUCCGAUAUGACUUCGUCGUCAGAGCUUGCUGAUCACCUUCACCGCCUCAAGAUCCUUCGUCGGAGAUCGUCGGGUCGGAUAUGGGAGGGAAGUGAUGGUGGUGGCUCCGGUAGGGUUUCAUAGAUGAAUUUUUCUUUUUUUUCUCUGAAAAAAAAAGGUUAUUAGGUGGUAAAAUUUUGAUUACUGGAGGGUAAUAAAUUUCUUAUGGCUUUGGAAGCUAUUCGUUGGUGUGAGGGUGAGGACAUCUUUCUUAUCUUUCUUCUGCCGUCUUUGUUUUUUUGUGUUUUAACUAAUUUCUAAGGGUCAGUAACUAAUUUUUGGGGUCAGUAAUUGAUUACUGGGGGUUAAUAACUUGAUUAUUAGGGGCCAAUAACUAAUUACUACGGGUCAGUAAUUGAUUACUAGAGGUCAGUAACUCGUUACUGGGGGUCAGUAAUUCGAUUAUUAGGGGUCAGUAACUGAUUACUAGGAGUCAGUAACUGAUUACUGAGGGUCAGUAACUGAUUACUACAGGUCAGUAACUCAUUACUGGGGGUCAGUAAUUCGAUUAUUAGGGGUCAGUAAUUGAUUACUGGGGGUCAGUAACUAAGUGAUCGGAGAAAAUCCGGCGACUGAAGUAUGACGACCGAGUUACUAGUGAUUCCGGUGACAGCCGGAGAAAAUCCGGUGACCGGAGUCCGGCGGCUGAUGACCGGAGUCCGGUGGCUGGUGACCGGAGUCCGACGGUCGGUGACCGGAGACCAAUGAGAAACCGGCAAAGUCUUCUCACUCUCACUUUCUCUCUCCUUAUGCAUGUGAGGGUAAAAUUGUCUUAGAAAUAUACAAAAAUUAUUUUUUAUUAUGACUUUAAUAAAUAUUUGUGUAUAUGGGCACAAAUAAGAACACAUUGUAUUGAAAUGGGCUCAUGUCUAUUAAAUUCAUUAAAAUAGGCAAUAAGGGGUUUAAAUUAGUGCUAAAUAGGUAUUUUCCCUAAUAAUGAUAAAUAAACAUAUUAAAUACCCAUAACUCUCAUGUUAUGUCCUUAAAUUAUAACCAAGCCUUUUAAAAUGGACACGUGUCUCAUGUUUAUUAGUUGUGGUCACUUUAAGAUGACAAGGGCUUAUGGAUGGUAAAUAUGGGUAGGAUAGGGUAGGGUCAGGGGAUCAAAAUACCAUACCCGUACCAUUUUUCAUUCGUCAUUCCCGGACCAGCCUCAUUCCCCAUAAUUAGAUAAUGGGGAUUCCAUGUCCCCGUCCCCGUCCCUGUCCCAUUUAGGGAUUACGUUCUCAUACCCGUCCCGAUCCUCGUUAACAAUUAUGUAAUAAUUAAUUUUUUUAAAAUAAUUACGAAAUAUAGAAAUAUGAAAAUAAAAUCAAAUACAUAUAUAAAUAAGUUUCAUGAUUCAAUCCAACAAAAACGAAUAUAAGUCUCGAUUAAAAAGAACUUUCUAUGAAUAUUAAUUAAGAGAAUCAUAGUAAAAAAAUAUUACAAAAGAUUUUACAUAAAUAUCUAUUUAUAAAUAAUAUAUAUUAAAAUAUAUAUAUAUAUAUAAUAAAUUGUAUGUAAUAAUAUUUCCAUCCUAAAUAGGUGGGGAUAUGGACAAAUAACCAAAUAUCAUACCCGCCCUAUACCCGAUUCAAAAAUCCGAAUACUGAGAAUAUUCAUACCCGUUACCCGUUUAUCCUCGUAUAUCUACCUCGUUCGGGACGAAUACCAGUGGGUACCCUACCCAGUGAGGAUUAUUACCAUCCCUAUAAGGGCUUGUCACCGAAGUCGGGUUCUUUGGCCUUGAGGGUUUGAAAAUCUCUUAAAAGGGUAUGGCUACCAAGUUAGCCCCAACUGAGGGUCCCCUAGGAAAAAAAAACGUUCUGUUUCUAUGAGAAGAUGAUAUUAUUACAAGCAAACUGUUGUUCCUAAUCAAAAUGGUAGUAGAAAGUAGUAACUAGAACGAGGCUAGAAGAUCAAACUAACCAUAAUAAAUAUAGGGAACUGAAAUUUAUACUUCUAAUUUACAAUCCACACUCUCACUUUCCUCUUUUAGUAAUUUAAAUCUUGUUACUCAAAAAAGAAAGGUGGAAGUGUAGAUUGUAAAACAAGGAGAGUAAAUUUCACCUCCCUAAAUAUAAGACGAUGCAGGCUAGGAGAAAUAGAAUAGCUUCUCGUUUUGUGUCUGUAGCGCGUUUGAACCGUGGUUUUUCUUAGGCUUAGUCUAAAGCUUUAACUUAGUUUACUUCCAUAGUCUAAAUCUGGAAGACUGGAACAUAUUUACUAAAUCUUUCUCUGGGGAUUGGAGGAAUAUACUGAUCUUUGAACGUUAAGCUUAACUUUCAAGUCAAGUAGCUAUCGCCAUAGCUACAUAACUAUGAAAGUUAUCUUCCGAUGCUUGGCAAGUGCCUUACACUGCAGGGAGUAUUGAACAGGUUGUCUCGUUCUUCAUAUGCGAAGUUUACUGUUCUUGUUAUUGACACUCGCCAAAAGUAUUACACUCCAAAAUAGUCCACCUCAUAUGUAUAUUAGGCUGUCUAACUAAUGAACAGCCACAAAAUGCCAUGGAACCAUGAAUUUAGAAUUCAGUUGGUUGCUAGAUUUAUGUGGUUCCUCUCUGCCCUUCUCUAUACUACCAAGGCUACUAGGCUUGACACAGUACGCUAUAACGUCCCCAACCUGGUAAAGAAAGUUUUCAUUUGAGUAGUGGAAGAUUGACUUCCAUUGAGGGUGUUGAGGAAUAAAAGUUGGUAAAGGGUUAAGAAGGAAUUCGCACGGAGAGGUCCAUGUGAAUUAAGAUUUAUUCGCUGAAGAUUAUCCGCUAAACCUGUGAAACGAAUAAAAUGGUUAAGGGAUUGCUUCGGACAAUCGCCCUCCGACGCUUAAGUUAGACAUUUUAGCGGAUAGUUUGUAACUCAAAAAGGGGGAAUCAGUUGGUUACAUUUGUUUGUGAGGCUAGGUGCUUAUUUAUAGAGGUUGAGCGAGGCAGAUUAUCUUCAUGGCUGCUGACAGCCUGGCACGGAAGGAAUCUUCCAGAGGCACGCAUCGGAUCAAGCCGCACACGCAUGUCCAUGUGUCUAAUCGAAAUGCGCUCUGGGUCAGGUUGUUGUUGUGAGAACGCACGUGCAAGGCUAAUGAGAGCGCUUGACAUUGGUUCCCUCAACAAGUCCCCCAAAUCCCCAAGUAAGGAUAUUGAAAUCCCUAAUGAGUUUAAGCAAAGAUGUUUAUAGAAAGCGCUCGUACAUUUAGCGUUCAAAUGCAUUCGAACGAGUUUUGUGUAUAAACCCUUCCGGAGUCCCCCAACUCUCUAAGCGAGGAAUUGUCCUGCCUUGGUAACACGCAUCAUGCGAAUCAAAGAGUUAAAAAGACUUUGUAUUGUGCGGACAUCUGUGUGUCCGUGCGUAUUUUUCAUGGGUGAUGGGGAGCGACCCUAUCUGACCGUUCGCGAUGGGUAUAAUCUUUUACCCGCAGGUGUCAUGUUUAUCUCAUUUUAUGUGCUUUGUUAUAUUCUGUGCUAGCAAACGUUAUUAUGAGCGGACAAGCUGGGAAGUGAUUUUUGACCCGUAGGUGUCACUUUUAUUCCCAGGUGUUAUGUCGCUACGUUGUUCAUAGCCUUGGCUGUAUGCAGCUUGACGAUUUUGUAUUUUGUCCGCACGUGGGGCACGUGUGGCCUUUUGGUUUGUUCACGAAACGGCAUAAAGUCAUGCUAGCGCACGUUUUCGAUUGUGGGUUUGAAGUUUUAAUUUCAGGCUUUCGAACCGUUUUGCAUCGUGAUCUGUAACUUGAUGUAAUUAAGAUCUAACGGUUGUGAUCGUGUCUGAUGGACGGCCCUGAUCUGCUUGCGCUAGUAUAUAAGUCACACUUCGUCCUUCAGUAGAAUUUCUUUUGCAUUCUAACUAUGUGAAGGAGUUUUACGAACAUAGGCAGAAGAGAACUCGCUUAGGCAUAAGAAAAUUCGCUCUUAUGUUUGUGUAUUCCUUGAGAAGGAUCUUUGCAUAUCUAACCUGUAAGUGUUAUUCCUCCUUCGUAUUUUGAUUUUAAAGUGACUUCUCUAGAAAAUUGUUUUUGGAUUGUUCUGGGUUGUUCUGACCGAUUAGGAAUUUAGGCAUAAAUAUUGUUGUAUGCGACGAUUGUUGCAUUCGUUGUGCUGGGUUGUCCUAGAAUAGUCGAAAGAUAUGUUCUUUAGGCCUUGAUUUCGAUGUUUUAUGUUUCCAGAUUUGGAAUCUAGGUUUGUGUUCAUCGUGUUCUUGAUGUGUUCUUGAUGAACUUUUGAACUUCUUCUUGGAGGGCAUUGUUAGAUCCAAAACUGAUAGACAUUUGUUUUGUCUAGGUGUUUAAAGAAUGGCAGCGAAGCCAAUUAAUUUGUCGAGCGAUAGCGAGUGGUCAUGAGAGUGAUUAUGGGAGUUCCAAUGUUAGGAAUAGAUCCCGAUCAUCUUUUAUAGAUGUUGAAUAUUGUACUAGACAGUUUAAUGUAACUCCUCGUGAAUGUUGGGAAAAAUAUUGUCGAACGAAUGCUUCGUCGAGCGAUCCUCGUGUUCCGCUCGAUUUUCAAUCUUUGGCUCAAUGGAUUCCGUCAGAUGAUGACGAAGAAGCUAUUUGCCCGGAUGCUGGUUUGUAUAGGGCUGACUAGGAAGCUUUGGUCCCACCACCUAUGACAACAUUGGAUUACUUUUUGACCCAACCUAAAAAUAAACAGCUUGUGUUUUCAUCUAGUAGGAAAAUGACGAGAGGCAAGAGAACAUCUGAGGAUCAGGUUUCCCAGUCGCAUGAUACCAAUCCCAGCGGACAUAAACUUCCUUACCACAAUCGCUCGGAACAGGAUUAUAUGGGGACCAUCAUAUACCAGGGUAAGGAGAAUAAUGUCUCUUACCCACUCAGCUCGUUCACUCGGGACGAGUUGACUUGGAUUAAAGGGAACUAUCAUAUUCCUGAUGUUAUUCCCUGCAAUAUUCUUUUGGAAGAAGAUGGCCCCCCCCCUAUGGACCGACCUUUCCACUGCACCCUGUCAUGCAUUUCUUAAUUUACGGAUUAGGAGUUCGGCUGGGGCAGAUGGCUCCAAUGAUGCUGAAGUGCAUCUUGGUGACAUGCCUCAUCUGGGAGAUCUGUGGGCUUGGCAUCCAUCUAUUGCCUGCUACCUUUUGCUGUGGCGUCCCACGAUUGUCGAUCAUGCAGACACUAAAGGGAUGAUAGCAGACACAUUGAUCUAAAAGUUAGUUAUGGAUUACACAUUUACCUAAUUUUUUACUUUUCAGAUUCGGAAAAAAAACCAAUAUAUAUUAUAAAGAUACUAAAAUAAAUAAGUUAAAUGGUUAGUAGGGUUGGUUAAGGUGGUAGCCUUGUACCAACCUAAGCAAGGUUCGAAUCCCCGCGAUAACAAAAUUGUUCAAUUUUGUGCUUUGACUUUAGAGUCAAACAUUUCGGCUUGGUCUUUGGAGACCACGUGCAGAGGCAGAGUCAAACAUUUCGGCUUUGACUUUGGAGACCACGUGCGGAGGCAAGGGGCGGGAAAUAAUUUUAGGUAGGAUUUGAAACUAUCUCCUGGGUUUCGAAAAUAUCACGAUAUAUCAGCGAAAUAUCGAGAUUUUUGGGUGAAAAAUUCUGGGAAGAGAAAGAUAUAUCGGUAGGUGAAAAAAACAAAAAUUUCGGCGAAAUAUCGCCAAAACUUUCGAUUUUUUCUUCCUUGGUUCAAACUUCUUUAAGGCUGAUUCAUUCUCUUCUAAGCUUGUUUGAACAAAAAAUCUUAUCCACCAGGACGAGCUUCGCAAUUUGGCCUAUGAAAAUCAUUGUCAAGGUCAAGUUUAGAUCUUCACAUUCUAUAUAUUAAAACAAUAAGGGGAAAAACAUUGUUCACUACUGUUUAUAACUUUGGUGAAUUGUGUUUUUGCCCCAAGUUGUUGAAUGGUAGUUUUUGCCCUUUAAUGCGAUUUAUUUACGAAUCUACCAUUAUACUGACCAAAAAAACUGUGUUACCCCGUUGUACACUCCUCUUAUUGUUUUAGUAUAUAAGAACCCAAAAAGAACCUUAAACCCCUAAAAUCAAGAAACUCAAACAAUGAGAAGAGGAAAAAGGAAUCAAUAACCAACCCGACAACCUUCGUCGAUGGGUGAGAGCAGAAAGGCACAUAUAGCUAGCGGCGAAACUUAUUGUCGGCACCGGCGACGUUGAUAAAGGGCGACGUGUCGAACUUCGACCGAGAUUGUAGAGGAGAGAAAGCACUUUGGUAAUUCAAAAACAUUAUUCACGACCCCUUAUUUCCAUUAAAUAAAAAGCAGAAUAUUACUAGGACCUCCCCCUCUAUGAAGUAUUUCAUACCAUACAGUUUCGUAAGAGAUACCACCCGCGCGUUGCUACAGGCUAUGAUUUCUUGAUGAUGAACAAUAUUCAAUCCCCAUCUCACGUCUCCCAUGCCACCACCUUUUCUAAAUCUACCGCUGAUUCCCCCGCUUUCCCCUAUUUUUCCACAAGCACAUCCAUCUUCCCUAAAUCCACCACCAUCAUGGCCUCCAUACCUACAAAAUCCACCGCUCACCACCAAUUCUACCACCUCAUAUUCCGCCACCUGCACAAAAUUCACCAUCAAACCCAUAGCCUCUACCAUCCUUUUUUAAUUCCACCACCAUACCAUGGCCUUCCCCUUGCCAAAACUCAUCAUGGACACCUGACCCCAUGCCCAUAACGAAAUAAAAAAUGAAAAAUGACAUGAAAGAAGUAACAAAAUUUUCAAGGACACAAACGUCUUUCUGAUCAGAACAAUCACAUUUGUAAAUAAAUUUGCAUUAAGGGGUAGCAUAGUCUUUUUGGUUAGUAUAAUAGCAGAUUCGUAAAUAAAUUACAUUAAAGGGCAAAAACGAUCAUUCACCAACUGAGGGCAACAACACUCGUGUUUCUAUGAGUGGGUGAUUGGUUUUUAAUCUGACUUCAUCAUCCCUUGUCUACUGUAAAAUAUCUAUCCUCUUUCCUUUUUCGUUCAUCCCUUAUCUAUUAGUUCGAUUUUGUGUCGCUUGAAUUUCCAUUCUGGGUUUUUGUUUGAAUUCAUAUUUCGAUUAUAAUCGUAGGUUUUAUUAUGUUUAUUACAACUCUAUGGGUUAAUGAUCGAGCAUCAGUUACUGUGAUCAUGUAAUAUCUGCCAUUGUACAAACCUACGACAACAAAAACUAUGAAAGUAACAAAAUUUUCAAGGACACAAACGUCUUUUUAAUCAGAAUAAUGACACAUUUAUAAAUAAAUUUGCAUUAAGAGGUAGCACAGUCUUUUUGGUCAGUAUAACAGCAGAUUCAUAAAGAAAUUGCAUUAAAAGGCAAAAACGACCAUUCAUCAACUGAGAGCUAAAACACAAUUCACCUGAACUUGAGGCAAAAACACAAUUCACCAAAGUUAUGAACAGUAGUGAACAAUGUUUAUCCCCUUCUUGUUUCAGUAUAUAGAAUGUGCCAUUGUUCUGAUCAAAAAAACGUUUGUGUCCUUGAAAAUUUUGUUACUUCUUUCAUGUCAUUUUUCAUUUUUUUACUUGGUUGUGGGCAUGGUGUCAGAGGUGUCCUUGGUGGGUUUUGACAAGGGGAAAGCCAUGAUAUGAUGGUAGAAUUAAAAAAGGAUGGUAGAGGCUAUGGGGUUGAUGGUGAAUUUUAUGCAUGUGGUGGAAUAGGAGGUGGUAGAAUUGGAGGUGAGCAAUGGAUUUUGCAGGCAUAGAGGCCAUGAUGUUGGUGAUGAAUUUGGGGAAGAUGGAUGUGUUUGUGGUAAAAUACGAGAAGGCGGGGGAAUUGGAGGUAGAUUUAGAAAAGGUGGUGGCAUGGGAGGCAUGAGAUGGGGAUUGAAUAUUGUUCAUCAUUAAAAAAUCCUAGCCUGCAACAACACGCGGGUGGUAUCCCGUGUAUAAUAGAAAGGUAAGAGUUCCCACAAACUGAUAUAGAACAGCUUGCGCAAACAUCUUGCGCAAACAUUUAAGACACAGCUUGCUAGGAAGACAAAGAAAACAAACUCAAAGCAACAGCUUUGAAUCUGCAACGCCAUAGCUUUGUUCCUGCAUAUUUUCUUUCAGCAUUACGAUUAUUUUACUUUCUAUGUUUUCGUUAGGACUUAAGUUUUAUUCAGAAUAAAGGAUUCCUAGACUUAGUCAGGAAUUAGUUCCUAGUUCUAGUAUGAAUAGGUUUAUUUCUAUGCCUAUAGAAGGCCGUUGCUAGAUUGUAUUUUCAUUCAAGUUAUCAAUAAGAAAACCCAAAAAAAUUAGAGUAGAAACUCUUGUGUUUUAGGCUUGUGCCUGUGUUUCGCUAGUGGAUUCUAGCUUAUCCCUUCAAGGUUUCAACGCUUGACGAAACCUUAUUUCUAUUGUGAUUUACGCUUCCGUAUCAUUUGGUAUCCAGAGCGAGGAUUCACCCACUCAAUGGGAGACGAUUCAAGGGAUGAAAUCACCAUCACCAACUUCGCCGACGUUGGUCGUGCGACUAAAGACAUUCAAAAGGAUUUACGGGAUCAUUCAAAACUUGUACCUAACCAGUUCGAAAUCUUCUGACAGUAGACACAAGAUUUUGUGAGAGAAUCUGUGCAAGAUGCAACGAAGGAACUUUGACAGUUAAUUAUGCAGACGAACAUAAAUCAAACAGGAGAUGCUCAUCACACCAACGGAUUUGCCGGAGGUUGUGGAUAUCGCCGAGAACAACGCUACAUGGGAAUUGAUGAUCAAUGUGUUAUGGGAUUCGCCCGUAGAGGUGGCCAUCAACAAGGAGAUCGACGUAUCGGAAGAUUUGAACGUGACCAAGACUUUGAAAAAACCGCACAACGAGAACUCAUUGAAUUUGCCAACUUUAAUGAAAGGGAACCUACUUAUCUACGACGUCAAGGAGGCGAAGACUUUAAGAAUAAGGUUGAUAUCCCUAACUUUACUGGAAAUUUAAAAAUUGACGAGCUCUUAGAUUGGCUUAUGGAAGUUGAGAGGUUCUUUGAGCUUAUGGGAAUCACUGCAAACAAGCGUGUGAAGUAUGCAGCCUAUAAACUAAAUGGUAUUGCAAGGCUUUGGUGGCAGCAAGUACAAGAAGAGCGAUUCGAGUUAGGCUUGGCUCCAAUUGUAACCUGAGACGUUAUGAAGAUGCUCUUGGAAGAAAGAUUUAUGCCUAGUGAUUAUGAAUAUACAUUAUUUGAGCAGUACCAAGAGAUUUCUUAAGAGAACAGAUCAGUACAGGACUUCACAACUGAUUUCUAUCGGCUUGCAGAACGAAACAAAUUGAAAGAGACUAAAGCUCAACAAGUUGCAAGAUAUAUACGGGGAUUAAAUCCUCAAAUUCAGGACAAAAUUGGGUUACUUACGUUCAAGGAUGUUGGAGAAGCUCACAAGAUGGCCUUGAAAGCUGAAAAGCUUGCAAAAAGCACCAUUGCAACAACAAGCAAUCGACGGAGCUGAAAUGACACAACAACUUUCACCAUAACCAAAAAAAGCAUUACAACCAAGCCUCUUAGUAUUUCCAGCAAACCCAUAGAGGGUGGCAGCAAGGUUAGCAGUUAGACCAAAAUGUAUUCUCAAAGCAACACACGUAACUCAGACUCGUACACUAGGCCUCGUUUGGAUGUAUGUUUUAAAUGCAACAAACCAGGGCACAUCUCCAGUAAAUGUCCCCGACAGCAAACUGAAAAGACUGAAAAGACUGAAAAGUACCUUCAUAAAAGGAGAUGAUGAACAACACGAAGAAUAAGAAGAAGACGAGGUGGAGGAAGAAGCAGAAGAACAUUCUAGAGAUGACAGAGAGUACAAUUUAGUUACUCAACGGCUGUUGUGUUCAACAAAACAAGAAAACCAGCGACAUAGUAUCUUUCGGAGUACCUGCACUAUGAAAGAAAAGCUUAUGUCAUUGAUAAUAGACAGUGGAAGUUGUGAGAACUUCGUCUCCAAGAAAGUGGUGGAACACUUCAAUGUUCUUACUAUGAAACAUAGGGCUCCAUAUGCCAUUGGAUGGAUCAAGAAAGGCCCAGAAGUUCACAUCACUGAAACAUGUAAUGUGCCAAUUUCAAUUGGGAAAUUCUAUCAAGAUGAAGUUGAAUGUGAUGUGGUAGACAUGGACACCAGCCACAUACUUUUAGGCAGACCGUGGCAGCAUGAUUUUAACACUAUCCACAAUGGAAGAGAAAACACAUUAUCGUUCAUAUGGGAAAAACACCAUAUUACUUUGAAGCCUAAGACCAAGCCUACGAAUCUGGUUUCGAAAGAGUAACUUUCUUAUUGUUGCUGAAUCUGGUGAAAAGGUGGAAGAACUUGUGAAGGAUGCAGAAGUUAUUUAUCCUUUGGUGGUUAGGGAAGUAAUGGUGGUUGAGAACAACAAAGAGAGAAGAAAAUUCCAAAAGAAGUCCAGCAAUUACUACAGGAUUUUGAAGAAUUAGUCGUUGAUGAUCUCCCAAAUGAACUACCUCCUAUGCAAGAUAUCCAACACCAAAUCAAUCUUGUCCCUGGACCUAGUUUACCUAACCUCCCUCGUUAUCGGAUGAGCCCUAAGGAGAACGAGAUACUUAAAUAGAAAAUUGAAGAGUUACUGCGAAAGGGACACAUUCGAGAAAGCAUGAGCCCUUGUGCAGUGCCUGUUUUGUUAGUACCAAAGAAGGAUGGGAGCUGGAGGAUGUGUGUGGACAGCCGUGCAAUCAACAAGAUCACAAUAAAAUAUCGGUUUCCAAUUCCUCGACUUGAAGAUAUGUUGGAUGUCCUCGGUGGCUCAGUAGUGUUUUCUAAAAUUGAUCUAAGAAGUGGAUAUCAUCAAAUUCGAAUCAAACCAGGCGAUGAAUGGAAGACGGCAUUUAAAAGCAAAGAUGGGCUCUAUGAAUGGUUAGUCAUGCCGUUUGGAUUAUCUAAUGCACCUAGUACUUUCAUGAGUGAUGAAUCAAGUCCUAAAGCCUUAUAUUGGGACGUUUGUGGUGGUAUACUUUGACAACAUACUAAUCUACAGCAAGAGCAAGGGAGAACACUUGCAACAUCUGCAUCAAGUUCUUGAAGUUCUACAAGAGAAUAAGUUGUACAGGAACUUGAAGAAGUGCAGUUUCAUGACCAAGAAGCUUCUGUUUUUAGGUUAUGCGGUCAGCUCAGAAGGUAUACAUGUCGACCAAGACAAGGUAAAAGCAAUUCAGUAGAACAGCUUGCAUAAACAUUUGAGACACAGCUUGCUAGGAAGGCAAAGAAAACAAACUCAAAACAGCAGCUUUGAAUCUGCAACGCAGUAGCUUUGUUCCUGCAUAUUUUCUUUCAGCAUUACGAUUAUUUUACUUUCUAUGUUUUCGUUAGGAUUUAAGUUUUAUUCAGAAUAAAGGAUUCCUAGACUUAGUCAGGAAUUAGUUCCUAGUUCUAGUAUGAAUAGGUUUAUUUCUAUGCCUAUAUAAGGCCCUUGCUAGAUCGUAUUUUCAUUCAAGUUAUCAAUAAGAAAACCCAAAAAAAUUAGAGUAGAAACUCUUGUGUUUUAGGCUUGUGCCUGUGUUUCGCUAGUGGAUUCUAGCUUAUCCCCUUAAGGUUUCAACGCUUGACGAAACCAUAUUUCUAUUGUGAUUUACGCUUCCGUAUCACAAACAUACAACAAAAGCAGGCCAAUGAAAACUAAUGAUUGACAUUUAAGGUUUCCAUAGCAAUGAAAUUCGUUAUAUGAUCAAAAAUUGUUACUUACUGGACGGCCAAAUUUGGAGAGCUCUGCAACUAUAGCUCUUUGUUGGCCUGGAUAACCUACAAAUGAAAAUGGAAAGAGAUCAUUACUCUCUGCUUUAUUAAUACAGGCAUCAGGGUUUAUUUUCCCCUCACAGUCAACUUCAAAUCAACUAGCUAUCAAUAGAUGGUUUUCUCAAAUCAUAUUUCAGCCAUUCAUCAGAGACCAUUCAAUUAUUGAGCUCAUGGUAAAGCAGAUUUAGGAAGAGAGAAAUUUGAACAAUUUUCACAGGUACGAAUUAAUUGUUCUCCGUUUCUGUUUGUCAAAUGCACUCAGCUAGUGGAGACAGAUGAUUGUUGUUCAAGUAAUUAAGUAAAGAUGUCACAUUUGGGCACGUCAAAAUGAAAAUGAAAAAUGCAAGUGUAAUAAGAAAAUUUUACCAGAGAAUAUAAUUACGCCAUCAGCAGAUACCCUUGCUAACUCUGGAAGAGUUCUGUUGAGGUACUUAGGAGACAAGUAAUCUAAUCCAUCUGAUACUAUUACCAGAGAAAAUGAUUUUGCCCAGUAUGGAAGAGGAAACUUUAUAUCAGCAGCACACACAAUGCCUUUGUUCACAAGACUCUUGCAAUUUGUAUCAACAUCUUCCAAGUCAUAUGGUUCCACACCCCAGGCUUCAGUCUCCUCCUCUUUUAAUAAUUUAGAUACCACUGAAAACGUUUCAGCGCCUACAUGCAUGCUAUCACCAUAUGCCUUCUUUAGUAUAGGUAUUGCUCUCUGAACUUCAAAUGUACAUGAAACACCACCUGCAUUUACAUUUCAAACUGUAAAUAGAUUCUCUGACUGAGAAAAACCUGCAUGCUAAUGGUCAUCACAAAAAACGCAGAGAACUAAUCAUCUCUCACGGCAAAGGACUGAGUGAGUGUUAUGUGUUACCUGAUAAAUUCUACAACAUCCUUGUACCUCUAGGACCAUGCAGUAUACAAAUUAACAAAAUUUAAACCAUCCUAUCUUCCACUACAAAUUCUGACAUACUUCUUCAUUAUAAACAAAGAAAAAUAUAUGAAGUGGGAAAUAUCUUCUGAAAGUUAACAUACACAAUAAAGGAAUUCUGACAUUCAUGUUAAAUCUACACUGCAUGCAUGGUAAUUUCUAAGGAAGGGCUAUGAUUGCAAAUACGUCAGUAGAGAGUUUACUUAAAGUAUGAUCCCAUCUACAGUCCUUUAAGUGUAAUGUACUUGAAAAUGGCACGUAGUAAUAAAAAUGAUUUAGAUGCCAAUGAAUCAUGACUAUUACCAUCAAGUUUAAUCACAGCGCCUUUACUGCUCACUCCACCUAUCAUACAGAAAAGUAAUAAUUGUGAACAAUUGAGCUGUCAGUGUAAGUCAAUAGAAGCAAAAGAAAAUAUACAUUACUUUAACCCUUCUCAAUGCACUAGUGAUAGAGUUGUCAAAUGAAUUACAAACCUGACCCACUAAAAGCAUAGCAGACAAGAAGGACUGUACACUGAAAUUAUUGAAAUAAUGAUCAGGAUUUAAAAAGAUAGAAUGACAUUUUAGUCAUGUAUUGUGCUCAACUAUGUUACGACUAUUUUCUUUUUCGGUUAUUCUAGGAUUAUCUACUGUCUAUAUAAGGAUCAGGAAUAAACAUACAGCUAUAUGACUAUUUAAUUUGAGGGGUCGGGAUAAAUAGCAAUAGAUGGUAAGAGAAAGUACCAGAAGCACAAGCGCUACAGAAAGUACAGGUGAUGAGCGUGCUUUGGCCUGCACCGCACCCACAAAAGGGAUGCUUCCACCAUCUCACUGAUGCGCCUAGCAGGAUUUACUGGCCUCCUGGACAUGCUUAUAUAAUAGCAGCGGACCUGCAAGAACCAAAAUCAGUUGAAACAGAACUUAACAGUUAACAGUAUUUCCAAGUGCCUAGUGUGAAACACUUCUCCUCACAAUUCACCACUUAUUGAACUCAAAAUUUCCAUAUAAAUUCAGCUAAAUUGAGAUCAACCAUCAAAGAUUCAGCCAAAGAGGAAACCACAUUUGAAAUGUAACUGAUGUUAGCUGGGUAUCUAAAUCAAAAUCGGGAUUAUUCAAAUUUCAGACUUUACAUUGAAGACUCCCCAACUCUUCAAGUUUGGUUCCAUUUUAUUAAGUAAUAGUAAUACCUCUCUAACAUCAUACAUCUCACAUAAGAUUCAACCUUUCCCAGCAUCAACUCAAUCACACACACACACAGAGCCAUCUUUCUAAUUCAAAUUAGUAUUCAACACUAUUUUCAAUCACAUAGAUCAGCAACACCCACAACCCAUUUCAGUAAAGCUUUUCAAAUACUAUAUUAAAGAAUCGAACUUGAUUAAGAAAUUGAAACAUGCAUGAAAAACCAAUUGCCAAAAGAAAAUGACAACUAUUUCAGAUCGAGUAAGCUAAGUGGGUGAACAAAGCUGAACUGUUUCGCAUUGAAAGCGUAAUAGAGACUGCUGACAAAGGAAAGCAAAGAGUAGUAGUGUAAGAAGAAGCAGGGACUAACCUUAAGCGCGAAAAAGUGGAAUAUGAGAUCUAGUGGAAGGCCCCGAUUCAGAUCUGUGCUGGACUGCUGGUCUUACUCUUUGGAGAGCUUAGACUAAGUUUCUAAUACUGAACUGACUGAAGAGAGUCGUAGCUUGGGACACACCGAUAUCUACAUCUAUAUAUCUACAACUUACAUUGAAUAAAUGAAUGGAAUCUAGCCAAACUGGUCUUUUUUCUUUUUUUUUUUUUUUUUUUACAAAAGUUGUGACAGACACUCAAUGAUAUGAUAAGAUUAAUCGAGCAAGUUAACAUACAACAUUCAUAUCUAGCGUUCAAGUUUAAGCUCUUACUAAUUUUUGACCAACAUGUUUAAGGGGUUAUUAAGUCUGCUACUUGAGACAUGAAAUGAGUGUGAUUUUAUUGGGACACCCUUGCAGACCUUCACCCGAAUAGUGACCGAGUAUACGUUAACGGAACUUAUGUGAAUUGGUACCUAGAGAUACAUGCUAGCGUACCCACCAGUAUCUAAUACAUAUUUUUUCUUUUUAUUUGCCCAUUUAGAUUCUAACACGUGGUAUUUUUAUUUUUUUUAUUUUACAGAUUUAACAACACAUUUACACUAAUAUAAGUAAAUUCGUUCAGAACACGUAAAUGUGGUUCAAAAUUCGUAAUUAUAACAUAUGGAUAUGUAUUACAAAAGUUUCAACCAAAUGCCCUUAUAUUUGUAAAAGCGUUGUGAAAAAUGUAAUUAUUAUCUUAAUACAAAAAACAUCACUCAAUUAAAAAACCGAGAACCAUAUUACGUGGACGAGGAAAAAUGAUCUGUUUAGUCCAAAUCUAAAAAUUUAUAAUUUCGACAACACAUUUGCCUUCAAUUUUGUAAAACAGGUCAUAAAUUUGUAAAUAUGGUUCAUAGCUCGUAAUUACAACAUAUGAACAUUUAUUACAAAAGUUUCAACCAAAUGUCAUUAUGUUUGUAAAGCAUUGUGGAAAAUAUAAUUAUUUUUCGAAUACAAAAUACACCACACAAUUACAAAACCGAGAAUCAUAUUACAUGAACGAGGACAAAUGGUCUAUUCGGUCUAAAUCUGAAAAUUUACCAUCUCGACAACACAUUCGUCCUCAAUUUUGUGAAAUGGUCCAUAAAUCUAUAAAUUUGGUCCAGAUCUCGUAAUUACAAUAUAUGAACAUUUUAUUACAAAAGUUUUGACCAAAUGACCUUAUGUUUGUAAAAAAUAUUCAAAAAAACCACGGUAUAGAAAACUAGUGGUACUCUAGAAUUUUUCAACCAAUUAUGCCAGUCUUUGUGGUUUGAAGGUAGGUAAGGCCAAAACUGAGCAAUGCAUCUUGCUAUUGCCCAAGUUGGAAUCCUGAUUACCUAUAUACUACAGGAUGGUCUACUGUUCAUAAACACUGUUCACAUCACAUGAAUAGUGCACAGACGAUUUUGCCCUUACUUUUGGUGGGUGUGAUUCCAUUUAUGCCUUAUGUUUCUAAAAAACCACGAAAUUACCAUUAACCCUAGAUAUAUAAUUGUUUUCUAUAUAAUUAGUUGUUGUUGAGGAUGUUGUGGGUUGGGAAGUAACUUUUGAACUCUUAUCUUCAUUAUCGUGUCUCAAAUUUAUUUUUUUAUUUUUUUUCAUAGAUCUCACAAAGGGUAUUGUCAUCGAAGUCAUCUAAAAUAGGGUAGUGUUAUCAUAGACCAAGGUUGAGUAAGUCUAUUUUCUUAAUUAUUAAUGUGAAACAAUUUUGGUUCUAUUUUAGCAAUGGAAUAUUAAUUGAAGUACAUACAUCUUUGAUUUGGCCAAAGAAAUUAUCUGGUUGCAAACCAACUCCUAAUUAACAAAACAUACUAAGUUAAUUUAAAUAUCGUGUGAUGAAGUACUGUGUUACAGUGGCGUACCCACAAUAGGGCCAAAGGGGUCAAUUGACCCUUCUCAAGUUUUUAGUUUUUUACCAUGUUUCUGCUCAUUGGUUGAAUUUUGUACUUCUUAUCAUACAUACUAUCAUAACACUACAUAUUUGACUCCUAUGACACAAAGACAAAGAUAGAAAUAUAAGCCAAUUUAUCUUCAUUUUCUUAAAACACCGAACUAAAAAAUAAUAGAUAUGUCUUUUGCCAAACACUUACAAAUCUACCUAAAAGGCUAAAUUCUAUCAUGUAUUUUUUUUCUUUUCUUCAUUUUUAUUUUCAACCAUCUUUUUCUUAUUUUUCUGUCUUAAUAUUCCAAGACCACGUACAUCGUCGCAUGUCAGCCUUUGUCUCUAUUCCAUUUCCCAUAAUUUAGCAUUAGCUAAAAUUGUUACUAGCCAUGCGAAAUAAAUUAAGAUUAUGAGACUAAGUUAUACAACUGUCCAAAUCUACUAUAUAUCUCAAGCCCUGUUUUCUUUGUUGUUGAACAAAUUUUCAGGUUCCUCCCCAAUAAUAGCUAUAGAAUGACUGUUAUGUCUAAGAAACCAUUAUCUAUAAUUUUAUGUGGUAUAUGAAAAGUUAUCUAAAAUUUGACCCUCUUGUAAAGAGUUUCUGGCUACGCCACUGCUGUGUUAUAUAUACUAAUGCAAUAUAUUUGGUUUUUGUUUUGUUUACUUUUAAUUUACUUUGUUCCUCAUCUUUGGUUUUAGUUUUUAUGUCAGGUUCUCAUCUUUGACAUUUUGAGAUAAGUCUCUUUAGAAGCUUGAGAUAGAUAUUCUUUUCAGUUGCUUAAUUACUUGCUUUGUGUGGGUGUGUGUGUGUGUGUUUGUUUUUUUUUUUUUUUUUCCUUUUCCUUCUGUAGUAUGAAAUAGAUUUUCAGUUUGCUAUAUGUGAGAGUUAGUCUUCUUCUUUUUCUUUUCUUUUUUCCUUUUCUAUCUUUAGUUUCUUAGAGAAAUUGCACCGAUGGACUGAUUGGUUGGGCAAUUGCUGAGACCCACCAUAUUUCAGCUAAAAAUGCAAUGCAGCGGAGCCAAAUUGCCCGAGCAAUUUGCUGAGGCCCACCAAACAAGGAUUGCCCAGGCAAUUGGUUUGCCAAUUUUCGACCAUCCUUUUGCCUGACCAAUCAGUGGAGCCCACUAAAUUUAACGGUUGGCCACUCCAAACAGCUUUUUCCCAACAUAUAAAAAUAUGUAAUGGUUAUUUAAUUACAACCAUUAGAUUUACAUCUUGUGGCUAUAAUUAAAUAGCAAAGGUAAUUUUUUUUUCUGUUUUCACUUAAAAAUUUAUUUCGUAAGUAAAUAAAAAAAUAUCAUAAUACUACUCGAACAAAUUUUAUAUAUACUCAUCAUUUUUCUAUAGUUUCUUACACCAAAACUUUUGAAAACUUUUGAAAGUUUUCCUUCUCUUUUUCUCACACCAAAAAUAUUAUAAGUUUAACGUUUUUAAUUAUUAAAUUAUUCAAAAUUAAAAUAUGAAUAAUGAAUUAACAUGUAAAUUGCCUUCAACGGGUGCAUUGAUAAAUGAGAGGCAAUUGCCAAUUUGGGAUGAAUAGUGAAUUGACAAGGGCAAUUCAAUUGACAAAUCAGCAAUUGCCAAUUGCCUAUGGGUGCAAUUGCUCUUAUAAAUCAAGUUUUCUAAACUUCACCGAUUAUUAUUGACCACUUGCAAAAGAUUCAAGUUUUAUAGUCAAUUCUGGAAUGAUCAUGCAUAUCUGAUUUCUUUCUUUAAUCCUUGAUUGAUCUUUAUUAUCUUUACAUAUUGUGAACCCAAGCAAGGAAAAAUUAUCAUCAAGCAAGGAGCUGAACAACAACUAAAUAUCAAUCACUGCAGUAUUUUAUCUAACUCUUAGUAAGCUAAGACUGCGUUUUUGGUGAAAAACAGUUAAACAAAUAUGAGCAUUUUGUACACUCAAAACUGGAGCUAUAUUUUCGAUCAUACUGCUUUAAACAAGUUGUUUUGCUUUGUGCACUUAUAAGACAUUUACUAUUUUGGGUAGGACACAACACUAGAUGUUUUGUUAUGUAGUAUUGUUGCUUUUGUAAUAGCUCUAUUAUUAGAAUCAUAUGUAUAUGUGAUAUACAAUGUAUUGAAGUUCUAUGAAAUACAUAUCAAAAACAUUUCCAUCAAUCAACUGAAUCAUUAACAAACUUCAUAAAUGUACACCGCGUCAAGGCGCGGGUAUCAACUCUAGUUUGCUACUACUGAUUGCCUGCCAGAGCUAUCAUUCUUGGUUCACAUGGGCUAUGGAAACACAACAUUUCUUGCAUGUGUAAAUUAUUGGAUAUAAAAUCAAAGGUUUUUUUUUUAAUUUAUUUUCUUUUCUAGCAGAAUUGAUCUACAACCGUUAAGUUUUUUUUUUUUUUUUCAAUAGAUAACCGUAAGUUUGAGAGUGGAAUGAAGAACAAAAUCAGACUGAUUGCAGCAAUGUUCUAGUUAGUAGAACAACUCAUGAACAUGUUUUGUAACCCAAUCUAAACUCCUUGUACAACACAACAUGACCUCGUUUCUUUAGGAUCCUCUCGAUGAUUGUCGACUCAAUGUUAUUUUUGUGCGGAAAUCACGAACCACCACACUAGGAUUCAAUGUGGCAUAAGGGUGAGCGAAAUAGCGAUAGCGAGUGUAAGUGCAGCCUCUAUCUUAGAUAAGGCUUAAUGGCUUAUAAUCCGGAUGAACUUUGGUUGAAAAUGCACCAUAUUUGUGACCUCUAACUUCUUAACACAUGAGAGACACUGUAAAUCACCUCAUUGGAACGAUCAUUUAACCAUCUUUUGCCAAACUUUGAAGGCAUAUUUCUUACUUGAACAUUGAACAUUUAACAUUGUUUUUCGAUGAUGACCCCAGCACUAGAUGGGUGAUGCUUGCCAUAAACAUGGGAGGACAUAUAGGAGAAUUUUCCUAGCCUAAAGAAGCCAAAAGCUAGUUGAAAACAAAACUUACCAGGAUGCCCCACUGCCUUGCAGGUCUUAAACUUACUGUUUAUGUGUUUCCACACCAGCUCUCUCUGCUUACACUCUCUGACUCUCUGACUGUGUCUCAAGUCUUAACAAUUUCCUAGAUAUCUGUUAUAUGGGCCCCACUAAACGUGCAAUCCCAAGCCAAUCUUUCCCGUCUUUAAAUUCAACUUCCAAGUUCCGGAAUUUCUCCACAACAAACAGACUCCAGUUUUCACCCUUUCAAUGAGUUCAAUCACUUUUGUGAAUUGUGAGAAGUGUAAAAAAAAAAAAAAAAAAAAAAAACUACACCUAUGUGCGAGGAAGUUCAAUCACUUUAGAGUGCUCUGUGCUCCUAGAAUGGGAAACUACCGUUGAUAACAAUUUGUUACAUACAUUAUAGAUCACAAUAAGAGAUAAUCAUGAUAGAUCAUUUGAUCCAAACAUGAUAGUCCGGAACUAUAAAUGCAUGUAAAAUUACCCGAAACUAAAGAAAUGUUACUAAGGGAAAACUAUUUUGUUUUUUAUGUUUACUAAGGAAAAACUUAACUUCUUUAAAUUAGAACACCUUUUUUUUGUCCUAUUUAUAUCUGGACCAUGUAAAUCACUGAUAAUUUUAAUAAUUAAAUUCAUUAUAUAUGAUACACCGUAAAAAAUGACUAAUCUAACAACUUUAAAUCCGCCUUAAACAAAACAACUUUGAAUCCAAAAACAAACAAAAGAAACUUCACAUUUUCAUAGCUGAUGGAUCACGUUCAUCACACAAGUCUCUCAAAGACUACAAACAGGUAGGUCAUGAGUUUCCCACUUGUCUCCGUUUGGCCUCUCUCUCUCUCUCUCUCUCUCUCUCUCUCCCCCCCCCCCCCCAAAGUCAAAGUAUGAAGACUGUGAACAGCGUUAUAUUACUUUCUAUCCCUAAACGCACGCCACAACAUGAAGUUUUGACUUGGACUCAACUUUGCUUUGUUGAACCACUUCCCCCUUCGGUUUAUAUUCUCAAAACUCCUCCCAUUUCCUUCUGCUUUUGUUUCUCUCCAAAAAUGACUUCUUCUUCUUCUCCUCUCUCCCUCAUCUCUUUCUCUCUAACCUUCCUCUUCUUCCUCUCCCCUGCCUUGUCUACAAACUCUGAAGGUACCCACUUUACUUGAUCCCCUCUACUGGGUUUGCUUUCAAUUCUGUUUUUGUAUAGGGUUUAUAGUUUUGUGGGUUUUGAUAUGGUUUCCAGGAAAUGCUUUGCAUGCUUUGAGAAGUAGGCUCAUUGAUGCCACCAAUGUUCUUCAGAGUUGGGAGUUGGGACCCAACUCUGGUCAAUCCCUGCACCUAGUUCCAUGUUACCUGUGAUGCCAAUAACCAUGUGAUCCGUUUGUAAGUUUCUUCUCUCUUUGAUUUUGAAAUAGGGUGUUCUGUUGUUUGAGUUUGAAUUCGUUAGUUAAUUCCUUUUUCUUUUCUUUUUUUUGAAGUUGUUGUAUAUUUUUGUGGAUUGAUUGACUUUCUUGUCUUCAAUUUCAGGGAUUUGGGCAACUCUAACAUUUCUGGGUCUUUGGGGCCAGAGCUUGGGCAGCUGAAGCACCUGCAAUACUUGUAUGUUACCCUUACUCAAAACGUAGUUGCUUAUGCUUUGUUGGGUUUGUUAGAAAAGUAGCCUUCAACUUUAAGAAUAUGUGAACUUUCUUAAUUAGACCAUAGUGAUUAUGAGCAUGGUGUCAAGAGAAAAAGUUCUUUAAAUUUGUUACUUGAAGCUACUCCUACAUGAUUGAUUGUACAAUUUGUGAAUUGUAUAGGUUUUGUGAAUUUCAGGGAGCUUUAUAGAAAUGAUAUAGGAGGUAAAAUCCCAAAGGAGUUGGGGAAUUUGAAAAACCUUGUUAGCAUGGAUUUGUAUGGCAACAGAUUUGAAGGGAAAAUCCCAAAAUCUUUCUCCAAGUUGAAGUCACUGAGAUUUCUGUGAGUACUCUUACACUAAUAAGCUAGAAUGUUUUAUCUUCCGCAAAUCCCAUAUUGAGCUCAUUUGAGAGUAUGGCUAAAAAUGUGCAGGAGGCUAAACAACAACAAGCUUUCAGGAUCUAUCCCAAGAGAACUCACCGCCCUCUCUAACCUCAAAGUUUUGUAAGUUUCUAAUUUUAUCCGAGUGUUCUUUUAUUUUUGAAGUUAAAUGUUUUGUUUUUACUGUUUCCUGGAAGUCUUACGAAAUUAUAUUGUGCCAGUGAUGUUUCAAACAAUGAUCUAUGCUGAACUAUUCCAGUUGAUGGCCCAUUUAGCACCUUCUCAAUGGAAAGGUACAACUUCUAUCACUUUCCUUUGCCUGAUGCUCCCAAUUAUAUGGCAUCAAUGCAUGUAAAUUAACUCGCUAUUGUUUUCCUAGAAAGAGACAGAAAGGAAUCAAUAAUUUAGAAUGAAAUUACUAGUCGUUUGAUAAGAAUUAAAAGAUAGGUUUAGUGUUCUUUCAGACUGAAAAAAGGAACAAAAUAAAGGUUUAGCCAUCUUUAGAGGCAAUUGUUUCAGCAUUGCUAGGUGACUUGGCCAGUCAAGAUCUGUUCCAUGCAAGCUUCUAAAAGGCCCCGCCUAGGACCGCCUAGUCCCCGCCUAGGCUCUAGGCUGCAACAAGCCGCCUUGCUUUUCUUCCAGGCCUUUGUGCCAGGCUGUGGGCGAUUAGGCGGCCGCCUAGCUUGCCUAAAUGCCGCCUAGACGCCGCCUUGCCCGCCUAGGCUGCUAAGCUCUCCGGCUAAUUUUGUUUUCUUUUUAUGGUGGGAUUGUUAUAUUAUGGGGAGUAUGAGAGUAUAAGAGUUAAUUGUGUGUUUAAAAUUAGAAGUGUAUAUGUUUAUUGUUGUUGCUGCUCACUUUUACGGGAAGUUAUGCUAAAUUUUAGUUAUAAUUUAUUUUAUAAAUGGGUAUGACUAGAUUAUGUUGAAUAAUUUAUCCAUAUUUGACCGUUUUCAAAUAUUAAAUUACAUAAAAAUAUAUUUUUAAUUAUUAAAUCUUAAAAAAUACAAAUCGCCUAGUCCCCGCCUAAUCCUCGCCUAAGCUGUCCAGGCUCUAGGAUGUGGGUUACCGCCCGCCUAGCGCCUAGCGCCUUUUAGAACAUUGGUUCCAUGACUUGGCAUUUCAAAAGUUCUGUGAGGGAAACAAAAGAUUCUUUAAACCCAUUGCCUUGUGCAGCCCAUGCUGAUUCUGUGAGGCAAGAUGGUAGUGUGCUCGUAGAUGUGAUCUGAAUCAGAUCCUAAGUUUUGGCAUGCAAAAACUUUGUACCAUUAGAUGUAUCUAGCUAAUAGAUGGCUUUAAGUCACAGAUGCUGGUGUUUAUUCAUUUACCCCUUUUUCUUCAUCAAAGGGGGAGAGUGGAGUUGAAUUACGGGCUUGUUCGAGUGCUUAUUGGAGAGAAAUGCCUUACCACUCUACCAAAUGCUAGUUGGUUGGCUAUGGUGAAGUUACACUGUUGUUUAGAGUAUUAAGAUAUCAUUGAUCAGAAUGAUUCAUAAGCUAUCAGCAAACUUUAAGAUUAUUUUUCAUAGUUCAAUCAUGGUUUUAAAUGUCACAUUAAAGUCAUCUGAAAAUCAUGCAACUAUUUAUAGAAAACAUGACUGAACUUAUUCCAUGGUUGGAGUCUUUUGCAAACAGGCUUCUACAUCCAAAGUCUUAUAAUGUGUAAAGCAACUAUCUAUUGUAUUGCGAGUAUUCAAUGCAUUUCCCUUCUGCUUCUGUUUCAGUUUUGAGAACAAUAGGCUAAGUGGCCCAGAGCUGCAAGGACUGGUACCAUAUGACUUCGGAUGCUGAAGAAAGCUGGAAUUCGUUGAUCAUCCUUAAACGACAGUAAUAUUGUACUAUAAAGGAAAAUGUUUGUAUGUCUAAUUAUAUUAUGUAUCUGACACUAGCGCACUGUUAAUGUGAGGAUACGAGUAAUGAGUGUAUCAAAUGUAUUAAUGUAACAUUAGCAAUUGAGAAUAAAAUGAUUCUGAGAUUGGACUCUUUGGUAUAUCUUUGUCCCGUAACUUCCUUCUGUGCAGUGAGCCACAGCAAAACUAAAUAUAGACCACUCCAAGGUUUCAGUUCUCUUCGUCCUAACCAGGCUCUUGCUGCUGAAACCUGGUUUUGCGAGUUGGGUUUUGAGAAAUUGCUCAUGUUCGUACAGAACUCCAGCAAUCUCACAAAAACAUACAAAGUGCUCAGACCAUUAUCUACAAAAGUGCAUGCAGUUAGACUCCUAUUUCUUCUAACAAGCCAAAACUGAGCUGAACAUAUAGUAAAUAAACACUUGCAUUCAUGAUUCAUACCAGCCAGAAAUGGCAUCAAGACUAGUUGGUGCGACCGUGCGAGUUUCAUAUUACAGACUUUAACUCUCAUUAAUCAGGACUACCAAUUACUUGUACCAUAUAGAGCUUGAACGUUCUCACAACUCAUUCUCACAAGUCACAACUCACAAGCUUCUCCACCUUUUCAACCAAAUGCUGUUAUCUCCGAGCUUGCAGAACCUCUGAGACAACCGCCGGGGACUGAGAAUCACAUCCAUUUAUAUUGUAGUUUCUAACCAUUUGUGAAGGAGGUCGUCGGAGACGGUCCAUAUGAAUAGAAUGGAACAUCACAUUACGAAAUCUCUAGGAGAAUUGCUCUCAUAUCCUUCUGAUGGAAUGCAAGAGAAUCCGAACUAUUGAUCAACGUUGUUACCGGAAAAUACGAAAUUCCCUGGCAGCUUAACUCUAUCAUUCGAGACAUUAGACAAAAAACUUCUACCUUCUCCUCUAUUUCCUUCAUUCUCAGAAAUGCAAUUUUUGGGGCUAAUGCUAUCGCGACCUCGAGGUAUGCAUCAGAUGAGCUUAUGUUAUGAAAUACAUCAUCUUUAACUUGAUUUCAUAUGAUAUGUCGAGAAACACACCUACUAGACGAUCAGACUAAUAUGAAAUGAUUUCAAAAUGCGAAGUCUUGUAAGGACAAUUACGAUCGUAACAGAACUUUUAAUUUUUGUUUUGAUAUCACCACUAUUAUGACCUAUGUUUAUCGAUGGAUAGCUACCAUCAUUGCUUACCUCAAAGUUAUUGACAAUCUGGCUUGAUAACAGACCAAAAAGUAAACUUAAUUGUUAACAAUAUCAAAAUUAUAGACUAUGAAGUAUGAACUAGCAUUUGAUCAGGCCAGAGCCCAGAGGAAGCCUCUCGGAGUAGAGUGGUCCAAAAGCGAUAUUAAUAAAUUAAGAAGGGAUCAUUUUCUGAUAACGUCGUAUUUGGUUACUUAAUUUGUCUUAUAUCAAACUCUAAGAAAUCUUUACAAAAAUACUAAUAACGUCCGACAUGUCAUUCAUAAAACGGGUUAUUGUGUGAUAUUUCCUAUACCCAUUCCAAUGAGGGAUCCAUUUUUUUGUUCAUUUCUAGGGAUAGAUCAUUUGACGAACUUUUCGAUCACAAAAUCAAAUCUCCAUCGUUCAGUUCAUUGGGCUAUAUGAGUAGAUCAUUUCUACAAAUUUUCAGAAAAUUUGGUGAUCCUUAAGUCAUCCAAAUGAGGGAUUUAUUUUUAAUAAUCUUGAACGGUGUAGGUUUAACAUAAAUGUUAAGUUUUUUUGUUUUAAUCUCAGUCAUCCAAGCCCAUUAAAAAACAGAUCUAUUGGUGUGAACAUAUCCCUAAAAAUAACAAAAAAUAGGGAUCCCUCAUUGGAAUGACCCUGUUCCUCUAUCAACUUUGAUAUAUUGACACCCCAAUUGAUAAAAAAUAAAAUGAACUAGCAUUUGAUCUAGUGAAAAAACAAGUCAAUAGCCAAAACGAGAGAUACACAUAUAUACCUGUUGGGAUCCACCCCGAAUUUCACCCUGAAACCCGAAGUAAAUUCUGCGGGGACCACCUCCAAGGAAAAUUUACCGAAAAAUUCGGCAUAACCUCCCUUGAAAAUGGACAACCCUUUCUAGUGAAACCUGCAAACAUUUCGAAAGAAUCCAUUUAUAACCCUCUACUCCUGGAGCCUUCGUGCUCCCCAAAUCACAACAUCUCCCAAUAUAUUUACUGACUUUAAUAAGAAUGAUCUCACUACCAACAAUCACAGUUCAGAGCAACUCUAUUUGAGAGGAAAGGAAAUGGAAAUAUAGAAAUGAGCAGAAGCUAUACUAUUGACUAUGCCUCUUCUCCAUGUAUGCCCGACCUCAACUAUGCUAACCUACAUACUGGGCAUUUUUUAAAAUGAAGGGCCCAGGGGAGAAGCAAUUGAAAAACGUUAGAGUGAGUGGACAAAAAUAAAUUUAAAAGAAAUAAUCUUUAUGCUUUCCCAAUUUAAAUUUCAUAAAAAAUAUACUGCAUGCGGCAGCUCAAAAGCUCUUAACUCAACAAUUGGCAAUCUCAUGACUAGCACCGGCUAGUCUCCAAAACUUACUAAAAAAAGAGUCUCUCAGGCUACACUAUAUAUAAAUAUAUAUUUAUGUAUGUAUUCACAUUCGUCAGAUUCCUUGUACGAAUUCUAUGAAAGAAUAAGAGAGAUAGAAAUUCAUACAAGGCUACAACGCUUGCGUCUAACGCUCACGUCGCGCCAUAAUGGAAUUUUACCUCAUUAUGACGGACCUAAACAGAUGUAUAUACGUGCAGAUCCCCUAUAUGAAAUCCUAGAUGAAAAUAUAAGAAAGUAGUUUUCAUAUAGGGCUAAGACGCUUGCAUCUAACGCUCACGUCACGCCAAAAUGAAAUUUACCUCAUUAUGACAAAACAAGCACGUAUGGCUAGCUAGCAUUUAAUAUACAUGCUACCCUCAUAAUAUCCAAAUACAAAUUCACCGAAAAUCUCAUUUUCGGUUAGUCUAAAAAAUGAUGAAAAUUGUCAAAUAUUCGAAACAACAAUAAAUCCUAGCAGAAAAAUAACUGCUCAACAAAAUAAUACAUCGCAUGCUUUUAAAUUAAAACAAAGUCCACUCAUAGUAUUAGGCCUAAGCCUUCCAAUGCUCGGAAUACUCCUCGAGCGCUGCCUCCAACUAUUCACACUCUCUAGCCAAACCCACGUCUGACAAUAAACAGAAGAAUAAAUUGGUCAGACCGGACUCCAAAAUAAUCAUUGAUUCGACUUCUUCCUAAUUUGACUAGGUUUCUUAGGUUGACCAAGAUUAACCAACAUAAAAUAAUAAUCAUUUUUGACCAACUUCGCAACUAUAACUUAUUCGGUUCCAUACCAAACCUUAACCUGGAAUCGAAAUCACCAUCAAUUUCCAUGCCUUAACACAUCAGCCAAAAUACUUCCAAAAUUAUUUUAUUGUCCCUUACGCUCAAGCAUGCCCAGAAACAAUACCAACAAUUUCCUUCGUUUCCUCUCUACACAACUUCACCCCAAAAUUUACUAAGGGCACCCAAACGGGUUUCCAUAAAUGGAAAGUUUCCCAUAAUAGGAAUUUUUUCCUAACUUGGCAAUUUUUCCAAUUACAACUCGAAUAUUCCCUUUUUCGGAACUACAAUUUAAAUUAGAAAAAAAGUCCUUGAAAACUACCUAAUCGGCUACUGCCGGAAAAACUGCUCCUUUGCCGGAAUCAAUCGCCGGAUUUCGGCCACUUGCCGGAAAUUUGCCAUGACCUCCCUGCAUUCUCCUAAGUACCAAGUUCUCAACAGCAAGCAACAAAAACCCAAUAUUAACCACCAAUCCACCAUAACACAAACAUAGAACAUUUCAAUCACCCAACCGAGUAGAAACAUAGAGAUUUCUCACCUUGCUACAACCCUUGCCGGACUGAGUUCAUUGUCAGCCAAAUACCGCCGCUGCAAACCGUGGCUUUCAACAACACACAAGCUCACCAUCGCCUCCAACACCACGGCAGUAGCACCCUAAGCUUCUGCUCCGCUCCUAAAUCACGCAUGCUACUCUUAAAUCCCUCCAAGGCGCGACUGAGCUCCAUUCAACCGCUUCUAGACUCACCAGAGCUCGAAACUCCUGCUGGAGCUCUAAGAACAAACCCACCGGAAAACCUCGACGAAAACCUAGAAACACAAAAAGGGCUUUCCGAAUUCGAACUCGAUUUGAAGAGUGAAAGGCAUAGAAAGAAAGAAGAAGGACAGAGGAGAAGAACCCUACCGAUCGUUGUCGUCGUCACCGCCUGAGCUUGCCGGAAAAAGAAGAACAUUGUUGUACUUUAGCUUGUUCGAUCUCUCUCUAAUCUGGCUUGCUAGGGUGAUUUGCUUUGGGGGUUUGAUAGAGUGUGAGAAGAGGAAGAGAUUGGUGGUGGUUUCACGGGCUGGGGUGGCCGGAGACGGCCGGAGCAUGGCGGAGACGAAGGAGGCAGUCGGAGAGAGAGAGAGAAGUCCGAGCUCGAGUCAAACUGAGUGUGGGCUUCUUUGACUGGGUCAACCAUCUCUUUCCCUUUUAAGCUUAAUCCCACAAUUGAUAAUGAAACCCUAGAUCCUAUGGCACAGAUUAAAAGUUAUACUCUAAAUUCAGAAAAUUAAUUCUUUUUACCAAACCUUCAAUAAAUCAAAGAAAAUAACUCAAAGCUCCGACAAAUAAUCCGACAACACCGAUGAACCCGUGCCGACACGUACUACUACAUUGGGGCCUUAAAAGAGGAAUUUAACAAUUUGAGAAAAACUUGAAAAUAAACUUGAGUGUUAAAUUACCAAAUUACCGAGCACAGUGAAAUUCCUCAGUAACUCGUAGAAUACCUAGUAAAUAGGUAAAAUUUGGUCCGGGGUGUUACAAUACUAAAGAAAGUAAACUUAACGGAAGUCGUCAGUCAAAAGAGACUAGUCGUAGUCUAGUUCAGCAGAAGUCCAGAUGCAUCACAGCAACGACGAGGGCAACGUGUAGAUUUGACGUACACGUGGCGAAACGAUGUUGAAAGAGAGAAACACGUGUCAGGAUGUGGGUGGCACCACCUGACUUUCUGGAAACUGCUCCAAAUGAAACUAGAAGAGGAAAAUUCAACAGGAAUACCCAAACUAUGUUGCCAAGGCUAAAAUGGUACCCAAACUUUAAAAUAUAUCAAUGUGAUACUUGAAGUCUUAUUUUGACAUCAACAAGGGGUUUCCGGUUAGUUUUAAGAAUAUUCCGUUAGACUAAAAAUCUUUUCUUUUGGGCUAUUUAUUAGUAGGUUUUCAGUAAAUCAAAAAAUUAACGGAGCAUGGUGGGCUUAAGAAAUUGAAUUUUUCUAUCUAACAUACUGUAAAUAUAUAAAUCUAUCAUCUUUACUCAAAGGUAAACAAUUAAUUUUUCAUCAUUGAUACUAUAUUAGAUUAUCUAUCAGAAGUUAGACAAUCUUAUAAAGAAUUGCAAGAAGAAAAAGAAAAAUUAAGAAAACUAAAAGAAUUUUGAUCUAAGCUUCAUAGAAGUACUAAAAAUUAUUGGGAUAUUAUCUACCAGAUCUAGAAAAGGAUCUAUCAAGUAGAAGAAGAGGUAAAAAUUCUCAAAGAAACAUUUGAAGAAGAUCAAAAGCAUCAUGAUUAUUUGAGUAUCGGUUAGAUCCGCCGUAGCUGGUAUUAGAGCCUGUUUUGCUCAAAAACAGGUAAAGAAAAGGCUUAUGCCACAAAGUUGGCUUCUCUUGACAAACAAAAGAGAAUCUAAACUUAAAAAUUAUCAGUCCUAUUGUACUGCAAAAAGAACUGAUAAGUGGGAAGUGCGCUUUCAUACAAGGCAUAUAUUCAAGAAAAUCAAUACUCCAUUGAAUACGUUUGUAGAGUAUUAAAUACUCUUUACGACGAACAUAUUCAUCUCCAAAGAGAGAUCGGAGUAGAAGAGCUUGAUCCAACAAGACCGAGCUUAAUCGAGUUCCUAGAUCAUUUAUCCAAGGAUAAAACAUUUGAAAAAAUUACAGAACAACUCGAGAGAUUUAAUCUAAGGAUUAAUCAACUUGAGGAAAUAAAUUCAAAAAUCGCUAGGCUUGAAAUCAAGCUAGAUUAUCUCAAAGUAAAUAUCUGACAUAUAUUGAAAAGAAAUUAGUCCGCACCGAGAAUCUUGCAAACAAUAUUCAUCAGCAAGCAGCGGAACUAAGAAAUACUCAAGAAAACUUGAAGAAGCUUUUAGAAACUCUUGUUUCCAGGAUAUGAUGAAUCAAAGAGUAGAUUAAAAAGUAAAGCAGGAAGAUGAAAAAGCUAUAAGCUUCUAUCUUCCUACAGAGAAACUUGCAGAAAAUGUGGAAGCAAUAAUUCACCAGCAGAAUUACAAUAUCGCUUAUCUCCAAGAGAUAGGUACCGACCUCGAAAUUCAAUUUCGAGAGUUACAUAGCAAGAUCUCCAAUUUACAAAAAAAUGUAGAAAAGAUGAAGGAAGGAGAAAGGUAUGAGAGAAUCAAUGAAGAGACGCUAGCUCAAAAUGUAGCUAGUAAAAUCAUUAUACAAUCUCCACCCCCAAUGGGAGAAAGUAGACUACGGUUUAGUGAACCAAAGGUACUUGAAUGGAAAUCAUUGAAAACAUCAAAAUCUACAACCAAGAGAGAUGUAAAGAUGCUGAGUAGAAUCCUCGGUUAAAAGAACACAGUUCUGGUACAGUUAAUAAAUGCUAAAGAAUUUGAGUAUAAUGAAAUCAAAUCUAGUGUGCGAGAAACAUCUGCUCCUAGAUUUAAAUUCAAUGAGAUCUAUAAGAAAGGAUCUUUCAUUAUGGAUUUUCACAGAUUCAAGAUACUAGAAUUAACUGUUCCAGCCACAGGUGAUGAAACAGACAUCAGAUUAAUAACUCUAAAUGAAGUAAGUGAAGCUUUCCAGAAAAAAUAUUUCUAUAUGCAUAUUAGAGCAAUCCAAGUAGGAAUAAAACUCUUAGCCAGAGAUGGAAUUGACUGUUCUGUUUUAUGUGUCUUGCAAGACGAUAGAAUAACAUAUUUUAAGAAAAGUCUAUUAGGAACAGUAGAAGCUUCCUUAUGCAACUAAGUUGCAUAUUUCAAUGUGUUUCCAAACUUCACAACACAUCUCAUAGAUGCUUCUCACUAUCUAAGAUUAAGAAUUAAGACAGAUGGGAUUUCUAUGAAAAAAUGAAUGAUGGAACUUGCGAUAGAUUAUCGAAUCUAUUAUAAGUUGAUGAGUUCGAAUGUAACUCCUAAUACUCGGUUUCUAAAUAGCUCUGGGAUUACUACGUCUGUUCUCACCAACCCAAAAAAUAACUCUCAGCAAAAACAUGUCACAAAAUGGCAUGAAGUAACAUUCCCAAGAGAAUGGAAUCUGACCCCUUCUGUUAAACAGCUUGAAAGUACCAAUGCUUCAAUUUAUGAAGACAUGGGAGGACAAAUAAGGUUGGGAGGACAAAUAAGGUUACAGUUUCAUAGGCAUUCAUUUGCUAACUAUGAAGAAGCUAGCUCUUCUGGAACCAAAUCAAUUUUUCAUGAAGAAUCUUUUAAUGAAGAAGACACUAAAAGACCUAUGAAAAUGUUUAGAGCAGAAGAACUAAAAGGAUUGUAUACACAAGCCAAGAAUUGUGAAUCCAUAGAAGAAUUGGAGAAAAUCAUGAAUAAGAUUUCUCAAAUUCAACUUGGAAAGAAUAAGAGGAAGAUUCUUCCUUAUCAAGCAGCAAAAGAAGAGCCAAAUACAUCAUCCUUUAUGGAUACAGAUGGAGGUGAAAGGCAGGCCCCUCCAAAAGGUGGUAAUACCAUAGUGCAGAAUAUUACAAACAAUCCGACUAAGAUCAUUCGAGAAAAGAAUAUCAAGCUUCCAAAAAGACAAGCUCCUGUAGGAAGAAGUGGAGAACAAAGUUCUCAGAAGUAUAUCCCUACCGAACCCAUCAGUGUCCGAAAGAGAGGUUUAUCUGGAUUUAGACCAGGUAGGAGAUAAAAGAAAGACAAUGGAUAACUGGGUUUUUAGUUUAAAGUUAACGCAGACUCCAGUGUUAUCAAAAUAUGCCUACGAGGAUGCUCAUGCAUAUUAUGAGUCAACCUUAAUUGGAAUAGUCCAGAAAUGGUAUCAGUUCUUUAAGAGAAGUUCAAAAUAGGCUGAUUGGGCAGUCAAGUUAGCUCAGACUAAUAGUCCUUUAGAUUUUGGAAUGCCUAUCUAUGCACAAUUAUGUGGAGAUAUCACUGGGCAGAGUGAGAAAUCAAAAGAAAGAGCUAAGACAAAUAUUCAAAAAUUGAGUAUUUGUAACAUGAGGUAUUUUGAGGAAUACAUCAAUGAAUUUCAAAACUACUACUAUAUUAUUGGAGACAUUGAGAAUGAUGAUCUCGUUAGAACAUAUUAUAGAAGUUGCCAGAACCCUGGAAUGACGCAGUAGCACAGUCCUUGGAAGAAAACCUUGUUCAGUACUUUACUGUAGGAGGAAUGGCAGAAAGAGUUAGGGAUCUCUUAAGAAAGCAAUGCACAGAGAACAAAAAAUCUAAAACUGCCAAGAAGCAACUCAGGGGAGUUGAAAAUAUGUGUCCAAAGAUACUAGAUACUCCAACACAAUGGGGAUGUCAUAUUUCUAAAGAAAGAAAAUACAGAAAGAAGUUCUCUGGCAACAAGCUUGGUGGAAAAUUUUCUUCUAAAAAAAAGUAUAAGUUCAGAAAAAGUUUUAAAUAUAAGAAAGAAAAAUCUUCUCCUAGAAAGAGAUUUUUUUAGGAGGAAAAAGAAAACAAAUUCUUCCUCCAGAGAAGCAAAGAAAUGCAUAUGUUGGCUUUACAAGGCAAAGGGACAUUAAGCAAAUGAGUGUCAUAAAAAGGACAAGAGGUUUUUUAAAGCCUUAAUUGCUGAAUAUGAUGAAGCAAUAAAAUACGCUAAUCUAAAAGGCUUUGAAGUCACUUAUUUAGAUGAAGAGAAUGAGUCAAUAUAUUCUCUUGAGUACCCAUCAGAAAGUGAGACUUCAGAAAGUUCUGAAGAAGAAGAAGAAGAAGAUAUAUGAUAUUGUUAUAUAUUUUUAUUACAGAUACAAAAUUGGAAUGAUGAAACCUCUGAUAUUAUCAGUACCUUCCAUCCCAAUCCGGGAAAGUUCACAUGUGACUAUUGCAAAUGUGAUGAUAAUAAUACAAUUCUCAUGUACUGUGAAAGUACAGGAGAAACUUAUCAUCGAGAAUGCUUUAUUGUAGAGUUAAGAAGAAAAACCAAGGAUAAUGAUGCUCAUAUCCUGGUAGAAGAGGAAUAUAAUGUAUUACAUAAAAGAGAACAAUAGAAGAACCUUGAAGAAGAUAUGAAAACGAUGAAGUUAGUGACUUCAUUAAGCCAAAACAAUAACAUAAAAGAAUCUCUUGAUUCCAUAAUUAUUGUGAGCAAUGUCAAUCCUCUUGAUUCCAUAACUACUGUGAGAAGUGUCAAUCCUUUCACAAAAUUACUUGAUGCUCCAAGAAAGCAAGAGCGAGUAAUGCUAGUCCAGACAAGCAUAUACAGCAAUCAUAUUACCAUAGGACUCAAAUUUCCCAAUUACUAGAAGUAUCAUCUACAUGCAUUUGUAGAUGAUGGUUCAGGGUACACUCUUGCUAAAAGAUAUGCAAUCCCUGAAGAAUAUUGGGAAAAAUCUCCAAGAUCAGUUACUGGAAUUGCAAUGGAAGAAAAUGAAAUAGUCAUGGACACAAUGGCCCGAAAUGUAAAAGUUUCCCUAGGAGGUGGAAAUUUUAUCAUCAAGAUCCUCUGGCAGUAUGAAGGCCAGAGCGCUGAUUUUGUUGAUUGGAAAUGACUUUAUUCUUCAAUAAACAGUAACUCAAACACCAUAAAUGAUUGGGUUUGAGAAAAAUCGAAAAUUCUAUUGGGAAUCUCGAUUAACAGACGCGGUGCGCGUUACAAGUAAAAGAUUUACAGACCAAUAUCAGAAGUCGCCAACGAAGAGUGGUGAUUAUAAGCUAGUUUUAGAGCCAGUUUUACUGUUACAAGACCAGCUUAAAGGUCACACUGAAAUAUUGAUAAACGAAGCAACGAGUUCAGAAGACUUUAAAUCAGAGGAAAAUUCUGAAUAUCAAAUUUCUGAUAAUGAGAAUUCUGAUGGAGAAGAAGAAUACAUCAGAGAGCAUAACUUAAAUGUAUAUGCUAACAAGGUAGAACAAAAGAAAAUCCCGACUCUCUUAGAAAUAGAAAAAUUGCUGAAACCAGUAAUCAGUGAAGAUCCUCAGUUGUUUUAGGAAAGAGACACAAUAUAUUGUCAGCUAAGAAUGCAUAAUGCAAAUGCGAUUUGCCAUGUUAAGGCCAUCCCUCACUAUAGAGAAGAAGAUAGGAAAUAAAUGGAAAGUCAAAUCCAAGAGCUUCUUGAAAAGAAAUUAAUCAGGCUUUCAAACAAUCUUCAUCAUGCUCCAGCUUUCUUAGUAAGAAAUCAUGCUGAACAAUUGAGAGGAAAAGCCAGAAUGGUAAUCGAUUACAGGGAUGUAAAUAAAAAAACCGUUAAAGACAGUUAUCAAAUAGCUCAGGUGAGGAGUUCUCAUCAACAUGCUUAAAGGAGCAAAAAUCUUCUCCAAAUUUAAUGUAAAAUCAGGCUUCUGGUAGGUUAAAAUGCAUUCAAAUUCCAUUGUUCUGAUGGCUUUUGGAACUCCUCAGGGGCAUUAUCAAUGGUUAGUUAUGUCAUUUGGUCUUAAGCAAGCCCCGCCUAUUUUCCAAAGGAAAAUGGAUAAUAUUUUUAAGCCCUACUCAAAUUUUUGCAUAGUUUAUAUAGUUGACAUCCUUGUCUUCUCUAGAACUAUGAACGAACAUCUAAAGCACCUAGAAUAGAUGUGUAAACUUAUUGUCAAGAAGGGAAUUAUCCUUGGAUAGAAGAAGAUUCACCUCAUAAAGGGAGAAAUUGAUUUCAUUGGCAUUCAUGUCAAGGAUGGAGAGAUUCGUCUCCAGGAACUUCCCUUCUUCACUGCACUUCCCUCUUCAAAAACAAGUUCUAAAAAGAAAUGGUCUUGUACAGAAAAUGACAGUAAUACUGUCAGAAAAAUUAAAGAAUUAGCAAAAAAACCUUCCUCCUUUAUAGUUACCUGAAGAAGGGGAUUUGAUCAUCUUGCAAACUGACGUAAAUGAUUAUUACUGGCCAGGAGUUGUUUUAGCUGUUGCUCCAGAUACAAAUCAUGAAAAGAUUUGUAAAUUUAUACCAAGAAAGUUUAACGCAAUAGAGUUAAACUAUUCUACUGGAGACAAGGAAGUCCUUGCCUUAAUUAAAAACAUUAAGGGUGCAGAGGCAAUUUUAGGAAACAAAUUUGUAGUUAGAAGUGAUAACAAAAGAGUUACAAAUUUCAAAAACUACAAAUUAACUGAUGCUGCUGAUAGAGGAAGAAUUUUGAGAUGAUGUUUUUAACCCAAUAUGAAUAUGAUGUUGAAAUGAGUGACAAGAACUAUCUGUCUGACACUUUUACAAGAGAAAUGACAAUGUUUGAAAGAGAAUGUCACAAUCCAAAAAAUCGGAAACUGGUGUCAGAGGAAAAGAGUCUUUGGGAAAAAUACAAGAGCGGUGAUAAAACCGUAGGACCUCUCCAUGAUGGACCAGGUUAUCAAUACAUUGUUUCUUAUGGAACUGCUGAAUCAAAUCAGUCUUCAGAAAAAAUCAAGACAAGACCAGAUUAUAGAUGGGAUGAACAUUCAGACCAUUCUAAAACCACCUUGAAAGAUGAAGAUCAAUUUGUUGCUUCCAAUGAAGAAGAAAAACUCGUACAUGAGUUCUUGUUGUGUCCGAAAGGAACAACCUCAACAGACCAGUCUCAAGGUAAAAGACCAGCUAGCCUGUCUCAAACGGCAGACGGUAAAAGCAUGUCAAAUCCGUUUAUGGCUGCUGCUUUGCCAAAAAGUAGAAGAGCCCCUUUUAGUGUAAAUAAACUACCCUUGGUUACUGAGAAGAAGGUUAUUCAUGAUUAGCCUUUAAAGAUCUUUCAUAAACCAGUAUUCAGGACAGAUAGGCUAUUGGCCUUUAAACAAAAGAUUAUUGUGGAUAAUAUUCUGCAUGUGUUUUACGAGGAGAAUGAAGUUCACUUGCUUCAAACCCUUAAGGCUUUAACUGAAGAAUUGUAUGGAUUCCAUACAAAGGAAAAAUGUGUUCUAGUAGAAAACUCCAAGGUUUCAUGCCUUGAAAAUCCUAAAUCCAUACAAAGGAAAAAUGUGUUCCAACAGAAAACUCCAAGGUUUCAUACCUUGAAAAUCCUGAAAGCGCUAAAGUCCCUAUUCUAGCGCUAAAAGAGUCUGAAUGGUACAACUUCCAUGAUCUCUUAGGAGGUUUUGAAAGUAAAGACGUCCUUCGACAGACGUUAUCAGUAGUUCCUAGCCCAUAUUAUGGGAGAUACUUGGUGAAUGUUCAAGCAGAGAAUCCUCAGAAACACAAGUUAUGGCUUGUGGAAAAUGGUUUUGUUCAUAACCUUUGGACAAAGACUAAUGAAGAUUUGAAGGGUCUUCCAGAAAUAAUAUCUGAAGCAGUUAAGAAUAUUAGACCUGAUGGAUGUAUCCUAAGGCUAAAAUUCAUAUCAACUCCACCAGAGUGGACAAUGGUAGAUGGAAAGAUGAAUUAUAUUUCUCCAUAUCAUUAUGUCAGGUUAAUCCAGAGUCUAGUUCAAAAACCAGCUGUUGCGUUGCCAGUGGCAAUGGUAGACCAAAUCAAGGGGCAAUAGUAGACCAAAUCAAAGCAUCUCAUGGAUGAAGGCUAUGCCUAUAAUGAUGUCACACCCCUGACCCGGUGUCGGUGGUUUCCAAGCACCUGAAGUCGAACUCGAGGCGUGAGUGGGAAAAGUAAAAGAAACUAAAACAAUUUCAAAUACUUUUUCAGAAAUUAUAAAAAUAAAACGUUUACAAAUAAUAAAACAAAUACAAAGACAAAAAGAUGAGCCCUUGCUAUCUAUCUCACUUCUAAUCUUCCGUAACUUUUUCUACUCUCGUACACGUCAGUUAACGUCACAAUUAGACUUCUCGAAAGACGUGUCGUACCUUGUAAGCACCUGAACAAAAUUCUAUAGGGGUGAGCUUACGCUCAGUAGGGCCUAACAUCUUUAGGUUAUUCUUAACUACGUUGCACAAUCAAGUUAUCAAACAUCAAACAUCAAACAUCAAACAUCAAACAUCAAACAUCAAACAAUACUUUACAUAAAUCAAAACAAAUUGAUGCAUAAAUGCUAAUGCACUCCAUCCACUCUAUUACUGGCUAAUUAAUCCAUACACCCAAGACAUAUGUACAUACACGUCCCAUACAGUGUACCGUGUAGAUGUCUCGAAUAUACGACCUAACAAAUCAGUAAUAUAUAAACUCAAGUACCUCUUUUGCUAGUCUUUUAUUAACCUCAUGGUCCCCAGUCCCGAAACUCGAAAGAUCGUUUUAUCGACUCAUACGUCGAAGGGGCAUACUUUCCCCACUCAGAAAUCAUAGCUACUGAAAGUCCCCAUGAAGAAACUCAACUACACAAAAUGUAUCUAUUCUAAUAAUCUCAUUCUCAUUCUCCUCUCCAGAAUCACCAUUCUCACUAUUCUCAAGUUUUCUCACAAUGCAUUAUGUAUGCAAUCAAAUAUCGAUGCGCGUAAUAUAAUAUUAAACAACAUGCUUUUCAAAGAAAGCAAUAACAUCGAUCAUAUAUUCCAACGCAUGCUUUUAACAAAAACAAUAACAAUCAAGAGUUAAUCAUUCAAUGGCACACAAUUCACCAAGUUCAAUUAUAAUCUAAUUAUCAAUUUAAAUAAAGGUUCCCCGAGAAAGACCCUACCUGAAAUCCAAGCUUUGACUCCGACGCUAACUAUAACUAGUAACUCAGCGACACACUUCUGAAAUCCUUAUCCUUCUGCUCGUGAAACUGCAAGCGUGCGUUUAAUUCCUUGUGUCGAUUCCUUGUUCUGAGAAAAUCCAUGAACCUCUUCAAAUCAUUUCCAUCAAAUCCUUGUAAACUACUAAGGACACCCAAUGUUACUUUGUAUCCAAAAAUGGCUCUCCACUCCACCAUCCCAUACCAAGUUUCCAUCAUUUAUUAACAAAGCAAUACAUUAUGCUCCAUCUUCUCCAAUCCCUCAACUCUGUAACUCUAAUAUAUAUCUGAUCAUAAAAAUCAUGCUUUGAGAUUCAUAUCUGGUCAGAAAUUAAUCAAACAUUGAUCAACAACCAACACCAUCGUCAAGCAUAGUAGAGCAGUAGAACCUCAAGUAACAAAUCUUGCAACUCUCUAACGAAUUUCAGAACCAAGCAAGCACAAGCUAUCGCUGCCGCGUUUGCUGCCGAGCACAGUGACCACAUACGGUGGUCAACACAGCCUAAAACCCAAAUUUGUCAUCUCUCAUCAAAAAUGAAAUUCAAGCACAAGAACAUCAACCAAAUUCUUUUCCAAAGUUUCUAUCAAUAACCAAAUAGAUAAUUUGAAGUCCAAAAGCAUCAUCGUCGCCGCCGUGCACAGCGGCAGUCCUCACUGCCCUAAACCAACUUCAUCAUCUCUCAACCAAACUCAAUUCAAAUUAUACAAACAGGUAGAGCUCAAAGAGAAGAUCAACUUUGAUACCUGAGUCGGACUCAGAGGUUGCCGGAAAACACCCAAGAACACAGCCUAAAACCUAGAAACUCCUCCUCUUUGAUUCUCCCUCACCUGACCUCAUCUCGACAAGCUGAAGACACAGGGACGUCGAGGAUGAGGAGACGAAGCUAACCACACAGGUGAGAGGCUUCGACGCUGCCAGAAUCGAAGACUCGCCGGCGAACCCAGCCUCUCCCCUCUCCACUUCGAAUCUCUCUCUCUAGACCUCUUAUCUGAAAACCAAAGACAUGGACAUGACUAGGAUGUCGAGCUGAAGCUAUCUCCACCGGUCUGCCACCACGCCGUCGCCGGAGAAGGAAGAACCAGUCGGGUCGCUCGUCGCUGCUAUUCGGGUCGAGGUUGACCCGGUCUGGGUCUGAGACUGAUCUAUUCUGAUCUGAUCCCAAUAUGUAUAAAGCAAUGGACGGCUGAGAUUCAGCUGUUUAAAAGAUCUGACGGCCCAGAUCAACUCCCUUUAUUUUCUAUUUUUAAUUAAAUUUUUAGAUAAUAUCAACUUCUAAAAAUCAUUAAAGAUAGCUUUGAUGUCCAAACGAUGUUUCGAAAAAUCCUACGAACUCGUAACGAUGUCUAGAUUAAUCCUAUGAGCUCGAAAGACAAAAUUUGACAAACUAAAAAAAAUUGAAAUAAUUUUCGAAAGCUACAAAGAAUUGAAAGAAUAAUAGAAAUCGAAAUAAAAAAUAGCUUGAAACUAAUUUUCCUUUUUAAAAAAUAGAAAACUGAAAUUUCGGGAUAUUACAUAUGAGUAUCAAAAAUGUGGUCCUAAGGGAUUAUGUUUAAGUCUUCUGGAAAACGGAGAAAAAUAAUGGUCACUUGCUAUAAUCACCCACCUCUAGAGAAUUGUGAUUUUUUCACGGCUCUCAUGAGAAAAGAGGUUGAUUGCACACUAGCUACAACCAUGUGGCUAGAAAAAAUCGAGACGAAUGUGAAGUAUAAGAUUUUUGAUCCUUGUGACUCAGAUCUCGAUAAUGAAGAAGAUAACACAGCAUGUGAAUGGGAAUAUAGUAGCCCAAAUUCGUCGGCAGGAUACGACGAGGAAGAAUAUCAUAAUCUCACUAAUAGGAUGGAAGGAUGAGUGGUCGCCAACGCAUCAAAACAAGAAAGUUUUUCUUUCUGAUAAGAAGUGUGUGGCUGCCGACGCAAGAAGAUAAAAGACUUUACUUUUUCAAAAGUAAAGUUAUUAGGAUAAGAUACUUUUAUCGUCCACUUGGUUUAUGUGAGUUUUAAUCUCAGUUUGGAGGAGCCUUAGGCGUCAGUAGGAAGGCAUCAGAAACUUGGAAUAGAAGUUCUCUCAACCUUUCUCAAGAAGUAAGAUAGCCAGAAUACAGUCUUUUCAGUAUAGUGUGAGAAUAAGAGAGUGUUGUGUGCUGUAAUCAUCUGGUGUAGAGUGCAUUUUACUUACAAGUAAGUGUUUAUCUUGUAAUUAUAAGUAUGAAUUUAGUUGUUUACCUGAGAGCGAGGCUCUGGGUUUUGUAUUUGUAUUUAUGUUGGAAUAAAUAGAUUCUAUCUUGUGCCCCAUAAUCCGUCACACAAAAAAAAAAAGUUGUUAUAUUCAUAUUUAAGUUUGCUUCGUGUUUUGUUAUAAAUACUUUGCUUUUGUGAAUUAAGGUUUUUCCAUGCUAAGACAACAGUGAUUCAGCCAUAAUUAGUAACCAUUUAGACAUAAGGUCGUUAGGUGAAAUGUUGGCAUGUUGAAGGUUAGUUCUUAGGAUAGAGAAUUUUAGAGUCAUAAAAGUAAGGUAAGGUAAGAUAAAAAAUAAGUAAAUAAAUAAAAAAUAAAAACAAAAAAAACUUAACAUAAUAGUUACUAAAAAGUAACGGAGGUUAGUAUCUCAUAGAUAACAAUUAGGAGUAUAGGUACUACAUUGACUACUUUAAAAGUUUAGAUAUCAAACUGACAUGGACACAAGAAUUAGGGGACUAUUAAUUGCUGAACUUUUCUCAAAUUAGAAUCCAGUUUUGGUUCAGAAAGGUAUGUUGAUGAUCAAUGUUGUGACGACACUCUUCUUACUUGCUGCGUCCGCACAAACCUAACAUACUCGCUGCCUCUUUGGUUAUUCGUCGCUACUCUUUGCUCCCUUAUACACACUGUGCACUAUUUUUCUUCAAAAUAAAUGUGAGAAAAACAUAACACACUUUCACCAUUUGGGUUCACAAAGAAAACUAUUUGGGUUUACUCCGGGUAGACUGAUCUCAAGGCAACGGGUUGGAACAAGAUCACUUGAAUGCUGCCAACGGGACCCCGAUAAUGCUGGGCAUAUCCCCUCUUCCCCAUGAACUACUCCUUCAGACAAAUUCUCAUCCCGGGCAGAUUUUCGAAUGUUGCCGGUGAAAGUCACCGGGAUAAGAGGAUGAUCAGACAUCGGGAGGAGUGGGUCGUCACCGGUGAAGCUCCGAUCGACCUAGCUAAACUAUUUUGGCGAUUGCGUGAACUCCAGGUCCCGAUGAAUCAUCUCCGAGUGUUGUCGAAGCGUCGCUCAAAGCUAGUUGGGCUCUUGGUGAGGACCCGGUGAUAAAGGGGACCUGGGCGGGUCAUGCUAUGCCACCUAAUGGCUUGGGCCUAUAUAUCAGACACCAUGAGCUAACCUUCCUCUAUGAGCUUGCUGGUUGCUCUGACUCCAUGUGCUUGCUGGUAAGAACACAACUAGCCAUAGGGAGACAAAGAUAUAGUGGUUCACCAUGUCAUCGAGGGACAUGGCUACGUCCACUUAAGGUUCCACUAUCAUGGCCAAUAUGUCUUUGGUGUUACAAGAGCUCUCUAAGAUGGAGUGAGUAGUGAUUGAGAUUCAUUCUACAUAUGGGAAGCCUUCCUUUUAUAGCUAAGGAAAGUUCAUUCAUAUUACAUAUUUUUGAUGUGGGACAAGGUGCACAUAUCUCUUAUCAUGGUGUCUUCUUGUGGAGCUUGGAGGAGCACCUCCUCGACGUGGUACCGAUGAUCUUUCACCAUGGCGAGGUAGCCCGGAUGUUGGUCUACCAGAAAUAUGAUGGGGGCGGGGCCUCCGUGGCCGGAAGACGGUCUACGAGAUCAUUGCUUAUGCUUGGCGGUAUAUCUACUAUCAACAGAUAGUUACAUAGCAGGUUAAUGUAGUUAGACAAGUGUAGAAUGUAUGUAACUACCCAGGUAACUAUCAAUAUGCAUGAAUAGUUACAUAGGCAAAUACAUAAGUGUAGCAUGUAUGUAACUACCCAAGUAACUAUCAAUCUGUAGUUGUGUAAAUGUUCUGAUAACUGUUGAUAUAAUAUGUUAUGAACUGGUCACUUGAGUUAUUUGGCUUGAAUUUUUAUUGAAAAACAGAAUGGCUUGUGGGAUUUUCGUAGUUACACAAGUGUAGCAUGUAUGUAACUACCCAGGUAACUAUCAAUUUGUAGUUACAUGGAUAGUUACAUGAAUAGUUACAUUGAUAGUCACAUGCAUAAUUACAUGGAUAGUUACAUAGAUGGAUAGUUACAGGGAUAGUUAUAUUGAUAGUUACAUAGGUAGGUUAAUGUUGUUACACAAGUGUAGCAUGUAUGUAACUGCCCAAGUAACUAUCAAUCUGUAGUUACAUGGAUAGUUACAUUAAUAGUCACAUGCAUAGUUAGAUAGAUAGUUACAUAGAUGGAUAGUUACAGGGAUAAUUACAUUGAUAGUUACAUAGGUAGGUUAAUGUCGUUACAUAAGUGUAACAUGUAUGUAACUGCCCAAGUAACCAUCAAUCUGUAGUUACAUAGAUAGUUACAUAGGCAAUUUAAUGUCGUAACACAAGUGUAGCAUGUAUGUAACCACCCAAGUAAUUAUCAAAUUGUAGUUACAUGGAUAGUUACAUUGAUAGUUACAUUAGCAGGUUAAUGUCGUUACACAAGUGUAGCAUGUAUGUAACUACCCAAGUAACUAUCAAACUGUAGUUACAUGGAUAGUUACAUGCAUAGUUACAUGGAUAGUUGCAUAGUUACAUAGAUAGUUGCAUAGAUGGAUAUUUACGUGAAUAGUUACAUUAAUAGUUACAUAGGUUGGUUAAUGUCGUUACAAGUGUAGCAUGUAUGUAACUACCCAAGUAACUAUCUGUUUCUGCAAGAUCCCGCAGACCUUUUAGAAGUUUUAGCGUGACCUCUGUUCCUAGGCUUCGCUGACUGGCUACCUGCAACAGGAGAUUUACCGGGACUUACCAGUCUUUCUCUCUCAGAUGGUUAAGUCAGUUGUGUGGUUGGUGAAGUAUAUUUAAUGCUCAGAAUUAAUUAGCUCUUUUGUUGACUUUAACAUUGCAUUUAUAACCCCGCUUCGACUUCUUUCUUGCUUGCCAAUCAAUGUGGGACAAGUGUGAUGUUGUGAUUUGUUUAUUUAGCCCUCUGUUGUGUGCCUCCUGCCCGGCCCAGACUGCUAUGACCUCUAGGACGAUGCCUGCUUGGUCUACCUCAUGGUGGGUUUCUGGUAGCAUCGUGGGCCGAGAAGGUAUUCAUCUACUGCAGACUACAAGUCCCCCCAAGUUCCCGUUCAAGACACGUCUUAAGUGGGGACUUAGAGAAAUGGCCCACGAUUUAGCAAAUUACCAACGGGUACCCGGUCCCAGUCCCCUCAAGUUCGUACUCGGGACAUGUUUGAACAAGUUGUUAUUGCGAUGGAUGAAGGUAGCGAGCCUUUCAAUAUCAUGUGUUUCUGUUCGAGCGCGGGGUAUGAUCCCUGCGUGGGUUAUCAUGCCACUAUUCUCCGUGUGAAGGGAAUGAUAUGAACUGCCCCACUCCCACUCUCUGAGAGCUGUACAUGGGACUUACGGUUCUCAUGGCUCUAGUUGUUUCGCUCAUGCUUCCCGGUGAUACGUUUUCAGGGGUGGAUUCAUGCCCAUAGGGUUUGAAAACAUACCUUUCGAAACUUCAAACACUUGAAGAAGUCGAAAAUUGUAGUCAAAGGAAACCAAAAAUCGUCAGUGGGUGGCGGCGAAAGGAUUGGCAGCUGGUGAUGUCGAACGGCAGCUGGGAAAACAGGCAGCAGCGGCGGUCGGACAUAGGAGCCGAAAAACGCUUUUUUUAGUGUUUCGAAAAAUAAACGGUGGGCUAUUAGUUUUAGGAUUAUAACAAAAUGCAUGAUAACGUGAUGAAGUAUAAACAGUAGAGACAAAGAGAGAUAGUAAGAGAAUAGAUAAUCAUCUUAUUCAUUGAUAGGAGCCCGUUAUAUAGGGAAUUACAAAGUACCAAUAUGGUAAUGAUAAGGAAUACAUAGUCUUAUUCUAACUACAUAUCCUGAUGGCAUAAGGCCAAGACACACAUAUGGAAUAUCCUAAAACACUAUGACCGGAUUUUCGCAACCAAUGACCGUUGACCAUGACUCCGACGACCGUUGACCGGGAUCCGACGAUGUUGACCGAAUUCUGACGACCGUUGACCGGACUCUUCGGCUCCUAUGUCCGACCGCCGCUGCUGCCUGUUUUCCCAGCUGCCGUCCGACAUCACCAUCUGCCAAUCCUUUCGCCGCCACCCACUGACGAUUUUUGGUUUCCUCUGACUACAAUUUUCGACUUUUUCAAGUGUUUGAAGUUUCGAAAGGUAUGUUUUCAAACCCUAUGGGCAUGAAUCCACCCCUGAAAACGUAUUGAGGGCAGGAGGGGGUUCGUCGGGGGGUCUACUGGAGGCAGUAGGGGGGUCUAUUGGGGGCAGUAGGGGGUUAAACAGUACACAAAGCUGUUCGAGUUAAACAAUACACAAAGUUGUUCGUUUUCUAAAUCCACACUCUACUAUUCAUUAUUUUUAAAUUGCUCAAUCACAACUCAUAAACCACACAUGUCAACAAUCCGAUGCAAAAAUCUCACUAUUCAAACACAAAUUCAUGAAAACCAAAGCACGAUGGGAUUAGAAACUUACGUCACCAAAUAAGAGAUGCAGCUGAGGACGAGCAAGAUGUCGUCGUCACAAUAGGAUAUCUAGUCGAGGUCGUCUUCGACAGAAUUGGAGAUCCGGUCGAGGUCAUUGUCGGCAAAAUCAGAGAUCCAGUCAAGGUCUUUGUUGACAGAAUCGAAGAUCUAGUCGAGCUUCUCGUCGAUGGAAUUGGAAACUCAAUCGAGUUUGAGCCGGCGUCGUCGUCAGAGGUGAGCACAAUCGAGGUCGCCGUAGACGAAAUUGGAGAUCCAGUCAAGAUCUUCGGUGACAGAAUCGGAGAUUCACUCAAGGUCUUCGUUAAUGGAAUUAGAGACGUAAUCAAGGUUAAGCCGGCGUCGUCGUCGGAGGUGAGAGAGAGAGAGACUGAGAGAGGUUUUGAGUGAGAAAAAGAGGAGAGACGUUCUAAGAGGCACAAUUCUUGUAUCUUUCAAAAUAAGGGGUAAAAUUGUUAGAAUGAAAUAAUUUGAGCAAGCAAAAUGAAUUUGUGUGAGUAAAAAGAUUAAAAUGGACUUAUAAGCAACAAAAUGUUAAAAAGAGGACUUGCAUGAAAUUUUCGAUGUAUUCAAAUACGGAACGAUUCACAUUCAUCCACUUUCACUUUCAGAAAUUAUCGCAACCAGUCGGGGCCAUUAACUCAGCCUCUUUCCAGUACCGCUAAUCUUGACUGGUGAACAAACGCGCUUCUCUAAAUACCCUCUUCCAUUGCAAUCCCUCUCUCGCUUCUGCCGCUUAUUAGCCGACGACACUGCUCAAGGAAGAUCAAGAACAACCGUGCUCUGUUUUUUCUGUUUACCCCUUUCUUGCUUCCCUGCUCAACUAAGAUCAAGAACAAACGUGCUCGGGCUUCUUCCUGUCUUGUGUUUCUAAUCAAGGUUAUGAAAUCAGAUUCUGAUUUACUUUAUAUGUAGAUCUGGUCUUUUAUAUCUUAUAUGGAAUUCUCUGAUCUUGGCUUCCCUCGUGAUUUGUUCUAUUACACGUUUGUUGGAUCAAGUUGUCAUAAGAGAUACAUAAGUGUUUGUGUUGAAUUAGUCGCAAACACAUGAUGUUGUAAGAUAAAAUUAGAAGUUUAGAAAAUAGAAAUGCAGGCAAAUACGUUUUACAUCAUGUUUCUGAAAAUAAAGUACUUGAACCAAUCCCAUUAAUUCCUAUUUCUUGAACGAAUCCCAUUAAUUCCUAAUUCUGUCUCCCUUUGCUGCUCCCCUUAACUCUCCCACAUCCCAUCGGAAUAGCACACCUUACAUGUCUUAUCCACACACAAACUGCACAAACAAAAAAUUUCGUCAGUGUUUCCUUCCAAUUUUUUAUUUUAUUUUUUUAUUUCAAUUCUACCUGAAACGUGAUCUGUUCACUUUGUUCAGCCGAUCCAUCAUGUCGUUGUGAGUAAUACAGUAGUUGAAGAUGAAUAAGGAUAACUCUGGGAAAGUACAACUGAUUGCGCGCUCGAUCUCUUCAAAUGUAAGCGUGUCUCUAUUAUUGCAAUCCUGGUUGCAGUGGGUAAUGAAGUUCUUUGCCAACUCUAACAUUCCUAAGCCAUUGUCUUCAUAUGUUUUCUUUUCAUCCUCUCUCUUUUUGAUCACCCUUUUGAAGGCAUUUCUCAUUCUCACCGGCAAACAAUCGAUUCUAUCUUUUAUCUUAUCAUGUCUGUGAGCAUUAGCACAAGAUGCCUUGAAACUGUCUAGCCCAUCUUUUUCUUCAAUCAAAAACAACCAGAAAUGGUAGAUUCUCAUUAACCUUUGCCUCAUAAAUUGAACAAAUGGAUGUUCUCCCAUAUGUUUGAGAUAUUUCCUGCAUUGAACAGUAAAGUAUCAAAGUCUACUUCUCUGACAUAUCUAUGCUAUAUGCAUAUCAUACUUACUGAUAUACUUGUAUAUAUAUACUGCAUACUUAAUGACAUAGCCGUGAUAAGUUUCAAAAAUGAUGCUCCAAAACAUAAACAUGUUGUUCAUUAUAGUUUUAGAGGAAGUAAAGCUAUUUUCAUUGUUAUGGCUUUUAUCAAGCUCUAUGGUAUGUAUAGCCACAUACAUGAUUGUUGGCUAAUUGAGGCUUGGUGAGUAAAACACAAUUUUUGGAACACUCGAAUUGAUGGAUAUUGUACAUUAAAGUUUUGCCUUUAUCCAUACUGGUAUUGAGUAUAUAGGAUUGGUUGUAAAUAAAGAUAUUUUACUUUUGGUGUUGUUUCCAUGUAAGGAUUUACAUUUUCUGGACACUGACUAUUGAUCUUGCCUUCUAAUACAUUUUUUUUCUGCUUCUUUUGUAUUUUACUAAACCUUAAAAUGCAAACAGAUAUAUGUAUAUACAAGUUAAAUCAAUAAGUAGUUGUCCUAACAACUUCAGUAGCUCAAAACAAAAGGCUUCUUAUUUAUAAAGUAAUUAUAAUAGCAUAUAACUUGCUGAAAAAUAACCAUAUGAAGGUACACUACCAGAAAAGAACUUACCUCGAUAUAAUUUUAUUGUAUUUAAAUGCUUUAAAAGAAGAAAGAACAGAUUCUCUGUAGCAAAUGUACUCGUAGGUACUUAACAUAAUCUUGAGAUGCAAUUAAAACAAUUAAGUUGUUUAGAUCAAUGAUCUGUUGAUUUAACUUGUAUAUACAUAUAUAUAUAUAUAUAUAUAUAUAUGUUCCUUCUUAAUUCAUAUAUAAGAAUAUAGUAUCAUCUCUUAUGUUAUAUUGUCUACAUGUUCUAUUGAUCUUAUUUUAUUUAGCCAAAGUGACUCUUUAAUUCUUUACUUAAGUGAGCCUACAGGAAAUACAUAAAAUGAUGUGCUAAGGAACACAAAUGGAUAAAGGUCAUCUCAUGCUGAGGAAGAUGUAUGCAAUAAUGCAUAUGCUUUAAAUCAGCUAAGUUUUGUGAGUUGAUAUAUCAAAAGGAUUUCAUGAAUUUGAUUUGUGUUAUGAGAUCGAAAUCGCCUAAUUUAGUUUACUGUGUUUUUUGACAAAAUCCUUGCGUAUCAAAAUAUAUCUUCAUAUAUGCAAUUCUGUAGAAAAUUUUGUUAAAAACUACAGUCAAGAUUAAUACAGUUCUUGAAGUUAUAAUAGAACAUGUAGCAUUAAUCAAGGUUUUAUGAUCCAAUCACCUCUUUUUUUAAUAUCUAGAAAAUUUUCUUUACCCAAAAAUGUUGAAUGCUUCAUGGAAUAACAGAUUUUUUGCAUGUUGCUUAAGAAACUUAAGAAUGAUGAGUCUUAUGUCACAAAGGCAUUAGUUAUAUAUUACUGUAGUUUUAUGAGGUAAAGUUGAAAUCCUAUGAUAACAUACCUUUCCAAGUUGCGUCUCAACAUUUUAAUAAAAUGGUCAAGCUCAACGCACUGAUAGGUCCCUAAUUCAUUGUCCAGCUCAUGAAUGAAGUUUUGCAAUUCUUGCUCAUUUCCUUGUUCAAUGAGAUGAUACACUUUUAUCCUGAAGAAAGAAAAAAAAUAUAUAUAUAUAUAUAUAAUUAAACAGGGCCCUUCCAAUGAGGGAUCCCUAUUUUAAGCCAUUUACAGGGAUAUGGCAUUACACCAACUUCCCGAUUAUAAUUUUACAUCUCCACCGUUCAUAUCUUAGGUCUAUAUGAGUAGAUCACCUCUACAAAAUUUCAUAUGAUUUGGUGAUCGUUAAGACUUUCAAAAGUUCAAUUUAGUUUUAAUGACCUUCAACGGUUUUAGUUUGACAUAAGCUGGACCGUUCAAGAUCAUUAAAACUAAAUCAAACUUUUGAAAGNNNNNNNNNNNNNNNNNNNNNNNNNNNNNNNNNNNNNNNNNNNNNNNNNNNNNNNNNNNNNNNNNNNNNNNNNNNNNNNNNNNNNNNNNNNNNNNNNNNNNNNNNNNNNNNNNNNNNNNNNNNNNNNNNNNNNNNNNNNNNNNNNNNNNNNNNNNNNNNNNNNNNNNNNNNNNNNNNNNNNNNNNNNNNNNNNNNNNNNNNNNNNNNNNNNNNGGGGCCAUUAUUUUUAAUCACCUGUAUUUUUUGAUGCUUUCCUUUGUAAGCCUUGUAUCCCAAUGUUCUUCCCAUUCCAUCCUGUUAAACAACAUAAAGGGUGGAAGUUAGGUUCAAUUUUGUUUAGAGACUUUUGUUUAUACCAUGAGGAUAGUGUACUAGUUAUGGGAGUCCUAGUUAUGGAAAGUUAGGUUCAUAUGGGAACCUUGCAUUCUCUAAUUGUGUACUAGUUAUAUAAAAAAAUGAAUCUACAUGGCUUCAUACAUAGAGUUAUAUCAAGCAUCUGGGAUAUCAAAAAAUGUGAAUCUCUGAUAUAUCAAGAUAUGAAACGUGCUUCCUUCCGGACUUUUUUUUUUUGCAAAUUUUGGGGCAUUAGGAAGCUACACAGCACGAAUGCGCCAAGAACAAGCUUCGGCAGCACACUUGGCAAAGUUCAAAGUGCUGCGCAAUAAAAUUAUGUAUCCUCUUCCCCCUCCUCCAUGUGGGCAAAUCCGAAAACCAAACCAAAACAAUCACAACCACCCUUCUUCGCAAUUUAUGUGGAAUGUAACUAUAAACUUCUCCAUCUAACUCGAAACUUUGAAAUGAAAAUUUUCAUGAGAGUCUAACUCGAAACUUUGAAAUGCAUAUUUUCAUGAGUCUUUAAAUUUCCAAGCGAUACCAUUUAAAGCUCAUACAAACUGCACAAAGCACUAAACCUAGUUUAAAGUUGACAGCUUUACCACAGUGAAACCAUAAAUUAGUGAAAUUUGAGGCAUUUUGGGCUGGAAGUCAACCUAAAACUGAGAUAAUAGCAAAACAAAUUAUACAUGAAAAGAAACAUAAAAGAGCUAGAGCUUUGAGAUUUCAAUCAAGAACAGAGAACUACACAGCAACUCCACAGAGAAGUGGGUAUUGCUGACCUGUAGAAGAAGAAGAGAAGCAGGCGACGAUGGCGAUCAGAGCGGCAGUGAGAGAGAGAACGAACAGUUUGGGUAUUUCUACUAUUUCAUUUUAUUUACAACGUACUAUUUCAAAGAAAGUGAGCUGCUUCAAUCGUCCAAAUAAAAAGUGAGCUGCUUCACUGUCAGGGAAUCACCAUUUUCUCCCUGCUCUUUUCUUAUUUACGGGGAUGCCAUUGGAAACCUGGUGUGGACUUCGGUCCAUAUUGACCAGCAUCCACAAACUCAGAUGCCUGUCUUUAUGCCCUUGUGGCUCUCUUUUGUAAUGCAGUUGCUUCGUUUCGUUUCUGUUUUGGGGUGUGAGAUGGGUUAGCUAAAUUGGCUAAAACCACAACAAUUCCAAUGAAAUAUCAUUUCAGACCAAAAAAAGAAGAAGAAGAAGGUUUAGCUAGAUCAUCUACAACGCCCAACACCCCAUAAAUUGUAGGUUACAUAAAGUCUUAAUGAAGCAAGAUACCUGUUCAAGCUGAUAAUCUGGACUCAACCCAGCUCAAUCUAGGGUGCUUACUCUUUGUAUUCCGAUCUCUUGCCGGUUUAUAUGGUUUUCAAUUGUUUGCAUCCUAAAGUGUUUGUUAUCCAUUCAACUUGAAUGAAGUCACUAUAUGAUCAAAAUCCAGUUCAACCUUCAAGAUCUUAUACCGUUUCAAUCACGUCUAUCAUAUAAAAUCAAAUAGCAAAUCAUCUAUACUAUUAGUAAGAGAGGAAAUACAUCACACGCUCUCAUAUUCAAAGCAUAUGAUAUGCCACAAUUAGAUCGAGAAGAUAAUCAAUGCUGCUAGUUUAGUUAAGGACGAAUUUAUCUCUUUAGCUCAUGAUCGAGUUAUACAACUUAUAAUAAGAACGAACAUGUAAAUAGAGAGAGAUGAUAAUUCUGAUGUGAUGAUGACAAAUGGGGGAAGUUGCGCACACACGCAAUAUAGCCUUCACUGCCUUAUUGUCACACAAUAUUCAUAUGAUAUGCCACAAUUAGAUCGAGUAAGUUACGUACAUGUUUAUAUCGGAUGAUAUGUCACACUUAGAUCGAGUAAGUUCUUCAAAAACGUAGAGUCAAUCAGAACUUUCUAAUAUUCUUAUCAUAGACAUGCAACUGGAGCACAUAAUUGUGCAAGCAAUGCAACUUUUGGUCUGAUAGACUUUUUUUUUUUUUGGUUUAAACCUCGAUGAAACGAGGGUAAUUUAUUGAGAAGAAAAAAGAAGAAAACAUCAUAGUAGGAGGGACCUAACUCCACUCCUAACAAAAAUAAAAAACAAACCUAUAACUCACAACAAAACAACAAAAGUUAACAAAAACGAAAAGUGGGAAGCCCCAACCCAUCGUUAUUAUAAAGAGAAAUAACAAAAGUUGGGGGCAAGUCCCACCACAUCAAGCCUGAAGACUUUGUCCUUUCAUUUGCCAAUGCAUCUACAACUCUGUUACCUUCUCGAAAUAUGUGAGAAGAGUGAAAGUUCAUCUGAGAAAUUAGGUACAAGCAAUUGCUCCACUCUACACUUAGUUGCCAAGGCACCAAAGUGGGAGAGCGAAGGAAACUAAGAACUAGCUCUGAGUCUACUUCCAACCAGAUAUGCUUCCACUCUCGUACCCAAGCUAAUUCAAUAGCUUUGAUAACAGCCAUAACUUCAGCAGCAACAGAGCUUGGAAUGUCCAAGUUAGAGCAAAAAGCACCCAUAACUUUGCCACUGUAAUCACGAAAUACCCCGCCAUAACCAGCUUUGUUCGAACUACUUUUCCAUGCCCCAUCAGUGUUCAACUUAAUACACCCAUACGGAGGAGGAUGCCAGUUAACUUCGAUUACUCUUGGUGCACGCCGAGGCCGACAUUGAACCCCAACUUUCUUUAAAACCACAAGCUCCUCAGUAGAAUUAAACAUGCAUCCAGUGGCUAACUUAUUUGAUGAAAUAACAUGGCCUGAAAUGAGGGAACAUACACGUGUAGCAUCCACCCUAAGACCUUCAUAUUUAAUCUUGUUCCUUGAACUCCAAAUAAACCAUAGAGUAGUAACAAAACAUGUUGACCACAAUUCCCUUAAUUGAGGACUCCGAGUAGAGCUGAGGCCAAGGUUCAACAUAAGCAAAACUGAAUUGGGAGAGCCACUGAUGCCAAAAUUAGAGGUCAUGUAAUGCCAAAUCGUAGAAGCAAAAGGACAAUAAAGAAAUAAAUGAUCAAUUGACUCACUUUGCUGCCGACAAAGAACACAACAUGAAGCUAGUGACACCCCUCUUUUUUGUAGAAAAUCAUCAGAAAUAACUCUACCAUUUAACACCUUCCAAGCCAACAGCGACAUGCGGGGAGUUAUAAACUUUGACCAAAUUACUUUGCUCCAUGCCAGAGGGGGGUGGUGAAUACGUAAAAACGAAUAUGCAGCUCUUGCAGUGAGUAUCCCAGAAGCUGAAGGCAUCCAUACCAAGCGAUCAGGAGAAUCAAAUGCAAUUGGAAGACGACUAAUGAUCUCACAUAUAUCUGGAAAGUGAAGUUGAAGUAAGGGAGGCAAGUUCCAAUUACCAUCAUGAAUGAAGUCUGAAACCUUAUUCUCCAAGAUGUUAACAUUAGCUCCAACGCAUUAAGUUGACGGCCAAUAAAAUUAUCUUUCCAGAAAGCAACUUGCGAGUUAGAACCAAGAAGCCAGCAUCCAUUGUCAAUAACUUGUUGCCAAAAUCUCUUAAUACCUGGCCAUAUAGAUGAUGUUGCAUAGGAGCGUCGUAAGACACCAUUCCUCCAAAAACGAUUUCUCAAAAAAUUACACCCGUUCGAGGUAGAAGAAUAAAUCUCCCAUGCCUUCUUUAGGAGCAGGGAACGAUUAAGAACACCAAGUUGUUUCAGACCCAGGCCUCCCUCAUCCAUUGGAGCACAACAAGUUUUCCAAGCCACCAAAGGAACUCCACGCUUAUCUAUUGAACCUGACCAUAAGAAAUUACGGCACCAAACUUCUAAGCGACGAAGCAAGGUGACUGGCCACUCAUAAAUUUGGAAACUAUAUACCACCAUGCUUGCCAUAACAGAUUUAAUUAGCUGGAGCCGACCGGCCAUUGACAAAAGAGAACCUUUCCAACUUGAAAACCGUAACCGGAUCUUGUCUACAAUAUAUUGGAAAUGAGAAGCCCUCGGUUUACCCCUGAAAAUUGGGACUCCUAAGUAAGUAAAUGGAGCUGUGCCUGCAAGAAUUCCCAGAAGGUCUACAAUAAGAUGAUGCCUAUAAGAUAGAUGCUUGCUCAUAAACACUUGUGACUUUGCCUUGUUUAUAACUUGCCCUGAAUUGACACCAUACUCUCCCAAAAAAUCCAUUAUCACUGCCAAACUUCGUCUAUCACCUCGACAAAAGACAAUGAUAUCAUCAGCAAAUAAUGAAUGAGAAGGUGCACGAGUACCUCUGGGAGAAGAAAUAGGAUGUAACUGCCCCGAAUUCAUAAGAUAAGAUAUUCCUCUACUAAGAGCUUCCUCUGCUAAGCAAAAGAGCAAAGGGGAAAGUGGAUCGCCUUGACGAACUCCCCUACCACAGGAAAAGAAACCCACUGACCUUCCAUUAAUUUGAAGAGAAAGUUUUGCUGAAUGCAAAAGGUUUCUCACCCAAGUCACAAAGACAUGGUGAAAACCAAAAGCCUGCAACACACGAGCUAAAAAAUCCCAGGAAAGAGUGUCAAAAGCCUUGGUGAUGUCAACCUUAAUCGCCACAUUACCUCCAUAACAUUUAUUAUCUAACAAAUUGAAGCAUUCUGAUGUAGUCAUAAUGCAAUCAGAAAUAUUCCGACCUUUGACGAAGGCAUGUUGCUGUGGGGAGAUGAUCCUAGAGGCAAUUUCUGUUAACCGCAAAGAAAUAAUCUUCGGAAUGAUCUUGAAGAUAAAAUUAGCAAGAGCAAUUGGUCGAAAAUUCUUGAUACAAUCUGCAUGCUCCACUUUAGGAAUUAAAAUGAUGAGGCUGGAGUUGAAAGAAGAUGGUAACUUACCAGUUCUAAAGAAGUAUUGCAUUACAGAAACCACAUCUUGGCCAACAAUAUCCCAACAAGAGACAAAGAAGUGACCGUUAAAUCCAUCUGGACCUGGUGCACUAUCUGGAUCCAUAGACUUAAUAGCUGACCAAAUCUCAUCUGACGAAGGCACUACAAUUAAACGAUUAUUUUCUUCUUCAGUAACAAGGGAAGGAAUGACUCCAGACACUAGGCCAGUAUCAUGACAACCCUCGUCAUUAGCAAAAAUAUUUGUAUAAUAAUCAAGGAUAUGGUUUUGGAUCGAAGCACAAUCCUCAAACACCUGACUUCCUUCUCGUAGCAAAGUAAUGGAAGAUUGAGCCCUCCGAACUCUACACAUAGCAUGGAAAUAUGAAGUAUUCCUGUCCCCUUCAGCAAGCCACUGUUGUCUUGACUUCUCCCGCCAAAACAUCUCCCGGAUACGUAGUGAAUCUGUCAGGCUAGCUUGUAAAAAACUUUCCUUGGCUAGUAGAUCAUCAGAACCACCUGAAGUUGCAAUAUCAUGUUGAAUCUGGGCUAAAGCAUUAAGAUCAUCAUCCACCUUCUUAUGGAUUAUGGAUAUUCUCAAAAACCUCCCAAUUCCAUACCCGCAGCGCCUUGCGUAAUACCCGAAGCUUGUGUUGCAGCAUUGAUAACGGGCAACCAUAAGUUACAACUGAACCCCAACAUUGCCUGACAAAGUCUUUAAAUUUUGUAUGUUCCACCCACAUUUUCCGAAACCUGAAAAGACUUUGACAUGCACCAAAGUCCUUUGAGAAAGACAUGAUCAACGGGUUGUGGUCGGAAGAAAGGCGCGGCAAAGUAAAACAAUCAAACUGAGCCCAUGCAUCUAACCAAUCUAAAUUUGCAAGGCACCUAUCCAAUCGUAGUUCCACAUUACCUCGAACACCUCUUCUACGAGCCCAAGUGAACUGGGCACCCUUAGUAUCAAUGUGAACUAGCUGACAAAUGUCAAACAUGGCCUGAAAUUCUUCACAUGACCGAGCACAGACAGGAGCACCACCUUUCUUUUCAUGUGAGCCCAAUACAGCAUUAAAGUCGCCCACGACUAACCACGGACCAUGAACAAAUCUGUUCAUAACAUCAGCUAGAUCAAGCCACAAAGCACGACGCUGGGACAUGGUAGUCUUAGCAUAAACCGCAAUGAAGAUAGUGACAACUGAGUCCAAUGUAACCUGAAGAGAAAUAUGCUGAUCUGUUCUCGAGAGGACCUGAAUGGACUGAUGGAGAUAAAGUUUACAAAAGACCCAAAUAUUGGGACAAGACUCUCCUCUAUCAUUUGUGCAAACAUGAAUUAAGUUUAAGGAACGCCAAAAAGAACCUGGAAUAGCAGUCAAAUCCACAAAUGGUUCUGCAAGACAUAAAACUUCUGGAUUAUGGACCUGUACAAACUUCUUAAGAGCAUUUUGAGUGGGCUCAUUAUCGAUGCCCCGUAAAUUCCAAUACAUCACCUUCAUUAAGGAACAACUUUAGAACGACGAAUAUAAGCUUCUCGGUUUUCAACUUUCGAAGCUUCUCUUGAUGACUUACGUCGAGACUUAGAAACCACAGUGAAUUCAGGCUCACGUUCAGUUUCCUCAUACCAACUAUUGAUAGGGACAGUAGAGACAUUCCUAUUAGGAGAAGAACCUGAGUUAAGCUCACACUCAGAGUCAUAAACCUCUGUAACAGAAUUUUAUAGCAUCCAUGCUAUCCCCUCCACUUGAGCCAUUAUGUUCCUGAUCAUUUUGCUGUUGCUUGGAUACAUCCAAGGCAGCCUCCAAAACAACCCCCGCAGCUAGAAUCUGUAAGCGAUGGAUAAUUAUUUUAAGAGAAAUUUUAAAUACACAUCUUUAAUCUCUUAAUACACACCUUAUUAUUUUAUGUUUCUAUUGAGAUUUUAUAGGUAAGCUAAAUGACCAAAACAUACAUUUAUUAUUAAAAAAAAUUCACGCUAAAAGUAUUCUUUCUAACGUCUUUUACCCUAAAAUCGUCGAAAACAUGUUUUCUCCCCUAACCCCAAUUCUUCUCCACAAUUCAUUUGGGUUGUUGUUGUUGUUGUUGUUGUAUCUAUAUCAACUUUAGUUUGAUCUUACAGAUCAUAUUGUCAAAUAUUGUAUCUUUAUCAGCUUUAGUUUAGUUUGAUCUUGGAGAUCAUAUCGUCAAAUACUGCAUCUUUAUCAUGAUAUAUUUUAUCGAAUAACUAGCUAUCUAUGUUUAAUAGCUAAUGUAUUUCUACAGUUGUACUAGCUUGGGAAUUUUGAAAACUUAUAUUGGUGAUUUGGAGUUGGGAUAUAACAAUAAUCAUUCUACAGUUGUACUAGCUUGUGAAUUUUGAAAACUUGUAUUGGUGAUUUAGAGUUGGGAUAUAACAAUAAUCAUUUGAUUAUAAAUAACAAUAACCAUUUGAUUAUAGAUUGAACGAUGAUAACCAAAAAUUUCUACAAAAAAUUAGACGAAAUAAUAUGUAAAAAGAUAUACCAAAUAGUAAAUAUAUAUUAAUUGUAUUAAUAACGGAAUAUUUCAUAAAUUAAGGGCAUUUUAAGCAAUUUGGGAUGUGUAUUAAGUAUAAUACUGAAAUUAAAAACUUGAUAGGUAGUGUAUUAAGUAAAGGGUGUGUAUUAAGAUAUUAGGGGUGUGUAUUUAAAAUUUCUCUUAUUUUAAUUGUAGACUAUUACGUGAUAAAUUAUGUAAUAAUCUAAACUAACCUGUAGCAAAAUUUUUACAUGAUGACACAGAAAUGUAAAUUAGAUGAAUCAAAAGUGAUUGUUUUACAUUUGGACUAUAAUCAGGUUACUCAGACUACACACAAGUGAGGUGAUUGAGGUCGUCCGAGAUUAUAAAACACUGAACAACGUGGAGAACUUUUAUCCAUUUGAACUUUUUAGGUGCCAAUGGCGUAGCCAGCUAGGGGGCAAGGGGUUCAAUUGAACCCUCUCAAAUUUUCAAAAAGAGUAAUUAGCCUCCAUUUGUAUUAGAUAUCAGUGGAAAUAAAACAUAAAUUGACCCUUCUUCUCUAAUAAAUUUUUAAUUAGUCUUAAAUAUUCUUCAACAAUAAUGGAAUGAAAUAAAAAUUUAUACUAUUCAGAUACUUAAUCCAAUUAAUACAAAUCGUGUUAAGGGUUUUUUACCUUACUAAAUGGAAACAACACAUUAAUGUUUACCAUACAUCAACAUGCAUUAUCUCUUAAACAAAAGAAACGACAUCUUAUUUUUUUCCAAUAUUUAUCGUGUAUGAAAUUCUAAUCCAAAGUUUAUUAGAGAUGAUAAUGAUAGAACAAAAAUAUUGUUGAAAUUAANNNNNNNNNNNNNNNNNNNNNNNNNNNNNNNNNNNNNNNNNNNNNNNNNNNNNNNNNNNNNNNNNNNNNNNNNNNNNNNNNNNNNNNNNNNNNNNNNNNNNNNNNNNNNNNNNNNNNNNNNNNNNNNNNNNNNNNNNNNNNNNNNNNNNNNNNNNNNNNNNNNNNNNNNNNNNNNNNNNNNNNNNNNNNNNNNNNNNNNNNNNNNNNNNNNNNNNNNNNNNNNNNNNNNNNNNNNNNNNNNNNNNNNNNNNNNNNNNNNNNNNNNNNNNNNNNNNNNNNNNNNNNNNNNNNNNNNNNNNNNNNNNNNNNNNNNNNNNNNNNNNNNNNNNNNNNNNNNNNNNNNNNNNNNNNNNNNNNNNNNNNNNNNNNNNNNNNNNNNNNNNNNNNNNNNNNNNNNNNNNNNNNNNNNNNNNNNNNNNNNNNNNNNNNNNNNNNNNNNNNNNNNNNNNNNNNNNNNNNNNNNNNNNNNNNNNNNNNNNNNNNNNNNNNNNNNNNNNNNNNNNNNNNNNNNNNNNNNNNNNNNNNNNNNNNNNNNNNNNNNNNNNNNNNNNNNNNNNNNNNNNNNNNNNNNNNNNNNNNNNNNNNNNNNNNNNNNNNNNNNNNNNNNNNNNNNNNNNNNNNNNNNNNNNNNNNNNNNNNNNNNNNNNNNNNNNNNNNNNNNNNNNNNNNNNNNNNNNNNNNNNNNNNNNNNNNNNNNNNNNNNNNNNNNNNNNNNNNNNNNNNNNNNNNNNNNNNNNNNNNNNNNNNNNNNNNNNNNNNNNNNNNNNNNNNNNNNNNNNNNNNNNNNNNNNNNNNNNNNNNNNNNNNNNNNNNNNNNNNNNNNNNNNNNNNNNNNNNNNNNNNNNNNNNNNNNNNNNNNNNNNNNNNNNNNNNNNNNNNNNNNNNNNNNNNNNNNNNNNNNNNNNNNNNNNNNNNNNNNNNNNNNNNNNNNNNNNNNNNNNNNNNNNNNNNNNNNNNNNNNNNNNNNNNNNNNNNNNNNNNNNNNNNNNNNNNNNNNNNNNNNNNNNNNNNNNNNNNNNNNNNNNNNNNNNNNNNNNNNNNNNNNNNNNNNNNNNNNNNNNNNNNNNNNNNNNNNNNNNNNNNNNNNNNNNNNNNNNNNNNNNNNNNNNNNNNNNNNNNNNNNNNNNNNNNNNNNNNNNNNNNNNNNNNNNNNNNNNNNNNNNNNNNNNNNNNNNNNNNNNNNNNNNNNNNNNNNNNNNNNNNNNNNNNNNNNNNNNNNNNNNNNNNNNNNNNNNNNNNNNNNNNNNNNNNNNNNNNNNNNNNNNNNNNNNNNNNNNNNNNNNNNNNNNNNNNNNNNNNNNNNNNNNNNNNNNNNNNNNNNNNNNNNNNNNNNNNNNNNNNNNNNNNNNNNNNNNNNNNNNNNNNNNNNNNNNNNNNNNNNNNNNNNNNNNNNNNNNNNNNNNNNNNNNNNNNNNNNNNNNNNNNNNNNNNNNNNNNNNNNNNNNNNNNNNNNNNNNNNNNNNNNNNNNNNNNNNNNNNNNNNNNNNNNNNNNNNNNNNNNNNNNNNNNNNNNNNNNNNNNNNNNNNNNNNNNNNNNNNNNNNNNNNNNNNNNNNNNNNNNNNNNNNNNNNNNNNNNNNNNNNNNNNNNNNNNNNNNNNNNNNNNNNNNNNNNNNNNNNNNNNNNNNNNNNNNNNNNNNNNNNNNNNNNNNNNNNNNNNNNNNNNNNNNNNNNNNNNNNNNNNNNNNNNNNNNNNNNNNNNNNNNNNNNNNNNNNNNNNNNNNNNNNNNNNNNNNNNNNNNNNNNNNNNNNNNNNNNNNNNNNNNNNNNNNNNNNNNNNNNNNNNNNNNNNNNNNNNNNNNNNNNNNNNNNNNNNNNNNNNNNNNNNNNNNNNNNNNNNNNNNNNNNNNNNNNNNNNNNNNNNNNNNNNNNNNNNNNNNNNNNNNNNNNNNNNNNNNNNNNNNNNNNNNNNNNNNNNNNNNNNNNNNNNNNNNNNNNNNNNNNNNNNNNNNNNNNNNNNNNNNNNNNNNNNNNNNNNNNNNNNNNNNNNNNNNNNNNNNNNNNNNNNNNNNNNNNNNNNNNNNNNNNNNNNNNNNNNNNNNNNNNNNNNNNNNNNNNNNNNNNNNNNNNNNNNNNNNNNNNNNNNNNNNNNNNNNNNNNNNNNNNNNNNNNNNNNNNNNNNNNNNNNNNNNNNNNNNNNNNNNNNNNNNNNNNNNNNNNNNNNNNNNNNNNNNNNNNNNNNNNNNNNNNNNNNNNNNNNNNNNNNNNNNNNNNNNNNNNNNNNNNNNNNNNNNNNNNNNNNNNNNNNNNNNNNNNNNNNNNNNNNNNNNNNNNNNNNNNNNNNNNNNNNNNNNNNNNNNNNNNNNNNNNNNNNNNNNNNNNNNNNNNNNNNNNNNNNNNNNNNNNNNNNNNNNNNNNNNNNNNNNNNNNNNNNNNNNNNNNNNNNNNNNNNNNNNNNNNNNNNNNNNNNNNNNNNNNNNNNNNNNNNNNNNNNNNNNNNNNNNNNNNNNNNNNNNNNNNNNNNNNNNNNNNNNNNNNNNNNNNNNNNNNNNNNNNNNNNNNNNNNNNNNNNNNNNNNNNNNNNNNNNNNNNNNNNNNNNNNNNNNNNNNNNNNNNNNNNNNNNNNNNNNNNNNNNNNNNNNNNNNNNNNNNNNNNNNNNNNNNNNNNNNNNNNNNNNNNNNNNNNNNNNNNNNNNNNNNNNNNNNNNNNNNNNNNNNNNNNNNNNNNNNNNNNNNNNNNNNNNNNNNNNNNNNNNNNNNNNNNNNNNNNNNNNNNNNNNNNNNNNNNNNNNNNNNNNNNNNNNNNNNNNNNNNNNNNNNNNNNNNNNNNNNNNNNNNNNNNNNNNNNNNNNNNNNNNNNNNNNNNNNNNNNNNNNNNNNNNNNNNNNNNNNNNNNNNNNNNNNNNNNNNNNNNNNNNNNNNNNNNNNNNNNNNNNNNNNNNNNNNNNNNNNNNNNNNNNNNNNNNNNNNNNNNNNNNNNNNNNNNNNNNNNNNNNNNNNNNNNNNNNNNNNNNNNNNNNNNNNNNNNNNNNNNNNNNNNNNNNNNNNNNNNNNNNNNNNNNNNNNNNNNNNNNNNNNNNNNNNNNNNNNNNNNNNNNNNNNNNNNNNNNNNNNNNNNNNNNNNNNNNNNNNNNNNNNNNNNNNNNNNNNNNNNNNNNNNNNNNNNNNNNNNNNNNNNNNNNNNNNNNNNNNNNNNNNNNNNNNNNNNNNNNNNNNNNNNNNNNNNNNNNNNNNNNNNNNNNNNNNNNNNNNNNNNNNNNNNNNNNNNNNNNNNNNNNNNNNNNNNNNNNNNNNNNNNNNNNNNNNNNNNNNNNNNNNNNNNNNNNNNNNNNNNNNNNNNNNNNNNNNNNNNNNNNNNNNNNNNNNNNNNNNNNNNNNNNNNNNNNNNNNNNNNNNNNNNNNNNNNNNNNNNNNNNNNNNNNNNNNNNNNNNNNNNNNNNNNNNNNNNNNNNNNNNNNNNNNNNNNNNNNNNNNNNNNNNNNNNNNNNNNNNNNNNNNNNNNNNNNNNNNNNNNNNNNNNNNNNNNNNNNNNNNNNNNNNNNNNNNNNNNNNNNNNNNNNNNNNNNNNNNNNNNNNNNNNNNNNNNNNNNNNNNNNNNNNNNNNNNNNNNNNNNNNNNNNNNNNNNNNNNNNNNNNNNNNNNNNNNNNNNNNNNNNNNNNNNNNNNNNNNNNNNNNNNNNNNNNNNNNNNNNNNNNNNNNNNNNNNNNNNNNNNNNNNNNNNNNNNNNNNNNNNNNNNNNNNNNNNNNNNNNNNNNNNNNNNNNNNNNNNNNNNNNNNNNNNNNNNNNNNNNNNNNNNNNNNNNNNNNNNNNNNNNNNNNNNNNNNNNNNNNNNNNNNNNNNNNNNNNNNNNNNNNNNNNNNNNNNNNNNNNNNNNNNNNNNNNNNNNNNNNNNNNNNNNNNNNNNNNNNNNNNNNNNNNNNNNNNNNNNNNNNNNNNNNNNNNNNNNNNNNNNNNNNNNNNNNNNNNNNNNNNNNNNNNNNNNNNNNNNNNNNNNNNNNNNNNNNNNNNNNNNNNNNNNNNNNNNNNNNNNNNNNNNNNNNNNNNNNNNNNNNNNNNNNNNNNNNNNNNNNNNNNNNNNNNNNNNNNNNNNNNNNNNNNNNNNNNNNNNNNNNNNNNNNNNNNNNNNNNNNNNNNNNNNNNNNNNNNNNNNNNNNNNNNNNNNNNNNNNNNNNNNNNNNNNNNNNNNNNNNNNNNNNNNNNNNNNNNNNNNNNNNNNNNNNNNNNNNNNNNNNNNNNNNNNNNNNNNNNNNNNNNNNNNNNNNNNNNNNNNNNNNNNNNNNNNNNNNNNNNNNNNNNNNNNNNNNNNNNNNAAAAAAAAAACUAAACACGCUCUCUAAAAUAGCUAAAAAAUAAAAUAGAAAGUCUGCUAAAAUUGCUCUAAUUGUUUCAUCCUCAUAAAAAAGAGGGAAAAUGCCCAAAUACCCAAAAAUUAGAAAGUUAAAGCCCAUUCUAAUGAAAUUCUAAUCUCUUAGCCCAUUCUAAUGAUUCUUAUGCAAAAGACAUUAUUACCCUCUAUAGAAUUAAACCCACACAAAUUCUAAUUUUCUUCUUCUUCUCUUCUCAAUCUGCUCUCUCUCUCUCCCCUUUCCUCGACGACGGACACCGCCGCAGACUUGACGACGGACGCCUCCGUUGUAGACGAUCAUGAGGCAGCGCUUGCCGAGGCCGGUGGGGACAAGUGCGGCGUUGUUGCAGAGGUCGGAGGAGAAGGAGGCGGUGGAGAUGCGAUGGUGGGAGACGACGGAGGAGGAGAAGGAGCGGGGGAUGGAGGGGUGGGGGUCGGAGGGGGAGAGGCGGGAGAGAGUGGGUUGGAGGAUGAAGAAGGUGGAGCCGAUGAGGAUGAAGAUGAGGCGUUGCUCUUUGAAGAUGUAGCUGAGGGAUCUGGGGUGCUUCAAGGCUUUGGGGGAGUAGGAGGAGGUGGAGGAGGUGCGUCAGGGUUGGUGGAAGAGGAGGCCGAUGUGUCGCCGUCGGGGAAGGUGGGUGCCCAGAGAAGUCAGUUAGUUAGUUUUUUUUUUUUUAAUUUUUGGUAUAUCCUUACAUUAAUAUUGAGCUCAGUAAGUGAUUAUUGAGGAUUGAUAAGUGAUUAUUGGGGUCAGUAAGUUAUUAUUUGAGGUUUGUAAUUUGAUUAUUAAGGGCCAAUAAAUGAUUAUUGGGUAUCAGUAAGCAAUUAUUGGGUGUCAGUAACUGAUUAUUGGGUAUCAGUAACUGAUUAUUGGAGGUCAGUAACUGAUUAUUAGGGGUUAAUAACUGAUUAUCAGAGGUCAGUAAUUGAUUAUUGGGGGUCAGUAACCAAGUUAUUAGAGGUCAGUAAUUGAUUAUUAGGGGUCAGUAACUGAUUAUUGGGGGUCAAUAACCGAGUUACAGGCGAUCAGAAUCCGGCGGCCGGAGAAAAAUUGAGUUACUGGGGGUCAAUAACCGAGUUACCGGUGACCGAAACCCGGCGACUGGGGAAAUCCGGCAACCAAAGUCCGGCGGCCGGUGACCGGAGUCCGGUGAGGUUCCGGCCAAGUAUUCUCUUUCUUCCACUUUCUCUCUAUGCAUAUUUAAGGGGUGAGGGUAAAAUAGUCUUAAAAUAAUAUUGUUUUUUUAAACUUUAGUAAAGAUUUGUGCAUUUAGGCAUAAAAAGGUUACUUUAUAUUGAAAUGAGCUAAUAAAAAAGAUUGUCAUCAGAACGAGAAAUAAGAGGUUUAAAUUAGUUCUAAAUAAGCAUUUUCCUUAAAAAUAAUCACCUUAAAACAAUGGUUCCGACAGUCUUUACACAUAAAAAUAAUUACAGAUUAUGCCAUCGUCUCUCUCACAAAACUAGUUGAUCUCUCUCUCACUCACCGAUGCACCAUCAAUGCUUCAACUCCCUGGCCGAUCCCAUAGAUUUCCGAAACUCCGACGGAGACUGGUUCUCCGACGCCGGUAACGAUUCCAACCGAGAAGUCAGAUGCUUCAUCUUCGAUCUCUUCCGGUCGCACGGCGACGCUUGCGGCUGUGUUGUCUUCUCUGUCCACCGUAGAUUCGGAGCGGGUCGAGUCUGAGUCCUCCAGAUCUUCGCCGUCCACCGUAGAUUCGGAGCGGGCCGAGUCCGAGUCCUCCAGAUCAACCAGACUUUGCACUCUCUGUUUCUCUUCUUUACUUCAAAUUCAAUAUCUAUUUUGAUUUCAAUUGCGCCCUCCAGACGAAUCAGCUUAUCUGGGCUUGAAGUGCCUUUGACUAGCCUCAGCUUAGGAUCGUCGUUGUGCUUUGAGCCUCAUGUAAGAAGAUUUGGUCACGAUAUUACCCAUUCAAAUCCAAUACCAUUUGUGUUGAUAAUCGUAUACAUGGCAAAGUACCCAAAUCCUUCAUAUGGAUUUCAAUAGCAUUGUUUCUUGUACCAUCCGUUCAAUUCCAUGUCUCAUUGGUUAUGGUCUUUGACUCUUUGUCUCUUUUGGUUAGAGAAAAGGAGAAGAGCUCAGUAGGUAACUAGCUUUGUAACUUACAAAGUAAUAAGUAACAAGUUGACAAUGUAACUAUUUAUGUAACUAGCAAUAUAACUAAGUGAUCAUGUAAUUGAUUAAGGGACUAAUUAUAAAGUGAUUGGUUUACUUGGUGGCAACUGAAGUAACUUGCAAUAUAACCAAUAGUCAUGUAAAUUUUCUGUAUAAUUGAUUAUGAAACUUGUUAAGUUUUUAGUUAUGUAACAAAAUAUGUAACUACUCAAGUAACAUGUCAUGUAACUAAUUUUUUUGUAACUGCACCACAACAAUAGAGCAUUUCGAACAUUUAACUGGUAGUCAUGUAAUUGAUCAUGUAACUAGCUAAGUAACAUGUAACUGUCAAUGUAACUAGCUAUGUAACUAAGUGGUCAUGUAACGUAACUGUCUGCAAUCAUGUAACUACUUAGGUAACUGUCUAAGUAACAUAUGAUUGGCAAUGUAACUAGCUAUAUGUAUAACACGAAUGUAACUAGCUUUGUAACUUGUCAAGUGACGAGUAAUUGGCAAUGUAAAUAUAUAUAUAACUGGCAAUGUAAUUAUCAAUUUAACUUACAAUGUAACUACGCAAUCAUGUAACUAAUUAUGUAAUUGGCUCAGUAACAUGUAACUACCAAUGCAACUAGCUAUGUAACUGGUAAUGUAACUAAGCGGUUAUGUAACUUUUCAUGUAACUGGCAAUGUAACUGGUAAUGUAACUAGCAAUGUAACUAUUUAUGUAACUGACGGUUAUGUAACUUUCCAUGUAACUAGCAAUGUAACUGGCAAUGUACAUAUUUGGAACUAUCUAGGAUGUACUUUGAAGCCAUAAGACAGAAUAUGCUUAAUGUUAUCCAAUUAUUCUACAUAUAGGACACAAGUGAUUAAGUACACCAAGUACUACUUGGAAACAAAUAAGCAAGGUAGCUCAAUUGUUGGAGAGCCUGGUUACAUUCUUAACAUCAGAUGUGGCCAGCAAGAGAGAAGAAUGUGUAGGCUAUGGAGCUGGCAAUGUGGUCAUAAAAGAUAUUCAGUGAUUUACAGAAAUUCGGGAGUGGUGUGUGCCGGAUAUUUGUGUUAUUCAGGUUGCUUACUUCCGAUGCAGCUGAGCCUGCGGUCAACAGUGCAUAUGCAAAUACCUGUGAAAGAGAGAACAUUAAUUUGGACAGAUGAACUUGUAUAUUAGACACAUGCUAGCAAUAACAUCUACGUAACAUCUAACUAGAAAACAAGCUACAAUACUACAAACUCUACUCAUCCAAAUCCACCUUCUAAAAUCUAACUACACCUCGGUUGCUACAUUUGCUAUCUGCCCAUAUCAUUGCCAAGUCAGGGUUACUACUUUCAAGUUUAAACUCCCUGAUUCAAAAUGCACUUCAUAUGAUGAAUGCUCAAUUACUAAUACAUGACCAAAAACACUCAUGUUCAACUUCUCUACAAUCCUAAUAGCCUAUGAAAACAAACAGAAUUUGUAGAAAACAAACACAAAAAACAAAUCCUCAACAAGACACCUUUUGUUGCUUUACCAAAAUGUAGCAAAGAAACAAUCAGAUCAGCAACAAUAGCUACAACAAUUAUUUACAUAUCCAAAUGCAUACACCACCCCAGUUCAUAAUUCAAAUCCAUGACCCUAGUUCUUCAAAACUCAACCACACUCAAACUCGACAAAUAGACAAACUUUGAUACCUGAGUUGAAAUCGACGGUCGCCGGAAAACACAAAACAUGGUCGGGAAAAUUCAAAAACUUCAUCUCUUCGAUUCUCUCUCCCAAGUUGACUUAUGUACAAGAAACUGCAAUAGGCUUCGUGAUUUAAUGGCCUCCAAUUCCGAACCCGACAACUCUUACUACCCCUCCCCUUCCCAAAACCGACAGUCAUCUCACCUUCCCUACAUCUUCAAGCGCCGGCGAUGUGACGAGGAUAGGGGACACUGGGGGCCUUGACGGAUUUGACGAGGUGGAGUAGACGAUGCCGCCGGCGAGCGCCGAUGACUAGCGCGGCCUAGAGACGCAGGGGAUGGAGAGGGAGAUGCGGCGACUGAGCCCAGCGGAGAUGAGGUAUCAACUGAGGGUAAGCGGGGUUCGCAAGAGCUCCAACGGAGUGCAUGUAUUUGCGAUCGGAGACCAGAGCUCUGUUCACGAUCAUGUCGACGAUCGUCGGUGAUAAGGGGAGAGAGAGGAGAGAGAGAGAGAGAGAGAGAGAGAGAAGNNNNNNNNNNNNNNNNNNNNNNNNNNNNNNNNNNNNNNNNNNNNNNNNNNNNNNNNNNNNNNNNNNNNNNNNNNNNNNNNNNNNNNNNNNNNNNNNNNNNNNNNNNNNNNNNNNNNNNNNNNNNNNNNNNNNNNNNNNNNNNNNNNNNNNNNNNNNNNNNNNNNNNNNNNNNNNNNNNNNNNNNNNNNNNNNNNNNNNNNNNNNNNNNNNNNNNNNNNNNNNNNNNNNNNNNNNNNNNNNNNNNNNNNNNNNNNNNNNNNNNNNNNNNNGAGAGAGAGAGAGAGAAAUAUGAAGGAAAUUAGAGAGGAGGGUAGAAUAGUCAUAUAAAAGUGUGAAAAUAGACAUUUUUAUCAUUUAAGAUGUUAUGAGGUAACUAUCUUAUCAUGUAACAUGUUUUUAUGGUGAUCUUUUUAUCAUGUGAAUAUUUGAAGACUAUUUUAUUAUUUGUACAUUCAAAUGGUAAUUUAGUGUUAUAUCCACUAUAUAAUAUAGAGGGAGGAUCUAAAGAGGGGUUUUGUCUAUCAUAUCAUAUGGUAUGACAUACCUAUUGUAAAUGUGUCUAAUUGUAUGACACACGAGAAUUUUUAAAGGGGUAAAUGGUCAUUUAAGUGCUUAUUCAAUCAAUGAUAGCCACACAUUUUAUGAGGCAUGUAUGAAAGGUACGAUCAAGCAUUAAAAUAUCUACGAUAUAUCCGAUUUAUCUCUCGAUAACUUUUUUUUGAAUGACCGAUAUAUCUAGAGGGGUAAAUAUCUUAUCUUUCACCGGUCCAGUCUGAACCGGCGUCUCCUCCUCUCUCACCCUGGGCCAGUGAGCACUGCCACAGCGCUGCCGAACGGGAGGAAACUCGUCCCGAAGGGCCGACUGUUUUCUCGCCGGAGCUCCCUCCUCUGACCGCCAUAGCCAGCGAUUCUUGGCUCGUUUUGAAACUCUCCUCCCGUGCAUCAAUUAAUCCCUCCAAAGGGCUCAUCCUCUCUUGGUCUAGGUAAGGAGAACCGGUGAGUGGAAGUUUUAAGGCUUAUUUGGGUGUUUUCGUUCGAUUGGCCUAGUUAAGCUUGGAAUUGGUGUUUGUGCUAGUUAGGAAAGUUGUAGAGUGGGUUGAGAGGAAGAUGCUAUCAAAAUUUCAUAGGCAUUGGAGGUCACCGGAGUCGGCCCUUGGCCGCCGUUGCCGGCGGCGCCGCCGCUGUUUGAGAGAUUUUUAUAGUUUUAAAUGUAAAAUAUUAAGGGGAGUUUAAUGAUGUGAAGUUUGGAAUUUUUGGAGGAGUUUUGGAUAUGUUUGAGAUUUUUGAAAGAUUGGUGAAUUUGGCGGUUAAUGGGGUAGAAUCCGACCUUUGGAUUUCCUUAUUAUUGUUUUAGAAUGUUGAAAUAAAUGAAAUAAGGCUGUGGUUGGAGUUUGACAUGAAUUCGAUAAGCUUAACACUAGAAAGGGUAGUGGGUUAGGCGGAAGAGUUUUGGGUUAUAUAUUUAAGUAUUAUUUAUUCUGAAAUUGAAGUGUGGUCCUAAGCAUGGUUUUUGUGCCAGGAUUUGAUACCUCACUUGAGUGGCGAAUUGGAUAUCGUCGGGCUUAUGCCUAAAGUUGUGAGUGGACGUUUGUUUUAAAUAAUAUGCAUGCAUUAAGUUAUUGUGGAAUAGUUGUUUUUAUUGGAGCAUGUGAUGUCAUUUUAUUUUGGUGAUCUUAAUGAGAUUUUCGGUGGAGUCAUAUGAUUAUUGUUUCUUUUAUAAUUGGCAAUUUUCAUUAUUUUGGAAGUUAUCGAAAAUGAGAUUUUCGGUGGAUAUUAUGAGGAUAGUAUGUAUAUAAAUAAAUGCUAGCUAGCUAUACGUGCUUUUCCGCUAUAAUGAGGUAAAAUUCUAUUAUGGUGUGACGUGAGCGUUAGACGUAAUCGUCGUAGCCCUACAUAAAUAUAAGAAUUUAUGUAGGGAAUAUGCACGUGUAUAUACACUCGUGCUUUUCCGCCAUAAUGAGGUAAAAUUCCAUUAUGGUGCGACGUGAGCGUUAGACGCAAGCGUUGUAGCCUUGUGUGAAUUUAUAUCUCUAUUUGUUGUUUCAAGAAAAUUCAUACAAGGAAUAUGACGAGUGUAAUAUAUACAUAUUUUAGUUUAGCCUGAGAGGCUUUAUUUUGUUAAAUUUGGAGACUAGCCGGAGCUAGUCAUGUAAUUGUCAAUUGUUGAGUUGAGAGCUUUUGAGCCGUCGCAUGCAGCAUAUUUUUUAUGGAAAUUUAAAUUGGGAAAACAUAAAUAUUUUAUCAUUAAAUUCAUUUUUGUCCACUCACUCUAACGGUUUUAAAUGUUUUCUCACGGGCCCUUCGUUUGAAAAAUGCCAAAUUUGCAGGUUAGCAUAGUUGAGGUUGGGCAUACAUAGAGAAGAGGCAUAGUCAAUAGUAUAGCUUCCGCUCAUUUUUAUAUUUAUAGUUUUUUUUUCUCUUAAAUAGAGUUUCUCUGAAAUGUGGUUGUUGGUUGUGAGUUUUUCUUUUUAAAGUUAGUAAAUAAAUUGAGAGAUGUUGUGAUUUGGGGGAGCACGAAGGCUCCAGGAGCUUAAGGUUGGAUUUGGAUUUUCAGAAGUGUAUGCAUGUAUUAUUAGGAAGGGUUGUCCAUUUUCAAGAGAGGUUAUGCCGAAUUUUCAGUAAACUUUCUUUGGAGGUGGUCCCUGCAUAAUUUACUUCAGGUUUCAUGGUGAAAUUCGGGGUGGGAUGAACAUGAGCAGUUCAGAAAAGCUAGUAAUGAGAAAAGAAAAGCUUACGGAUAGAGAGAGAAAGUCCAUACAAUGGGUCAAGAAAAACUAUAUUUAAAACAUCCCGAUUAGUUGUCAAAUCAAUGGACCACUACCUCAGCAAGAUCCCACAACGUAAGUUUUAAAAGUUUUCCAAGAGCUAUAUUCUCAUCAUCAUGAUCGGAGAAUUGCUCGGAAUCACUAUCACUCCAAGACACCUUAAAGGCUUUGUGGGAUUUAUUCUUCCUACUUGAACAUUCAACAGCUUUAUGUCCAACACCACCACACUCAUAGCACUUAUCACUUUUCUAAAAGGGUUUAGGCUUGGGAUUCCUAUCGCCUGUGGUAUCACUAGGUUUAGGACUCCUAGAAGCCGAACCUCGGGAGGGAUAACGACCAACAGGAAAAGACCUUCUCUUCCUAAGCAUCUUAUCAAACUGUUUAGUUAGGUAGGCAAUCUCAUCCAAACUAUCCUCAAGAGCCUCCGGUUCCUUUUCUUUCUCAUCUACCUCAUUGACAGUGGAUAAGGCUAUGGUCUUUUCCUUCCUAGACUUCCUUCUCUUAGACUCGAAAACUUUCAAGUUUCCUACCAACUCAUCUAAGGAAUAGGUGUUUAGAUUCUGGGCUUCCUCUAUGGCAAUUUGCUUAGCCUCAUAACUAGGAGGAAGAGCACGGAGGAAUUUUUUGACAAUCCUAUGGGAGGGAAUGGGGUCUUCCAAUCCUUGGCACUGGUUUGUGACACUAAGAACGUGACCAUGAAACUCAUCUAUACUCUCAUCCUCACGCAUAGUCAUUUCCUCAAACUCAAGGAACAAGCUCUGAAGUUUCUGAGCCUUUACCUUAGUGUUACCCUCAUAGGUAGUGGCUAAGGUAUCCCAAGCAUUCUUAGCGGUAGGACAAGUGAUGAUCCUUCUUCGCUCUUUUUCAGAUAGUGCAGAAAACAAGCUGUUUGAGAGCUUUGGUGUUCAUUCUAAAAUCACCUUUUUCAAUAUCAUCCCAUUCUGAUUUGGGUUUCUGCAUUAAUACGGCAGAACCCUCAUUCAUGGGUUUCAUAGGGUGUUUCCAACCCUCUUCGACCAUAGUCCAUUGUCUCCCAUCAUCUUGGGAGAUAAGGAAAGCGGUCAUCAUUACCUUCCACUGAGAAUAGUCCAUUCCAUCAAAGAAUGGUGGAGUAUUCACAGGGGUAGGGCCUCUACCACGGUCCAUUCUCAGGACACAGAGGGAUCUCACUAGCUAGGCUAGCGACCCGCUCUGAUACCACUUGAAGGUUCUAGAGGGGGGGUGAAUAGGCCCUGACAACUUCUUUGCUCUAUCCCGCACACAAGGAUAGCAAAGAUUGUGCUAUCCUGUUUGCUGUGAGACUAAGUUGUGUAAAUAAAAAGACAAGUACUGAAAGUAAAAGAUAUAACAUGCACCAGUACGUUUUUUAUACUCAGAAACCCUGCAACCAGGGAGAAAAACUGCAUGCCUCUAACUCAUGAGAGACAAACUAUUCCACUAUUGUAAAGACAUUUUUUACAAGACUCACAACUCAGAGGAUAGCACAACACCUAGCCAUCUUGCCUAGUCUAACUACUAGCACACAACUGAACUUGCUCUCUUGUCACUCAAGUGUUUUACACAUAGCACGAAUCUAAGCUUCUAUGCAUAAUUCAACUAACACCUUUAGCUAAAUCUCAAAGACAGCUUACAACUUGCUUCACACGAACUUAACUAACUCCUUAGCUAAUUCUCUAUGAAGACUUCACCGGGUUGCAUCACCUAGACCGCUCUCAAGGUAUGCAUGAACAAUGAACAAUGAACAAUGAAAUGGGCUUUGAAAAUGUUUUGAUGCUCAGCUCUAAGAUUUAUANNNNNNNNNNNNNNNNNNNNAACCAAAGAGCAAGAGAGGUCUUGCUCUCUAUUUAUAGGCAAGGUGCACAGCUAUAAGGAAGCAAGCACGUUUGCCAUAACAACAAGGUUUCUUUUGGACUCUAGCUGCUUGUCUGAAAUACUAGGACGGAUAGGACCCUAGGGAUCCCUCCACUCACAAGACAAAAGCUGAGAAUAGACUUUCCUAGGAAAGACUAAAGCCAAAAGGAUAAGACAAAAGGUUUUGGGAAAACUAGAUCAGAUUUAGUCAAGCAUAAAGACUCUACAAAACCACUUUACCUAAGAGGACACUUAGGACAGCUGAUAGCUUGGGCGGUGCAUCACAUGGGCAGCUGCUAACUUGGUUUGUGUAUCACAAAACCCAGCUGGUUCCCAAAGGCCACUUAAAAACUGAAACAGACACAUUUGAAUAUGCACAUGGUCAGACCCAGUAGAUAGAACAGAUACAGCAGGGGUAUCCGUUUAAUCGGGAUGGCAAGCACGGCUGCCAUCCUUAGUGAAUGAAUGAGAUGCACAUGCAUGAACUACCUGAUGCACAUGAGAUCUGUCAGGUUCUUCAUUCUUCACUUGAGUAGUCCUUGCUACCAGGCUACAACAUGUAGCAUGUAUCCUUAUGUUUCCCUAGCUUUCCCUCCUUCUCAUCUUGUCUUUGAUGAGUACAUAUUACUCUCUCAGGGUUGAUUGGUUAUGAGAAGUCUAUUGACCCUGAAACUCUUCCCCAUGUUGUGAAGUAGUCUGUUGAUGGGUUGGGAUGGGUUAAUUCCUUAGUAUCCUUUCCUAGGGUUAACCAUACUUGGGUACAUGACAUUUGUGCAAACUUUUCCUUAGGACAUUGGUGUAGAUGUUGAGCUUAGAUCUUAAGAUCCUAUCUUGUGCUCAACCAUACGUCUCUAGGAUAUCUAGACUGUUCGUACCUCAUAUACCCUACGAGAGUUCUCUCUUGGUUUUUCUGGGUCUUCACACCAAGCUAUGCUUUAUAGCUCUUGUUUGGUUGUGGAAUUAAGAGGUUUUUGCCUUUGACUUUUCCCAUGUUGACAAAGUCAUUAUUGCCACCCUUGAUAGUGAGGAUGAGUUUGCUGGAAAUAGAGUUGCUAAUGCUGAGGAUGAUAUGUUCUUGUGAUUAUGUUGAACCGCUCUGAUCUUGUUCCGGUUGUUUUAUCAUUCUCGGCUACACUGGUCUCCCUUUGUCAUUCCAUGUCAAAAAGGGGGAGAACUAGUUGUAGGGCUGUGUUGUUAAAAACUAUGUUGUUUCAACUAUGGUAUUGCUAUGGUAUGUUUCAUUGCUUCUGUGCUUAGUUGUUAUUGCUGUCAUGAAGUUUAUGAUGCAUAAUAUUGUUGCUAUCCCAUAGUUGGUACAUAUGAGUUUUUGGCCCUCCAAUUCUUCACUUGUUCUUAAGACUGUUUGUGCAGGUUUUUCAGUCUCUUUUUGACUUGUCUUUCAACCAGCACAACCUUUGAAUGUGUGUUUUGAUCAGGAAUGCCAAAGGGGGAGAUUGUUGGUACAAGAAUUGUUGGCUAUCCCUUUAUGAUCAAAACACAAGGAUACAUGCUACAUGUUAUAGCCUGGUCGCAAGGACUACUCAAGUGAAGAAUGAAGAACCUGACAGAUCUCAUGUGCAUCAGGUAGUUCAUGCAUGUGCAUCACAUUCAUUCACUAAGGAUGGCAGCCGUGCUUGCCAUCCCGAUUAAACGGAUACCCUUGCUAUAUCUGUUCUAUCUACUGGGUCUGACCAUGUGCAUAUUCAAAUGUGUUUGCUUCAGUUUUUAAGUGUUUGAAUUUCAAAUACCUUUUAGCAAAACAUUAGUCUAUUCGUACUUGAGCUCCAAGUUAGUCUAGGGUGGUGUGGCAAACCAACCCGUGACCACAUAACUUGAGCCUUUGGGAACCAGCUGGGUUUUGUGAUACACAAACCAAGUUAGCAGAUGCCCAUGUGAUGCAUCGCCCAAGCUAUCAGCUGUCCUAAGUGUCCUCUUAGGUAAAGUGGUUUUGUAUAGUCUUUAUGCUUGACUAAAUCUGAUCUAGUUUUCCCAAAACCUUUUGUCUUAUCCUUUUGGCUUUAGUCUUUCCUAGGAAAGUCUAUUCUCAGCUUUUGUCUUGUGAGUGGAGGGAUCCCUAGGGUCCUAUCCGUCCUAGUAUUUCAGACAAGCAGCUAGAGUCCAAAAGAACCUUGUCGAUGUGGCAAACGUGCUUGCUUCCUUAUAGCUGUGCACCUUGCCUAUAAAUAGAGAGCAAGACCUCUCUUGCUCUUUGGUUGUUGAAAAUUGUCAUUUGCAUUUUCUCCCUUUAAGUCUUAGCAUUAUUGCUUCUUUGCUCAUUUGCUCUAAGUCUUCCUCGUUGAUUAUAAAUCUUAGAGCUGAGCAUCAAAACAUUUGCAAAACCCAUUUCAUUGUUCAUUGUUCAUUGUUCAUGCAUACCUUGAGAGCGGUCUAAGUGAUGCAACCCGGUGAAGUCUUCAUAGAGAAUUAGCUAAGGAGUUAGUUAAGUUUGUGUGAAGCAAGUUGUAAGCUGUCUUAGAGAAUUAGCUAAAGGCGUUAGUUGAAUUCUGCAGAGAAGCUUAGAUUCGUGCUAUGUGUAAAACACUUGAGUGACAAGAGAGCAAGUUCAGUUGAGUGCUAGUAGUUAGACUAGGCAGGAUGGCUAGGCGUUGUGUCAUCCUCUGAGUUGUGAGUCUUGUAAGAAGUGUCUUUACAAUAGUGGAAUAGUUUGUCUCUCAAGAGUUAGAGGCACGCAGUUUUUCUCCUUGGUUGCAGGGUUUCUGCGUAUAAAAAACGUACUGGUGUUAUAUCUUUUACUUUCAGUACUUGCCUUUUUAUUUACACAACUUAGUCUCACAGCAAACAGGAUAGCACAAUCUUUGCUAUCCUUGUGUGCGGGAUAGAGCAAAAAGUUGUCAGGGCCUAUUCACCCCCCCCCCCCCCCCCCUCCUAGGACCUUCAAGAGCGAUGUGCUAGUUAAGCAAAUACACAAUGCCAUGGGAGAAUAAUCAUUGUGUAUCACAAAACCCAGCUGGACUCAAAAGGAGCUAACCUAAAAGUACUUUAGUCAUGUGCUCAUGGGUUGGAAGAACAACACAACCCUAAACUAACUUGGAGCUCAAGCACGAUGAAAAAUGUUUUGCUAAAAGAGAUUUGAAAUUCAAAUACUUGAAAAGCUGAAGCAAAACCAUUUAAAUAUGCACGAAGUCAAACUCAGAGAUUAGGAUAGAUACAACAGGGGUAUCCACCAAAUCUGGAUGGCAAGCAGACCUGCCAUCCUGAAUGAAUGUGAUGCACAUGCAUGAACUACCUGAUGUACAUGAGAUAAAAACAAAGAGCCAGCUAGUAUAUUAGUUUGUGUAUCACAAACCUAGCUGGAGCCUCUAAGCUCUAGUCAUGUGGUCACGGGUUAGAAACACUACACAACCCUAGACUGACUUGAAGCAUUAAGACAACGACAAAUGUUUUGCUAAAAGGGAUUUGAAUUCAAACAGGGGAAUUCAAACUAAUGAUACACAAAUAGCAAAAGCAUUUAGACAUGCAUACAUAUAGACCCAAUAGAUUAGGACAGAUACACCAGGAGGUAUCAUCCGAUCUAGGAUGACAAGCAAAGCUGUCAUUCUCAAUGAAAAACAUGAGAUGCAUAUGCAUGAACUACCUGAUGCACAUGAGAUCUAGGUAGGUCUUCAUUCUUCACUUGUGAUAUCCUUACCAUCAGGAUAUGUAGAAUUCUCAGUGAAAAGCAUCAGAUGCAUAUGCACCAGUUACCUAGGACACAUGUGAUCUUGUCAAGUCUUCAUUCUUCACUUGUGAUAAAAUAACUUGUGUCUUGUGAUUUGAUCAUAAAAGGGAUAGCCAACAAUCCUUAUACCAACAAUCUCCCCCUUUGGCAUUCCUUAUCAAAACACAUAUUCACGGAUUGUGUUGGUUAAGCAAGUCAUGGACUGAGAAAUAAACCUGCACAAUAACCUUAAGAACAAGUGAAGAAUGGGAGGGCCAUAAAACAUUCAUGAAUCAUAACUUCUGGAUAGCAGAUAUAUCAGGCAUCAUAAACUUCAGAAUAGCAGAUAUACCAAUCACAGAAGUCAUUAAAAACAACAACAUUCAUGAAGAGUUUCCAACAGACAGCCCUUCAGCCACUUACCUACUUCUCCCCCUUUUUGACAUGGAAUGACAAAGGGAGACCAGAUCUUCAAAUAGACAUGUAGCCAAGAAUGAGAAAAGCAACCAAAAUAAGGUCAGAGCGGUUCAAACUAAUCACAUAAACGUGUCAUCCUCAUCAUUAGCAACACCUCAACAAACUCAUCCUCACCAUCAGGGAUGGUAGGAAACAUCUCCAAGAUGUGCUCAAGAGACCCGGCAAACUCAUUAGAAUGUCAUGAAGACUUGGCAAUGAUGACUUUGUCAACAAGGGAAAAGUCCGGGGUAAAAGCCUUAUGAUUCUAUACUCAAACAUUAGCUACAAAGCAUAGCUUGGUGUGAAUACCCGAAAGACCAAGAGAAAACUCUUGGAGGGUAUAUGGGAUACGAGCAGUCUAGAUAUCCUAGAGACGUAUGGUUAAGCACAAGAUAGGAUCCUAAGAUCUAAGCUCAACAUCUACACCAAUGUCCUAAGGGAAAGUUUGCACAAAUGUCAUUUACCCAAGUAUGGUUAACCCUAGGAAAGGAUACUAAGGAAUUAUCUCAUCCCAACCCAUCAACAAACUACUUCACAACAUGGGGAAGAGUUUCAGGGUCAAUAGACUUCUCAUAAACAAUCAACCUUGAGAGAGUAAUAUGUACUCAUCAAAGACAAGAUGAGAAGGAGGGAAAGCUAGGGAAACAUAAGGACUUUUGGGAGACAAAAUGGGUUUGGCAUCCCUACAGCAGCUGGAGCUUUUCCUUCAAAGACAUCGUCUCCAUCUCUGAGUUUAGGCACUUUCCGAAUACUAGCAUCAACAAUAGCCGAACAAACAGGUCUACGUUUCAGUAAGAACUGAAGAGAAUGAUGGUGGAAAGGUGAUCUUGAUCUUGGGAGAGAUAAGCUCAAAAGGAUCAAGAAAGAGAGAGUGGGGCAGUUAGGAUGGCAUAUAGGCAGCGGAGGAAGCGUCGUGGUUUGACGUCAGAGUAUGCCUCUAAAACUACAACUCACUCAAACUCAAAACAACUAGCUAGAGUUUAAUCCCUUCAAAUCUCAAAGCUAGAGUUUAAUCCCCUCAAAUCUCAAAGCUAGAGUUUAAUCCCCUCAACUAUCCUAGAACUUGGGAAACAAGCCAAUCAUCAAAGCAAAAGCCAAGAUCCUUCUCAGAAUAGAAGAGAUGCUUUAUAUCACAUGUAAUAUGGCACAACCAAGAACAAACAAUCUCACACUCAAAAACAUUUAACUCACGAGAAGAAGUUCCCUAAAUGUAUUGACUAAGAUGCAAAUAUGUGUAUAGGUCAUGACAUCAAUAUACUCCCCCUAAAAGGGUGCAAUGCUCUCCCUAUGAGUGUGCACAAUAUAAAAGAAGGAACAACUAGAUGCAGGACCUAUAAUCUGAUCCAAAUCAUAUAAUUGUAAGUAAAACUCACAAAGUCCUCAAACAACAUGCAAAGGGUGACACACAAGAGUUUCCAAAGACUUUUGACAACCUUAAUUUAGAAAAAUAUAAGGUGCAUGUGUGUACCACAAGUUACCAAUUACUCCCCCUAAGAAAGUGCAUAAAUUUCAAAGAUAAUUAAACACCUUCAGUAGAGUAAAGCACAAUAUGAGC
rnacentral:lncRNA from 1 species